rnacentral:lncRNA from 1 species
AUCUACCAAGUAUCUAGGGUAAUUCCGCUCUAGUGGUUUGACAGCUCGACGAUGUCUCCCACGCCUUGAUCCAGCAAGGAGAGAGGGAGAGGUUGAGGAAGACUCCAUCCAGCAGCAGCACAAUGGCAUGGUGGUGAUGGAGGAGCGUGGCAAUCCUGCAGGGCUUCGCCAAGCACCUACGGGAGAGGAGGAGGUGUCACGGGAGGGAGGGAGGCGCCAAGGGCUCAGGUAUGGAUGCCCUCCCUCCCCUCCACUAUAUAUAGGGGCAGGGGAGAGGGGGGAGGCGCAGCCUUGCCCCUUCCUCCAAGGAAGGGGUGCGGCUAAGAGGGGGGGAGGAGUCCAUCCUCCCCAAGGCACCUCGGAGGUGCCUUCCCCUUUGAGGACUCUUCCCUCUAGGGUUCCCUAGGCGCAUGGGCCUCUUGGGGCUGGUGCCCUUGGCCCAUGUAGGCCAAGGCGCACCCCCUACAGCCCAUGUGGCCCCCCGGGGCAGGUGGCCCCACCCGGUGGGCCCCCGGGACCCUUCCGGUGGUCCCGGUACAAUACCGAUGACCCCGAAACUUGUCCCGAUGGCCGAAACAGGACUUCCUAUAUAUAAAUCUUUACCUCCGGACCAUUCCGGAACUCCUCGUGACGUCCGGGAUCUCAUCCAGGACUCCGAACAACAUUCGGUUACCACAUACAAGCUUCCUUUAUAACCCUAGCGUCAUCGAACCUUAAGUGUGUAGACCCUACGGGUUCGGGAGACAUGCAGACAUGACCGAGACGUUCUCCGGUCAAUAACCAACAGCGGGAUCUGGAUACCCAUGUUGGCUCCCACAUGUUCCACGAUGAUCUCAUCGGAUGAACCACGAUGUCAAGGACUCAAUCGAUCCCGUAUACAAUUCCCUUUGUCUAUCGGUAUGUUACUUGCCCGAGAUUCGAUCGUCGGUAUACCGAUACCUUGUUCAAUCUCGUUACCGGCAAGUCACUUUACUCGUUCCGUAACACAUCAUCCCGUGAUCAACUCCUUGCUCACAUUGCGCAUAUGAUGAUGUCCUACCGAGUGGGCCCAGAGAUACCUCUCCGUUUACACGGAGUGACAAAUCCCAGUCUCGAUCCGCAUAAAACAAUAGAUACUUUCGGAGAUACCUGUAGUGCACCUUUAUAGUCACCCAGUUACGUUGUGACGUUUGAUACACCCAAAGCACUCCUACGGUAUCCAGGAGUUACACGCUCUCAUGGUCAAAGGAAGAGAUACUUGACAUUGGCAAAGCUCUAGCAUACGAACUACACGAUCUUUGUGCUAGGCUUAGGAUUGGGUCUUGUCCAUCACAUCAUUCUCCUAAUGAUGUGAUCCCGUUAUCAACGACAUCCAAUGUCCAUAGCCAGGAAACCAUGACUAUCUGUUGAUCACAACGAGCUAGUCAACUAGAGGCUCGCUAGGGACAUAUUGUGGUCUAUGUAUUCACACGUGUAUUACGAUUUUCGGAGAAUACAGUUAUAGCAUGAAUAAAAGACUAUUAUCAUGAACAAAGAAAUAUAAUAAUAACACUUUUAUUAUUGCCUCUAGGGCAUAUUUCCAACAGUCUCCCACUUGCACUAGAGUCAAUAAUCCAGUUCACAUCGCCAUGUGAUUAACACUCACAGAUCACAUCGCCAUGUGACUAAUACCCAAGAGUUUACUAGAGUCAGUAGUCUAGUUCACAUCACUAUGUGAUUAACACUCAAUGAGGUUUAUGUUUGAUCAUGUUGCUUGUGAGAGAGGUUUUAGUCAACGGGUCUGAACCUUUCAGAUCCGUGUGUGCUUUACAAUUCUCUAUGUCAUCUCCUAGAUGCAGCUACCACGCUCUAUUUGGAGCUGUUCCAAAUAACUGUUCUACUUGGAGCUAUUCUAAAUUGUUGCCCCAUUGUACGUAUCCGGUAUCUCUACUUAGAGCUAUCCGGAUAGGUGUUAAGCUUGCAUCGACGUAACCUUUACGACGAACUCUUUUACCACCUCCAUAAUCGAGAAAAUUCCUUAGUCCACUAGUUACUAAGGAUAACUUUGACCGCUGUCCUGUGAGCCAUUCUUGGAUCACUCUUGUACCCCUUGACUGACUCAUGGCAAGGCACACUUCAGGUGCGGUACACAGCAUAGCAUACUGAAGAGCCUACGUUUUAAGCAUAGGGGACGACCUUCGUCCUUUCUCUCUAUUCUGCCGUGGUCGAGCUUUAAGUCUUAACUUCGUACCUUACAACUCAGGCAAGAACUCCUUCUUUGACUGGUCCAUCUUGAACACCUUCAAGAUCAUGUCAAGGUAUGUGCUCAUUUGAAAGUACUAUUAAGCGUUUUGAUCUAUCCUUAUAGAUCUUGAUGCUCAAUGUUCAAGUAGCUUAAUCCAGGUUUUCUAUUGAAAAACACUUUCCAAAUAACCCUAUAUGCUUUCUAGAAAGUCUACGUCAUUUCUGAUCCAUAACAAUAUGUCAACAACAUAUACUUAUCAGAAAUUCUAUAGUGCUCCCACUCACUUCUUUGGAAAUACAAGUUUCUCAUAAACUUUGUACAAACCCAAAAUCUUUGAUCACCAUCAAAGCAUACAUUCCAACUCCGAGAUGCUCACUCCAGUCCUUAGAAGGAUUGCUGGAGCUUUGCAUACUUAUUAGCAUCUUUUGGGAUUGGCAAAACCUUCCGGUUGUAUCACAUACAACCUUUCCUCAAGUAUAACGUCGAGGAAACAAUGUUUUGACAUCCUAUCUGCAAGAUUUCAUCAAUCAUGCAGUAACUGCUAAUCCAAUUCCAACAGACUCUUAGCAUCGCUACAAGUGAGAAAACCUCACCGUAAUCAACUCCUUGAACUUGUCGGAAAAUAUCUUAACGACAAGUCGAGCUUUCUUAAUGGUAAUUCUUACCAUCAUUGUUUGUCUUCCUUUUAAAAUCCAUCCGUACCCAAUGGCCUUACGACCAUCAAGUAUUUCUUCCAAAGUCAUGGAUCCAUUCUCGGAUUUUAUGGCCUCGAGCCAUUUAUCGGAAUCCGGGCCCACCAUCGCUUCUCCAUAGCUCGUAGGUUCAUUGUUGUCCAGCAACAUGACUUCCAAGACAGGAUUACGUACCACUCUGAAGUAGUACGUAUCCUUGUCAUCCCACGAGGUUUGGUAGUGACUUGAUCCGAAGUUUCAUGAUCAAUAUCAUAAGCUUCCACUUCAAUUGGUGUAGGUGCCACAGGAACAACUUCCUGUGCCCUGCCACACACUAGUUGAAGAGACGGUUCAAUAACCUCAUCAAGUUUCCACCAUCCUCCCACUCAAUUCUUUCGAGAGAAACUUUUCCUCGAGAAAGGACCUGAUUCUAGAAACAAUCCCUUAUUGCUUUCGGAUCUGAGAAAGGAGGUAUACCCAACUGUUUUGGGUGUCCUAUGAAGAUGCAUUUUAUCCGCUUUGGGUUCGAGCUUAUCAAUCCUGAAACUUUUCCACAUAAGCGUCGCAGCCCCAAACCUUUAAGAAACGACAACUUAGGUUUCUCUAAACCAUAAUUCAUACGGUGUCAUCUCAACGGAAUUACGUGGUGCCCUAUUUAAAGUGAAUGUGGUUGUCUCUAAUGCCUAACCCAUGGACAACAGUGGUAAUUCGAUAAGAGACAUCAUGGUACGCACCAUAUCCAAUAGGGUGUAACUAUGAUGUUCGGACACACCAUCAAACUAUGGUGUUCCAGGCGGUAUUUAAUUGUGAAACAAUUUCCACAAUGUCUUAAUUGUGUGCCAAAACUUGUAACUCAGAUAUUCAUCUCUAUGAUCAUAUCAUAGACAUUUUAUCCUCUUGUCACAAUGAUCUUCUACUUCACUCUAAAAUUACUUGAACCAUUCAAUAAUUCAGACUUGUGUUUCAUCAAGUAAAUAUAUUCAACAUCUACUCGAAUCAUCUGUGAAGUAAGAACAUAACGAUAUUCACUGCAUGCCUCAGCACUCAUUGGACUACACACAUCAAAAUGUGUUACUUCCAACAAGUUGCUAUCUUGUUCCAUCUUAUUGAAAACCGAGGCUUUUCAGUCAUCUUGCCUAUGUGGUAUGAUUUGCAUAUCUCAAGUGAUUCAAAAUCAAUUGAGUCCAAACGGCCAUUUGCAUGGAGUUUCUUCAUGCAUAUACACCAAUAGACAUGGUUCGCAUGUCUCACACUUUUCAAAAACGAGUGAGUCCAAAGAUCCAUCAACAUGGAGCUUCUUCAUGCGUUUUAUACCAAUAUGACUUACAUGGCAGUGCCACAAGUAAGUGGUACUAUCAUUACUAUCUUAUAUCUUUUGGCAUGAAAAUGUGUAUCACUACGAUCGAGAUUCAAUGAACCAUUCAUUUUAGGUGUAAGACCAUUGAAAGUAUUAUUCAAAUAAACAGAGUAACCAUUAUUCUCCUUAAAUGAAUAACCGUAUUGCGAUAGACAUAAUCCAAUCAUGUCUAUGCUCAACGCAAACACCAAUCUCGAUGGUAGAGGGAGCGUGUGAUGCUUGAUCAUAUCAACAUUGGAAACACUUCCAACACAUAUCGUCAUCUCACCUUUAGCUAGUCUCUGUUUAUUCCGUAGCUUUUAUUUCGAGUUACUAACACUUAGCAACCGAACCGGUAUCUAAUACCCUGGUGCUACUAGGAGUACUAGUAAAGUACACAUCAACACAAUGUAUAUCCAAUAUACUUCUAUCGACUUUGCCAUCCUUCUCAUCUACCAAGUAUCUAGGGUAAUUCUGCUCUAGUGGUUGUUCCCCUUAUCACAGAAGCACUUAGUCUCGGGUUUGGGUUCAACCUCGGGUUUCUUCACUGGUGCAGCAGCUGAUUUGCCGUUCCAUGAAGCAUCCCUUCUUGCCCUUGCCCUUCUUGAAACUAGUGGUUUCACCAACCAUCAACAAUUGAUGCUCCUUCUUGAUUUCUACUUUCGUGGUGUCAAACAUCACGAAUAUCUCAAUGAUCAUCAUAUCUAUCCCUGAUUUGUUAUAGUUCAUCACAAAGCUCUAGCAGCUUGGUGGUAAUGACUUUGGAAAAACAUCACUAUCUCAUCUGGAAGAUCAACUCCCACUCGAUUCAAGUGAUUGUUGCACUCAGACAAUCUGAGCACAAGCUCAACGAUUGAGCUUUUCUCCCUUAGUUUGCAGGUUAAGAAAAUCGUCGGAGGUCUUAUACCUCUUGACGUGGGCACGAGCCUGAAAUCCCAAUUUCAGCCCUCGAAACAUCUCAUAUGUUCCGCGAUGUUUCAAAAAACGUCUUUGGUGCCUUAAUUCCAAACCGUUUAACUGAACUAUCACGUAGUUAUCAAAACGUGUAUGUCCGAUGUUCACAACAUCCACAAACGACGUUUGGGGUUCAGCACACUGAGCGGUGCAUUAAGGACAUGAGCUUUCUAGUGUCCGCAUAAUCGCUACUGUCAACUUUCAACUAUAUUUUCUCUAGGAACAUAUCUAAAACAGUAGAACUAAAGCGCGAGCUACGACAUAAUUUGCAAAAAGGUCUUUUGACUAUGUUCAAGAUAAUUAAGUUCAUCUUAUGAACUCCCACUUAGAUAGACAUCCCUCUGGUCAUCUAAGUGAUCACAUGAUCCGAGUCAACUAGGCCGUGUCCGAUCAUCACGUGAGACGGACUAGUCAUCAUCGGUGAACAUCUUCAUGUUGAUCGUAUCUACUAUACGACUCAUGCUCGACCUUUCGGUCUCCGUGUUCCGAGGCCAUGUCUGCACAUGCUAGGCUCGUCAAGUUAACCCUAAGUGUUUUCGCUGUGUAAAACUGUCUUACACCCGUUGUAUGUGAACGUAAGAAUCCAUCACACCCGAUCAUCACGUGGUGCUUAGAAGCGACGAACUGUAGCAACGGUGCACAGUUAGGGGAGAACACUUCUUGAAAUUUUGUAAGGGAUCAUCUUAUUUACUACCGUCGUCCUAAGUAAACAAGAUGCAUAAACAUGAUAAACAUCACAUGCAAUCAAAUAGAGUAGUGACAUGAUAUGGCCAAUAUCAUAUAGCUCCUUUGAUCUUCAUCUUCGGGGCUCCAUGAUCAUCUUGUCACCGGCAUGACACCAUGAUCUCCAUCAUCAUGAUCUCCAUCAUCGUGUCUUCAUGAAGCUGUCACGCCAACGACUACUUCUACUUCUAUGACUAACGCGUUUAGCAAUAAAGUAAAGUAGUUUACAUGGCGUUCUUCAAUGACACGCAGGUCAUACAAUAAAUAAAGACAACUCCUAUGGCUCCUGCCGGUUGUCAUACUCAUCGACAUGCAAGUCGUGAUUCCUAUUACAAGAACAUGAUCAAUCUCAUACAUCACAUAUAUAUCAUUCAUCACAUCCUUUUGGCCAUAUCACAUCACAUGACAUACCCUGCAAAAACAAGUUAGACGUCCUCUAAUUGUUGUUGCAUGUUUUACGUGGCUGCUAUGGGUUUCUAGCAAGAACAUUUCUUACCUAUGCAAAACCACAACGUGAUAUGCCAAUUGCUAUUUACCCUUCAUAAGGACCCUUUUCAUCGAAUCCGUUCCGACUAAAGUGGGAGAGACUGGCACCCGCUAGCCACCUUAUGCACCAAGUGCAUGUCAAUCGGUGGAACCUAUCUCACGUAAGAGUACGUGUAAGGUCGGUCCGGGCCGCUUCAUCCCACAAUACAGUCGAAACAAGAUUGGACUAGUAACGGUAAGCAUAUUGAACAAAAUCAACGCCCACAACUACUUUGUGUUCUACUCGUGCAAAGAAUCUACGCAAUAGACCUAGCUCAUGAUGCCACUGUUGGGGAACGUAGCAGAAAUUCAAAAUUUUCCUACGUAUCACCAAGAUCUAUCUAUGGAGAGACCAGCAACGAGGGGAAGGAGAGUGCAUCUACAUACCCUUGUAGAUCGCUAAGCGGAAGCGUUCAAGUGAACGGGGUUGAUGGAGUCGUACUCGUCGUGAUUCAAAUCACCGAUGAUCAAGUGCCGAACGCACGGCACCUCCGCGUUCAACACACGUACAGCCCGGUGACGUCUCCCACGCCUUGAUCCAGCAAGGAGAGAGGGAGAGGUUGAGGAAGACUCCAUCCAGCAGCAGCACAACGGCGUGGUGGUGGUGGAUGAGCAUGGCAAUCCCGCAGGGCUUCGCCAAGCACCAUGGGAGAGGAGGAGGAGGGAGAGGGGCAGGGCUGCACCAACGAGAGAUCGAAUCGCGUGUUAUGGGCAGCCCUAUGCCUCACUAUUUAUAGGGGGAGAGGGGGCUGCGCCCCCCUCUAGGGUUUCCCACCCCCAAGGGGUGCGGCCAGCCCUAGAUGGCAAAGGGGGCGGCGGCCAGGAGGGGGAGGAGAGGGAGGCGUAGGGAGCAUGGGCCUUAGGGCCCAUCUGCCCUAGGGUUUCCCCUCUCCCCUCCUAGCUGCGCCUUGGGCAAGGGUGGGAGGCGCACCAGCCCACUCUGGGGCUGGUCCCUUUCCACUCUAGGCCCAAGCAAGCCUCCGGGGCCGGUGGCCCCACUUGGUGGACCCCCGGGACCCUCCCGGUGGUCCCGGUACAAUACCGAUAUCGCCCGAAACUUUUCCGGUGACCAAAUCAGGACUUCCCAUAUAUAAAUCUUUACCUCCGGACCAUUACGAAACUCCUCGUGACGUCCGGGAUCUCAUCCGGGACUCCGAACAGCAUUCGGUAACCACAUACAAACUUCCUUUAUAACCCUAGCGUCAUCGAACCUUAAGUGUGUAGACCCUACGGGUUCGGGAGACAUGCAGACAUGACCGAGACGUUCUUCGGUCAAUAACCAACAGCGGGAUCUGGAUACCCAUGAUGGCUCCCACAUGUUCCACGAUGAUCUCAUCGGAUGAACCACGAUGUCAAGGACUUAAUCAAUCCCAUAUUCAAUUCCCUUUGUCUAUCGGUAUGUUACUUGCCCGAGAUUCGAUCGUCGGUAUACCGAUACCUUGUUCAAUCUCGUUACCGGCAAGUCACUUUACUUGUUCUGUAACACAUCAUCCCGUGAUCAACUCCUUGGUCACAUUGCGCAUAUGAUGAUGUCCUACCGAGUGGGCCCAGAGAUACCUCUCCGUUUACACGGAGUGACAAAUCCCAGUCUCGAUCCGCAUAAAACAAUAGAUACAUUCGGAGAUACCUGUAGUGCACCUUUAUAGUCACCUAGUUACGUUGUGACGUUUGAUACACCCAAAGCACUCCUACGGUAUCCAGGAGUUACACGCUCUCAUGGUCAAAGGAAGAGAUACUUGACAUUGGCAAAGCUCUAGCAUACGAACUACACGAUCUUUGUGCUAGGCUUAGGAUUGGGUCUUGUCCAUCACAUCAUUCUCCUAAUGAUGUGAUCCCGUUAUCAACGACAUCUAAUGUCCAUAGCCAGGAAACCAUGACUAUCUGUUGAUCACAACGAGCUAGUCAACUAGAGGCUCACUAGGGACAUAUUGUGGUCUAUGUAUUCACACGUGUAUUACGAUUUCCGGGUAAUACAGUUAUAGCAUGAAUAAAAGACUAUUAUCAUGAACAAAGAAAUAUAAUAAUAACACUUUUAUUAUUGCCUCUAGGGCAUAUUUCCAACAGGUUGUCUCAUUGAAACCGUCCUCAGGAACUGAGUUAUGUGUUUGUGAUCCAUGAACAGUUACUACCACACAUUGGGUUCCGGUAACUCGGCCCCUCUCGGCUUAUUAAUCAACUUGAUCUCUGUCCAGGAGUUGCAACUAGUUUCUGGUGUUUGUAGGUAGUGUUAGUAGUCUACCAAGUGGCACCAGGUACAGGUGGGCUUGGGACAGACUAGGCACAGUGGCACGGUGUACCAAGCGUAGAUCCACCCAUCGAGGUGGGCUUGGGAACCCUGCUCACAUCGUUUGGGGCCGUGAGCGACACCCCGGCCGGAUCUCCUUGCGGAUGGAAUCCGAAUAGGCGAUAAACCUGGACGAGAGACUUGUGUGGUUAGUCAGGUCGUGGCCGACACCCUCGCUGGGCUUCCGCUUGAAGGUUGCCGAGUACAUGUCGUGUAAACGGCGGUAAGUGGUGAGAGCGUGUGUGAAGAAGUACACCCCUGCAGGGUUAACAUUAUCUAUUCGAAUAGCCGUGUCCGCGGUAAAGGACUUCUGGGUUGCCUGUACAGUUCAUAGACAAGUGAAAGUGGAUACUCUAAAAUACGCAAGAUAAGCGUGAGUGCUAUGGAUGGCGUUCUCGUAGGGAGACGGGAGCGGAUCCAUAGUGGUGUAUUGAUAUGGUGAAUGUGUGCACUCGUGUGCGCCACCUCAAAGAGUUACAUUGCAGUCGUAGUUCAGGAUAGCCACCGAGUCAAAGCUGGCUUGCUGCAGUUAAACCCCACCAUCCCCUUUGUUGAUAAUGAUGCAUAUGUAGUUAGAUCUGAUGUAAGUCUUGCUGGGUACAUUUGUACUCACGUUGCUUAAUCUAUGUUUUUGCAGAGAGACUUCAUUCUUGAUAGUAGUUCCGCUUGGACUUCGACGUUUAGCUUGUUACCUCAGCUAUGAUCUUGUGCCCUCGGCAGGAUCUAGUAGAUAGUCAGGCUUCUCAGCCUUUUCCAUUUAUAGUUGUCUGUACUCAGACAUGUUAAGCUUCCACUUGUGCUUGACUUGUUUGCUCUGAAUGUUGGGUCAUGAGACCCAUGUUUGUAAUAUCUCGCUCCUCGGAGCCUUUUGAAUAAAAUACUUGAGUUGUAGAGUCAUGUUGUGUUGCCAUGUUGUAUUUGCACAUAUCGAGCAUAUUGUGUGUAUGUUAUUGAAAUGCUUGGUAUGUGUGGGAUCUGACUAUCUAGUUGUUUAUCCUUAGUAGCCUCUCUUACCGGGAAAUGUCUCCUAGUGUUUCCACUGAGCCAUGGUAGCUUGCUACUGCUCCGGAACACUUAGGCUGGCCGGCAUGUGUCCUUCUUCGUUCCUGUGUCUGUCCCCUCGGGGAAAUGUCACGCAAUGAAUUCCAGAGUCAUGUUAGCCCGCUACAGCCCGGUUCACCGGAGUCCUGCUAGCCCAGUGCUACAGCCUGGAUUCACUCGCUGAUGACUGACACGUUCGUUGUUGGGUCAUGUAUGCCUGUCCCUGUAAGUUAGUGCCACUUUGGGUUCACGACUAGCCAUGUCAGCCCGGGUUCUUUGUCACAUGGAUGCUAGCGGCACUAUCAUAUACAUGAGCCAAAAGGCGUAAACGGUCCCGGGCCAGGUAAGGUGGCACCCGUGGGAAUACCAUGCGUGAGGCCGCAAAGUGAUAUGAUGUGUUACAUGCUAGAUCGGUGUGACUUAGGAUUGGGGUCCUGACACAUACAUAGAGGGAGAAGAGACCGAGCCCUGCCUCCUUCUGCCUCUAGCAUAUAGCUCGAGGAGCGCCAUUGUAUUCACUAGUGCCUUAGUGAUCAUGCGGAGACCCCACAGAGCAGGACCAGGGGUGUUAUCUCCAAGGAGAGCCCCAAACCCGGUAAAAUGCGCCGGCGUUCGUGUCUACGCCUCAUCCCGCUUCCAGGCACCGGCGACGUUCUACUCGCUCCCACCAUGAUAAGCCAUCCUUUUGCAUAUGUCGCACCCAACCCCCGACAAGUGUCACCGCUCCUGUGCUGGAGGCGUCUAUGCUCCACAAUCAUAACCACUCCAUUGAGAUCACCUUUGCGGGUCUUGCCAGGUCGACGACACUUCCACGUCGUGACUCAUGUAUGCGUCAUGCGUGACGUUGACAUUGAUUGUAUUCUAAAAUUCGGUGGGGGUAUAUCUAGUAGCAAAUAACCACGCUGACGAGGUCUUCUCUCUCGGUCUUUAGUUGACGUAGCGUUACCCGUACGCCUUAUUUGCAAUCAAUUCCCCGCGAGGUUGACACUAAUUGCAUUCUAAAAUACAAUGAGAUAUACCUAGUAGCAAAUAAUAAUCAAUCCGACAUGGUCUUUGGUUGCCCUAGCGUUAUCGGUACCUUUUAUUUGCAAUCAAUAAAUAUCACGGGAGGCUGUCGCUGACCACGUCUAUAAAUCACAAUACCAAUGGCAAACACAUCUAUCUAUGUCAAUAACCAAAGAAAUGCAAACUCCAUGGAUAUGGAUAAAUACAAGUAAACAAUAGGGAGACAUCAAAUGUCAGCUUUGUCACCCACAACUAUCCAUCUUGCAGGUUGGAAAAGGUAAAGCAAGCCAUGCCUUGUCAGUUUUGUUUAGGGUCGCCAUCUCGCAUCGUCGUGGUGCUUUAAAUUUAAAUCCAUGUCAGUAAACAUAACAUGAACCUUGGCCACGAGCUUUGCCAUAAGGACAAUGUUGAGCACUUUGCAAACUAGGGUUUGGACAUCUAUGUCUUCAAAGGAUGCCGAUCAACCGAGACUGCACCAAGAGCAUGAACCCCAUUAUAUUGCCAUCAACCAUCACUAGCAGACACACAUGAGCUUGGGUGGCAAAACAAAGAGCCAGUCAAAGUCCACAUAAGAACAAUGAGGUGCAGCAAAAUGAUAGCUUUACGACCCCGAGCGGCAGCGGCGCCCAUCUCCCCCCAUCAACACCAUAAUUGAGGAGAGCGGACCACAACAAGGAUACGAGUGGAGUUCCUCUACGAUGCCUCUAGGAAGUGGAAUGAUGCUCACAUCCGCCACUGUUGCGGAGCUUGCACCCAUAACCACACUUGUAUAGGAGUUUUCCCAAACCUCUAAAAGACAACGUGCAAAACAUCUAGUUGUAAACAACCACUUCGACAAGUUCUUCUCUCUCGGCCACUAAUUGAUGUACCAUCGGUGACGCUUUUACUUUGCAAUUGAAUAGUGUGCUAGGCUGAUGUCAAUCAUGUUUUGAAGCAAUUUCACCGCUCCUAUGUUAGAGGCGACUAUGCUCCACAACCGUAACCACUCCGUCAUUGAGAUCACCUUUGCGGGUCUUGCCGUGUCGUGACUCACAGAUGCGUCAUACGUGAUUUUGACAUUGAUUGUAUUCAAAAAUUUGAGGGGGAGGGGGGGGGGUAUAUCUAGUAUGAAAUAACCACGCCGACGAGGUCUUCUCUCUCGGGCUUUGGUUGACGUAGCGUUACCGAUACGCCUUAUUUGCAAUCAAUUGCGCGCGAGGUUGACACUUAUUGCAUUCUAAAAUACAAUGAGAUAUACCUAGUAGCAAAUAAUAAUCAGUCUAACAUGGUCUUUGGUCGCCCUAGCUUUAUCGGUACCUUUUAUUUGCAAUCAAUAAAUAUCUCGGGAGGCUGUCGCCGACCACGUCUAUAAAUCACAAUACCAAUGGCAAACACAUCUAUCUAUGUCAAUAACCAAAGAAAAGCAAACCCCAUGGAUAUGGAUAAACACAAGUAAACAAUAGGAGGGGGACACCAAAUGUGAGCUUUGUCACCCACAACUAUCCAUCUUGCAGGUUGGAAAAGGUAAAGCAAAGCCAUGUCUUAUCUUUUUUGUUUUAGAGGUCGCCGUCGCACAUCGCCGUGGUGAUUAAAAUUUAAAUCCAAGUCAUUAUCGUUCGUUGAUUAGUUGCUGUUCUAUUUUUCUAAAGCGAUAUAAAGUUUUUGGAAGCACCACUGUGUACGCCGGAGAGGGACGUGCCGUGGAGAUUUCCCUGCCACCACCACCACCCUCUCUCUCUCUCUGCAUCUCGACGUCGACGUCGCCGUCUCCGUCUCCAUCAGAUCAUUUAUUCCGUCCACCUGCCUCGCCCUCGCCGAAUUGCAAGCCCGCGUUCGUGCAAAUCGCCUCGGCUUUGCCCGCCCAAGAUUCCCCACAUCCUGCCUCCCAUCGCCGGAAUCGCGGGCGGGCGGGCGGGCGCUCUGAGGAUUCGAGGCGGCGGCCGCCCGUGAUCCCCCCUCCGGCCUCCCGCUUUUCUUGCCGGGAUUUGGGGCUGAUACGGAGGGGAAUUGCCGGUCUUGGCCCCGCUCGCCUCGAUCGGGACCAGCGAGCGACCCCGGCGGUUCUUGUGGACGGCGGGUUCUUGACUUCUUGCCAUCUUUCCCCCAACGGUGCCCCCUGAUUUUUGAGGAAUUCGGUGAGCAUUUGAUAGGGGGUCUUCCCGUGCGCUCAAGGAAGGGUGGUGUGCCGUGAAGGCCUCGUCUUUGGGCAUCCAUGGGGUUCCUCAGCCUCGUGGGCAACUCCUUCGGGUGCUCGGCCUCCGGCGAGCGCCUCGUCUCGGCGGCCCGGGACGGCGACCUGCAGGAGGCGCGCGCGCUCCUCGAGUACAACCCCCGGCUGGCCCGCUACUCCACAUUCGGCGGCCGCAACUCGCCGCUGCACUACGCCGCGGCGCAGGGUCACCAUGAGGUAAUGCCAUUUUGUCUUCCAGGCUGGCUAAAAUGUUGUCAUUUAUGCAUCCAAAAAAAUCUGUUGACACCAUGUCUAGAUUGUUUCUCUGUUGCUCGAAUCCGGUGUGGAGAUCAACCUCAGGAAUUACAGGGGGCAGGUAAAUUCAAUCUUUGCUAUACUACAUUUUUGUAAUUUUCAGUUCGACAUCAGAGAUGAAGCCGGUCGGGAACCUGUAAUGAAGCCUGUAUGUUUCUGGUUAUGUGUAGACUGCUCUGAUGCAAGCCUGCCAAUAUGGCCACUGGGAGGUUGUUCAGACACUGAUGCUCUUCAAUGCAAAUGUGAGCAUUUUUCUUGCUAUUUCACUGGUAUUCUUUUUUACUGCUUGGAUAUGUAGUCCUGAGGCGGCGAAAUGUCUUUCAGAUCCACAGGACAGAUUAUUUGAAUGGCGGGAUUGCUAUCCAUUUUGCUGCACUGCAUGGUCAUGCCCGGUGCCUUCGUCUCGUGCUUGCAGAUUAUGUGCCAAGCAUCCCAAACUUCUUAAGCCAGACGAAUCACAGAUCGUCUGAGGAAGUUUCAGAUGCUGAUUUUGAUGAUGAGUAUGUUGGGUCCAUUGCUUGUUUCUCAUUUAUUUCUUAAACGAAUCAUGUAGUGACAUACCUGUCUUGGCAGUGGUUUGGUCAAGAUGGUAAACUGGAAGGCAGAUGGAGGCCUAACCCCACUUCAUAUGGCAGCGUUAAAUGGCCAUGUAGAGUGUGUACAGUUGUUAUUGGACCUGGGAGCAUCAGUUUCUGAGGUCACCAUUGAAGAUGGAACAACUAUCGACCUUAUAGGUAUUUUGCUACUGCUUUUUUCCUGCUGCUUUUUAACUCAAUAGGUACUGUAUUUUUCAGCUUUGUGUUUUGAUGCAGAUAUGAUGGGGUUAUAACUUAUAAGUUCCUUUGUUUUCAUCUGACAGGAUCAGGUAGCACCCCACUUCAUUACGCUGCUUGUGGUGGAAAUGCUGUAUGUUGUCAAGUAUGUUCUGCUAAUCUGAAGGCAGUUUUGCUGUUUAAAUGUAUGGUGAUUUUCUCAACAUCCGCUAACCAUACAUUGUUGAGUGCAGCUUCUUAUUGCUCGAGGAGCCAACCUUGCUGCCAAAAAUGCUAGUGGGUAUGAUUUUGAAUUGCUGAUACAUACAAAGAACUGUCAUUGUUUUCGUCCUCAUUAUGAUUUGGUUGUUGAUUUGCCUUAUGCAGCUCGACCCCGUUAAUGGUAGCUCAUUCAUGGCAUAGAACCUCUAUUGAGGAAAUUUUGAGUAAUGAACCAGGGGGUCAAAUACGUACUCUUCCUUCUCCAUAUUUGUGCCUCCCACUUAUGAGUAUCAUGAGCAUUGCCAGGUCAGUGCGUACUAAAUGUUGCAAAAAAGCUGAACUUUCUGCUUUCCAGUUGUCCUGCUCAUGUGCAAAUUGAGUUUGUUUAGCUAUAAAAAAAGUAUGCAAUAAGUUUUUGAGGCUGUCCGUAUCUUCGGCUGAGAAGGCCGGGGACAAUAUCUCCAUUAUCGAAAACAAGAAAGUCUGCUGCUAAAUAGGUUAUCUUCCCUUUUCUGUAGUCUGCGUUUGAAAAAAUGUAAUAGAGAACUGAACAUUAUUUCUUAUAAGUUGUCAUCCCUAUUCAUAUAUGUAUUAUUGACUUGCAUAAUUAUUGGUCUCUUAUAGUAUGAUCAGACCACUAUGUUGUCCCUAACCCUGGCAACAUGAAGAUAUUGUGGCUUCUAUUUUUUAACAGACUGUCAUAAUAAACUAUUGUCAAGUGUUUAUUUUGGUUAGUGGUAACAUCUGAUAGUUAGGUGUCUAUUUGCUUUGUAGGGAGUGUGGUUGGAGGUACCUAAACAAGUCACCUGUAUGCAUUGACCCAUGUGCUGUCUGCUUAGACGGGAGCUGCUCUGUUGCCGCAGAAGGUACGCAGUGAAAUAUACAUUUUACCCACAUCACAUGCUAUUGUGCUUUAAGCAAACUGUCAGUUUACUGGAAAUGAUUUCAUCUUUCACAAAAGGACAUGAAACUGUUGAAGUACUACCUGCAUGAGUGUCAUAUGAAGUUCAUCAAUCAGCUCACACUUUAUGUUCUGGCACAUAUCCACUUGGUAACUCAACAACCGCAGGGAGUACAAAAAGCAAGCGCGUUUCUUGCUUUCGGUUAAUGACUGCGAGCCUUUUCACCUGUGCAGGAUGCAAACACGAGUUCUGCACGAGAUGCGCCCUGUACCUCUGCUCGACCAGCUACACGUCGGCGAACCCCGCGGGCGCCAUACCGUGCCCGCUGUGCCGGCACCCGAUCACCUCCUUCGUGGCGCUCCCCGGCACGAGCCCGAUAAGGGAGCAGCUCCCCCGGAACAGCCUCUCGCUGUCGUUCUGCGCGACGUGCCCGGCGGUGAGCUCCGACUCGGCGGCCCCUGGUGGAGGCCACCCGUACCGGGCCAGCAGCGAGCUCCACUGCGGCGGGGGCAUGCGGAUGCCGCCGAUGGGGUCGUCGUCGUUCCGGUCGCUGAGCUGCCAGGCGAUGAAGCUGAACCCGUCCUUCUGCAUGGGCGCCAUGGACACCAACCCGUGCCUCAUCCGGUGCUCGCGGUUCGGGUCGAGCCUGGGCCGGUCGGCGUCCCACGGCGAGGCCAACCGGCGAGGAGGGGCGUGGCCCGUGACAUUCAGCCCCAUCGUCGCCACCAGCAGCUGAUGAACCGCAUCCGGUUUCGCCUGCCAUUUUUUGCGGCUUUUUUUCGAAAGGGUGUGUCAUAUUUUGCCUGUUAGUUUGGCUGGCUGCCCCCCCUCCUAUCUAUUUUACCGCGGUGGGGCGGUCGAAAUCCCUCCCCUAUUGGUAUCUAUAUCUAUCAUAUCAUGAGUAGCGAUGUAGCAACAUAUGGAAAUGGAACUAUUCCUACCUACCUGGGUUUGUAAAUAACCUUGUGUUUUUUGGGCGAGCGAUUGGAAUGCAGAUGCAGUGGCACUGCUUUUUGAAACGCUUUUGUUUGAACCGGUGGUUGAAUGGCUGUGAGUGGCCGGCACAAAGGGUGGGGCGGGCGGCGCUGGUCGCCGGCCGUUGGUACAGCCCUGCAUGUUGUACUCCCUCCGUCCCGAAAAACAUGUUGCGCUGGUGUUUUUGCAAUUUAGUCCUCAUUGUUUUCCCGACCAAACCCGCGGUCCUCGUCGUUCUCCUCAGUCCUCACUCGACUGACGCCCGCAGAUUUGCUCGCCCCCUCCCUCCCCAUGCCCCUGCCGCCUUGCUCCCCCUCCUCUUGCCCCCGCAUCCUUGCUCCCCCACACCCCUGCCGCCGCCGCCGCCUUGCUUCCGCCCCGCCGCCCCAUGCCGCUGCCUCGUUUCCCUCCGUCCGCCGCCCGCAGAGGAACGUGAAGAUUCAGUUUUUUUGGAGAAGACCGCCCAACGCCCAACGCCCGCUCUCCUUCCGCAUGUGCCCGUCGUCGACCACCUCCUCGCCGUCGACCACGAAGCUAGCACCCUCCAUGGAGGUUUUCGACCUGAGCAGUGGGAAGCACGUGUGCCCCUUUUCCACUUCCAAGCUGGAGCACUACGCGGCUUCACCGACAUCGAUUACAUCUCGCCGGAGCAUUACGCGGCUGCACCAAGGAGUCCGCCAGAGUCAAAGGUCUCAUUUUCCCCCUUCUCCUCCCUUCAGUCUCUUGCAAUUUAUUUUUCAUCUUCUUCGAUUGGUCUACCGGAAAUGGAACAGAGCUAAACAGAGCAAGCUAGAGUUGCAUGGUGGCGUUCGUGGUGAGGGACAAGCCAUCAGGUUGAGAGUAUCUCUAUUCUCUAGGAGAGCCUGCACCAUGUUAAACCUCCACUUGCAGAGUUGUUGUUUUCAAUUAACUGAAAUUACACCAAAGAAUUUCAGUUAAAAGAUGUCCUCUUGCACUGAACCUGAACUAAAACUGAUCGAUAUUUUAGCAUUUUCUGUUUCAGGAUUGGCUAAAAUAGUGCUGAGAUGGAUGGAAGAACCCUUAAGUUUGUUGUUCCUCUUUUAAAAAAUAAAAGUUCGUUGUUCCUGCAUUGAACGGUUAAGCAGGGUCAUGUUGUGAUAAAUCCCUUUGUCAAUUUCAGGUGUCCAUCAAGUAUGGAUGGGGUGGAGUAUGAGAAUUUUGCUUUGUGUCAAUAUCAGUUGUCGAUCAAGUAUGGAUGGGGUGGAGCAUGACAGUAAAUUUCAGGUGUCCAAGUCCAACCAGCUGCUGCUCCGUCCUUAUCUUUAUCUAUGCCAUAACCAUCUUUGUUUUCUGAGAGACAGAAUUUUUUUGAGUUGCUGUUUAUGGUGGUAAAAAGAAAAGAAUGCAGCUUAGUCCUGCUAUCAAACACUUUGCUCUAACCACUUCUACUCAUAAUUAUUUGAAACAUUAUUCACUGUAGUCUCAGUUAACUGAAUUUUCUGAAGCCAUUUUCUUGCUCACAAGUUGACAGAAAACUGUUUGAAAGAAAUUUUGACAUAAGUUAACUGAAACAAAUUUAGAAACGACAGUUCUCCUGUGAUUUAGAUUCAGUAAACAUGACAGUAAAAUUGCUCUAAGAGUACUGACUAAAUUCAGGGCUUGUUGUAUUAAGCAAAUCAAUUGACUACCUAUUCUUUUUUGCCUAACUGAAUGUUGACUGAAUGUUGACACAAUUACCUAUUCUUUUUCAGGGCAUAGAUAGGUUCAAUUAAUUUGCUUGAAUUAUCAAAAUUACUGUCACUACUACUGUAUGCUUUGACACUGUCGAAACUGAUUUAGUGUGAAUAUGUGCCUUAUGUAACCAAUAAUUUCUGUAUCAAGGUUUAGUGUGAAUAUGUGCCUUAUGUAGUGAUUCUCUCCCAACAAGCUUCAGACCACGUUUUGUACACACCUACUGUUAACUGUUUUAUUCAGUGUUUCUCUGAAGAAAUCUGAACAUUAUUUUCAUUUAACUUGUACUUGCAGCACAAGCAUGGCCAUCCACCAACACGCAAAACAAGUUCAAGACCAAAAAUAUGUGUUUCUUGCUGUUUACUCAACUGAACCAGAUUUGGGUUUUCAAGUUCCAAGGUUUCUGCUAACAGCAUACAGAUUAAAUUGAAAAACUGGAUUCAUCUAAAUCAUGGACAGUUCAAAACCAAUUAUUUCCAAACCAAUUAUUUCUAGCUUGCUCCCUCCACCCCCCCCCCCUGAUAUCUACUGUUUUUUAUUCAAUUAACACUAAUCAUAUUCAGUUAACAGGAGCAGAGCAGUUCUUCUUGACGAACAGGAGUAGAGCAGCAACUCCCGUACACUGAUCAUAUUCAGCACAGGGACCAGAGGAGCAACUCCUUGCGGUACCUUCUUCUUCUUGACGAGCAGGAGCUCUGGUGGCAGCACGGGCAGACGAGCAGCAGCAGCACCGGCGGUAGGGGAGAAGCAGCCGCACGGGCUCGCGCGGAAGAUUGAGGAGGGCGCGCGGGCAGGGGAGAAGGAGGACGCGCGCGAGCUCCUGGUCCACCGGAUCGUGGAGGCAAUUUCCGGCGACGCCUGUAGGGGAUCGCGACCGGGAUGAAUUGCGGCGGCGCACGCGUGGGAGCUCGAGGAGGAUGCACUGGAGCUUGAGGAGGAUGUGCUGGAGCUUGAGGAGGAUGCACUGGACCUCGAGGAGGACGCCCGCGAGCUCGAGGAGGACGUGGCCGGAGGUCCCGACGAUGCCCGCAGGUAAUCGAGGCGGGAGGGGAUCGCGGCGACGCAGGUCUGAGCGGGGAAGGCGGCGGAGCAGGUACUUGGCGGCGGCGGCGGCGGAGCAGGUAGGUGGCGACGGCGGAGGAGCACUUCCUGAUGGGCGGCGAGUCGCGCAGCUGGGCGGCGCCGGCCCCUAUCGACGACGGAGGAAGAAAACAGGGGGCGGAGGGGCUUGUUUCAGACGAUUUUAAAACUACAAGGGCUUUUUUGCAAAAUCAACAUUGAACUGCGCCCGCGACAUGUUUUUCGGGACGGAGGGAGUAUGUUGCUGCGCUUUUGGUGGCUCCGAUAACUGUCCGUCGUCCUCUCCAUGGACCAUGGCUCCAUGUGCUGCGCUGCACGUACUGCUGCAGCACUUGUUUAUGAUUGUUGCCAUGCUUUCCUGUUGCUGUUGUCAUCGUCAAGAAGAGUUCAUUGGAGAUGCUACUAGUACAAUUCCAGAACCAGAAGAGAUCUUUCCUCCCCAUUGUGAUUAGAAUAGUAGUACGAUUGUCCUCCGACAUUACAGUUGUAGGAGAAUGAUGGCGUUGCCCGUGGAACUGAUUUGGCCGAGGUGGUUCGCAUGAUGGAAACCUGGCCACAGGAACUUCUCCACAGAUUUUAUAUUUCCCAAGUCACUUUUGCAUAUUUUAAGAGCAGCGUGCGCGUCCAGACAUAACGGUCGGGCUGCGACGCUGUGACUCACUGGAGCGCCGGUGGCCACAGCGCACCAACCCAUUUAGCAAGGGAGAUAAUCCUCGAAAAAUAAAAAUAAAAAUAGCAAGGGAGAUCGAUCACUGUGCAACAGUAAACGGCAUUGUUCUUGUCCGUUUGGCGUACUCGGCCCUGAUCUUUUUCAGCGCCGCAACCACAUCGCGCAUCGUCAUCCUCUGCUCACUCCGAGUCGCUGGAGCAGAGCAAACCUAGCUCGAAAAUGGGCGUGAAAAGGCCAUCGUCCGAGCUCCUGCUAGAAAGGCAGGACCCUUGCAGUAGUUGGCCGUCCACGACCCGGAGAAGCUCCACAGGGGAUGCCUGAUGGACCCACUGUCGGAGGGUCAAAUGUGGCAUCCGUGGGUCUCCUCCCAGUAAAGACUUCUAGGAGCAUGACCCUGUAGCUGAACACGUCACUCUUCCGCGAUGCUUUUCCGAGAGACCGCGAUGCUUUUCCGAGAGACCCGUACUCUGCUCAACAAAACCAUGAACGCGAAUUGAAGCAUGGUCACUCGACCAUAUCGAUGCAGGUGGAUACAUAUUCUAUAAGUGGUCGAAUAGGAUAACAAAAGCUGGGUAAUUAGGUACCUGGUGCCAUGUAUCCAACUGUUCCUGGCAUGCUCGCGCAUAUCAUGCAGUUGUCAUCUGGAAUCAACCUUGCAAUGCCAAAGUCUGCUACAUGCGUCGUCAUCUCCUCGUCAAAUAGCACAUUGCUAGGCUUCAGGUCAUGGUGCAAGAUCAGCUCACUGUGAUCAUGAUGGAGGUACUCCAUUGCCAUCGACACGUCGAUCAUGAUGCCUAGUGUCUCAAGGAACCCUAGGCGCCAUGCAUGAACUCUGAGGCUUGUGUAGGAGCUUAUCUAAGCUGCCAUUUGGCAUGUACUGAAGCACCAGUGAUAUGAAGUCAAGGUUGGAACACGUGUUGAAUAUCUUUGAAAGGUAGCAGGUGCAUUACAUAAAUCGAAUGGCAUACGUCUAUAAGUAUAAGUUUCAAAAGGACAAGUAAAAGUGGUCCUCUCUUGAUCAGGUUGUGAAACAGGUAUUUGUGAAAAUCCAGAAUAUCCAUCAAGAAAGCAAAAAUGUGUGUGCUUAGAUAAUCUUUCUAACAUUUGAUCGAUAUAAGGCAGAGGGUAAUGAUCUUUUCUAGUUUCUUUGUUUAAUUUUCUAUAAUCAAUUACCAUUCUAUAGUCUAUGACAAUUCUUUGUGGAAUAAGCUCAUUCUUGUCAUUAGGAACAACAGUAAUACCUCUCUUCUUAGGGACACAAUGAACAGGACUUAUCCAUCUACUAUCAGCUAUAAGAUAGAUUAUACCUACUUCCAGAAGUUUUAAUAUUUCUGUUCUUACCACUUCUUUCAUCUUCAGAUUUAACCGACGUUGGUGAUCAACAACGGGUUUAGCAUCAGGUUCCAUAUAAAUCUUGUGCUGACAUAGAGUGAGACUAAUGCCCUUAAGAUCAUCAAGAGUAUAUCCAAUAGCAGCCAUGUGCUUCCUUAAAACUUUCAAUAAUCUUUCUUCUUCAUGUUCUGAAAGGUUAGCACUAAUAAUAACAUGAUAUAUCUUUUUUCCAUCAAGAUAAGCAUAUUUCAAAGUGUCUGGCAAUUGUUUUAAUUCAAACACAGGAUCACCUUUAGGUGGAGGAGGACCUCCUAGAGUUUCAAUAGGCAAAUUGUGUUUAAGCAGAAGUUGUUGUUCGAAAAAGAUUCUAUCUAUUUCAUUUCUUUCACGCAUAUGCAAAUCAUUUUCAUGGUCUAGCACGUAUUGUUUCAAAGGAUCAGUAGGAGGUAUAGCAAUAGAAGCAAGACCAAUAAUUUCAUCCUUACUAGGCAAAUCUUUCUUAUGAGGUUGUCUACUAAACUUGGAAAAAUUAAAUUCAUGAGAUUCAUCACUAAAGCUAACACUGACAGUUUGUUUCUCACAAUCUAUUUUGGCAUUAACGGUGUUCAAGAAAGGUCUGCCAAAAAUAAUGGGACAAAAGUCAUCUUGUGGGGAGCUAAGAACAAGAAAUUCAGUAGGGUAUUUUAUUUUCCCACACAAGACUUCAACAUCUCUAAGAAUCCCAAUUGGUGAUAUAGUAUCUCUAUUAGCAAGUUUAAUAGUGACAUCUAUGCCUUCUAUUUCAGCAGGUGCUAUUUCAUUCUUAAUUUUUUUAUAUAAGGAAAAAAGGAAUAACACUCACACUAGCACCUAGGUCACAUAACCCAUGAUAACAGUGAUCUCCUAUCUUAACUGAGACAACAGGCAUGCCAAUAACUGGUCUAUGUUUAUCCUUUUUAUCAGGUUUGGCAAUUCUAGAAGCUUCAUCACAGAAGUAAAUAAUAUUGCCCAUCAAUAUUAUCGACUAAGAGAUCUUUAACCAUAGCAACACUAGGUUCAACUCUGAUUUGUUCAGAUGAUUUGGGUGUUCUAACAUAACUUUUGUUAACCAUAGUUGAAGCUUUAACAUGCUCCUUCAUCCUAUCAGGGAAAGGUGUUUUUUCAAUAUAAUCAGUGGGAACAACUGGAUCAACAUUGUAAAUGAUAGUUUCUUCUUUAGCUUUUACCGGUUCUUUAACUUCUUCUUUAAUAGGUGGAUGAUAUUUAAACUGUUGGGGAACGUUGCAGAAAAUUAAAAUUUUUCCUACGGUUUCACCAAGAUUCAUCUAUGAGUUCAUCUAAGCAACGAGUCAUGGGAGAGAGAUUGCAUCUACAUACCACUUUGUAGAUCGAGCGGAAGCGUUCAAAAGAACGGGGUUGAAGUAGUCGUUCUCGUCGUGAUCCUAUACCGGAGAUCCUAGCGCCGAACGGACGGCACCUCCGCGUUCAACACACGUACGGUCAGCGUAACAUCUCCUCCGUCUUGAUCCAGCAAGGGGGAAGGAGAGGUUGAUGAUGAUGGCUCCAGCAGCAGCACAACGGCGUGGUGGUGGUGGAACAGCAGCACUCCGGCAGGGCUUCGCCAAGCACGUGACGGAGGAGGAAGAGGUGUAGCAGGGGGAGGGGGCGCAAGGACUUCAGGGUGCGGCUGCCCCCUUCGCCCCUCCCUUUACAUAGGCCCCCAGGGGGGCGCCGGCCCUGGGAGAUCUAAUCUCCCAAGGGGGCGGCGGCCAAGGGGGGUGGAGUGCCCCCCAAGGCAAGUGCCCCCCCCACCCUAGGGUUUCAACCCUAGGCGCAGGGGGUGGGCCUAGGGGGGCUCACCAGCCCACUAAGGGCUGGUUCCCCUCCCCACUUUGGCCCUUGGGGCCCUCCGGGAUGGGUGGCCCCACCCGGUGGACCCCCGGGACCCUUCCGGUGGUCCCGGUACAAUACCGGGUGACCCCGAAACUUUCCCGAUGGCCGAAAUACCACUUCCUAUAUAGUUUUCUUUACCUCCGGACCAUUCUGGAACUCCUCGUGAUGUCCGGGAUCUCAUCCGGGACUCCGAACAACAUUCGGUAUGCUGCAUACUCAUAUUCAUACAACCCUAGCGUCAGCGAACCUUAAGUGUGUAGACCCUACGGGUUCGGGAGACACAUAGACAUGACCGAGAUGGCUCUCGGGCAAUAACCAACAGCGGGAUCUGGAUACCCAUGUUGGUUCCCACAUGCUCCUCGAUGAUCUCAUCGGAUGAACCACGAUGUCGAGGAUUCGAACAACCCCGUAUACAAUUCCCUUUGUCAAUCGGUACGUUACAUGCCUGAGACUCGAUCGUCGGUAUCCCAAUACCUCGUUCAGUCUCGUUACCGGCAAGUCACUUUACUUGUACCGUAAUGCAUGAUCCCGUGACCAAACACUUGGUCACUUUGAGCUCAUUAUGAUGAUGCAUUACCGAGUGGGCCCAGAGAUACCUCUCCGUCAUACGGAGUGACAAAUCCCAGUCUCGAUCUGUGUCAACCCAACAGACACUUUCGGAGAUACCUGUAGUGCACCUUUAUAGUCACCCAGUUACGUUGUGACGUUUGGUACACCCAAAGCACUCUUACGGUAUCCGGGAGUUACACGAUCUCAUGGUCUAAGGAAGAGAUACUUGACAUUGAAAAAGCUCUAGCAAAACGAACUACACGAUCUUGUGCUAUGCUUAGGAUUGGGUCUUGUCCAUCACAUCAUUCUCCUAAUGAUGUGAUCCCGUUGUCAAUGACAUCUAAUGUCCAUAGUCAGGAAACCAUGACUAUCUGUUGACCAACGAGCUAGUCAACUAGAGCCUCGCUAGGGACAUGUUAUGGUCUAUGUAUUCACACGUGUAUUACGAUUUUCGGAUAAUACAGUUAUAGCAUGAAUAAAAGACAAUUAUCAUGAAUAAGAAAAUAUAAUAAUAACCCUUUUAUUAUUGCCUCUAGGGCAUAUUUCCAACAGUCUCCCACUUGCACUAGAGUCAAUAAUCCAGUUACAUUGUGAUGAAUCGAACACCCAUAGAGUUCUGGUGUUGAUCAUGUUUUGCUCGCGAGAGAGGUUUAGUCAACGGAUCUGCGACAUUCAGAUCCGUAUGUACUUUGCAAAUAUCUAUGUCUCCAUCUUGAACAUUUUCACGGAUGGAGUUGAAGCGACGCUUGAUGUGCCUGGUCUUCUUGUGAAACCUGGGCUCCUUGGCAAGGGCAAUAGCUCCAGUGUUGUCACAGAAGAGUUUGAUCGGCCCCGACGCAUUGGGUAUGACUCCUAGGUCGGUGAUGAACUCCUUCACCCAUAUUGCUUCAUGCGCUACCUCCGAGGCUGCCAUGUACUCCGCUUCACAUGUAGGUCCCGUCACGACGCUCUGCUUGCAGCUGCACCAGCUUACUGCUCCACCAUUCAACAUAUACACGUAUCCGGUUUGUGACUUAGAGUCAUCCAGAUCUGUGUCGAAGCUAGCGUCGACGUAACCCUUUACGACAAGCUCUUCGUCACCUCCAUAAACGAGAAACAUGUCCUUUGUCCUUUUCAGGUACUUUAGGAUAUUCUUGACCGCUGUCCAGUGUUCCUUGUCGGGAUUACUUUGGUACCUUCCUACCAAACUUACGGCAAGGUUUACAUCAGGUCUGGUACACAGCAUGGCAUACAUAAUAGAUCCUAUGGCUGAGGCAUAGGGGAUGACGCUCAUCUCUUCUUUAUCUUUUGCCGUGGUCGGGCAUUGAGCCGAGCUCAAUCUCACACCUUGCAGCACAGGCAAGAACCCUUUCUUGGACUGAUCCAUUUUGAACUUCUUCAAAAUCUUAUCAAGGUAUGUGCUUUGUGAAAGACCUAUGAGGCGUCUCAAUCUAUCCCUAUAGAUCUUGAUGCCUAAUAUAUAAGCAGCUUCCCCAAGGUCCUUCAUUGAAAAACACUUAUUCAAGUAGGCCUUAAUGCUGUCCAAGAAUUCUAUAUCAUUUCCCAUCAAAAGUAUGUCAUCUACAUAUAAUAUGAGAAAUGCUACAGAGCUCCCACUCACUUUCUUGUAAACGCAGGCUUCUCCAUAAGUCUGCGUAAACCCAAACACUUUGAUCAUCUCAUCAAAGCGAACGUUCCAACUCCGAGAUGCUUGCACCAGCCCAUAAAUGGAUCGCUGAAGCUUGCAUACUUUGUUAGCAUUCUUUGGAUUGACAAAACCCUCCGGCUGCAUCAUAUACAGUUUUUCCUUAAGAUGCCCGUUACGGAAUGCCGUUUUGACGUCCAUCUGCCAUAUCUCAUAAUAAUAGUAUGCGGCAAUUGCUAACAUGAUUCGGACGGACUUAAGCUUUGCUACGGGAGAGAAAGUCUCAUCGUAGUCAAUCCCUUGAACUUGCCGAUAACCCUUAGCGACAAGUCAAGCUUUAUAGAUGGUGACAUUACCAUCCGCGUCCGUCUUCUUCUUAAAGAUCCAUUUGUUUUCUAUCGCUCGCCGAUCAUCGGGCAAGUCAGUCAAAGUCCAUACUUUGUUUUCAUACAUGGAUUCUAUCUCGGAUUUCAUGGAUUCUAACCAUUUGUUGGAAUCUGGGCCCGCCAUUGCUUCUUCAUAGUUCGAAGGUUCACCGUUGUCCAACAACAUGAUUUCCAGGACAGGGUUGCCGUACCACUCUGGUGCGGAACGUGUCCUUGUGGACCCACGAAGUUCAGUAGAACUUGAUCCGAAGUACCUUGAUCAUCAUCAUUGUUUUCCUCUUCAGUUGGUGUAGGCAUCACAGGAACAUUUUCCUUAGCUGCACUACUAUCCCGUUCAAGAGGUAGUACUUCAUCGAGUUCUACUUUCCUCCCACUUACUUCUUUCGAGAGAAACUCUUUUUCCAGAAAGGAUCCGUUCUUGGCAACAAAGAUAUUGCCCUCGGAUCUUAAGUAGAAGGUAUACCCAAUGGUUUCUUUAGGGUAUCCUAUGAAGACGCAUUUUUCCGACUUGGGUUCGAGCUUUUCAGGUUGAAGUUUCUUGACAUAAGCAUCGCAUCCCCAAACUUUUAGAAACGAUAGCUUAGGUUUCUUCCCAAACCAUAAUUCAUACAGUGUCGUCUCAACGGAUUUAGACGGUGCCCUAUUUAAAGUGAAUGUAGCUGUCUCUAGAGCGUAUCCCCAAAAUGAUAGCGGUAAAUCGGUAAGAGACAUCAUAGAUCGCACCAUAUCCAAUAGAGUGCGAUUACGACGUUCGAACACACCGUUACGCUGAGGUGUUCCAGGCGGCGUGAGUUGUGAAACGAUUCCACAUUUUCUUAAGUGUGUACCAAAUUCGUGACUUAAAUAUUCUCCUCCACGAUCCGAUCGUAAGAAUUUUAUCUUUCGGUCACGUUGAUUCUCUACUUCAUUCUGAAAUUCCUUGAACUUUUCAAAGGUCUCAGACUUGUGUUUCAUCAAGUAGACAUACCCAUAUCUACUCAAGUCAUCAGUGAGAGUGAGAACAUAACGAUAUCCUCCGCGAGCUUCAACGCUCAUUGGACCGCACACAUCGGUAUGUAUGAUUUCCAACAAGUUGGUUGCUCGCUCCAUUGUUCUGGAGAACGGGGUCUUGGUCAUUUUGCCCAUGAGGCAUGGUUCGCAUGUGUCAAAUGAUUCAUAAUCGAGAGACUCUAAAAGUCCAUCAGCAUGGAGCUUCUUCAUGCGCUUGACACCAAUGUGACCAAGGCGGCAGUGCCACAAGUAUGUGGGACUAUCGUUAUCAACUUUACAUCUUUUGGUAUUCACGCUAUGAAUAUGUGUAACAUUACGUUCGAGAUUCAUUAAGAAUAAACCAUUGACCAUUGGGGCAUGACCAUAAAACAUAUCUCUCAUAUAAAUAGAACAACCAUUAUUCUCGGAUUUAAAUGAGUAGCCAUCUCGUAUUAAAUGAGAUCCAGACACAAUGUUCAUGCUCAAACUUGGCACUAAAUAACAAUUAUUGAGGUUUAAAACUAAUCCCAUAGGUAAAUGUAGAGGUAGGUGCCGACGGCGAUCACAUCGACCUUGGAACCAUUCCCGACGCGCAUCGUCACCUCGUCCUUCGCCAGUCUCCGCUUAUUCCGCAGCUCCUGUUGUGAGUUACAAAUGUGAGCAAUGGCACCGGUAUCAAAUACCCAGGAGUUACUACGAGUACUGGUGAGGUACACAUCAAUUACAUGUAUAUCAAAUAUACCUUUAGUGUUGCCGGCCUUCUUAUCCGCUAAGUAUUUGGGGCAGUUCCGCUUCCAGUGACCCUUCCCCUUGCAAUAAAAGCACUCAAUUUCAGGCUUGGGUCCAUUCUUUGACUUCUUCCCGGUAACUGGCUUACCGGGCGCGGCAACAUCUUUGCCGUCCUUCUUGAAGUUCUUCUUACCCUUGCCCUUCUUGAACUUAGUGGUCUUAUUGACCAUCAACACUUGAUGUUCUUUCUUGAUUUCAACCUCUGCUGACUUCAGCAUUGAAAAUACUUCAGGAAUGGCCUUUACCAUCCCCUGCAUAUUGUAGUUCAUCACAAAGCUCUUGUAGCUUGGUGGGAGCGACUGAAGGAUUCUGUCAAUGACCGCCUCAUCCGGGAGGUUAAUGUCCAGCUGGACAGGCGGUUGUGCAACCCAGACAUUUUGAGUAUGUGCUCACUGACAGAACUAUUUUCCUCCAUCUUACAACUAUAGAACUUGUCGGGGACUUCAUAUCUCUCGACCCGGGCAUGAGCUUGGAAAACUAGUUUCAGCUCCUCGAACAUCUCAUAUGCUCCGUGUUGCUCAAAAUGCUUUUGGAGCCCCGGUUCUAAGCUGUAAAGCAUGCCACACUGAACGAGGGAGUAAUCAUCAGCGCGAGACUGCCAAGCAUUCAUAAUGUCUUGGUUCUCUGGGACGGGUGCAUCACCUAGCGGUCCUUCUAGGACAUAUUGUUUCCUGGCUGCUAUGAGGAUGAUCCUCAGGUUCCGGACCCAGUCCGUAUAGUUGCUGCCAUCAUCUUUCAGCUUGGUUUUCUCUAGGAACGCGUUGAAGUUCAUGUUGACAUGAGCGUUGGCCAUUUGAUCUACAAGACAUAUUUUGCAAAAGUUUUAGACUAAGUUCAUGAUAAUUAAGUUCAUCUAAUCAAAUUAUUUAAUGAACUCCCACUCAGAUCAGACAUCCCUCUAGUCAUCUAAGUGUUACACGAUCCGAGUCGACUAGGCCGUGUCCGAUCAUCACGUGAGACGGACUAGUCAUCAUCGGUGAACAUCUCCAUGUUGAUCGUAUAUUCUAUACGACUCAUGUUCGACCUUUCGGUCUCUUGUGUUCCGAGGCCAUGUCUGUACAUGCUAGGCUCGUCAAGUUAACCCUAAGUGUUCUGCAUGUGUAAAUCUAUCUUACACCUGUUGUAUGUGAACGUAAGGAUCUAUCACACCCGAUCAUCACGUGGUGCUUCGAAACGACGAACUUUAGCAACGGUGCACAGUUAGGGGGAACACUUUCUUGAAAUUAUUAUAAGGGAUCAUCUUAUUUACUACCGUCGUUCUAAGUAAACAAGAUGCAUAAAACAUAAUAAACAUCUCAUGCAAUUAUAUAGUAGUGACAUGAUAUGGCCAAUAUCAUAUAGCUCCCUUCGAUCUCCAUCUUCGGGGCUCCAUGAUCAUCUUUGUCACCGGCAUGACACCAUGAUCUCCAUCAUCAUGAUCUCCAUCAUCAUGAUCUCCAUCAUUGUGUCUUCAUGAAGUUGUCACGCCAACGACUACUUCUACUUCUAUGGCUAAUGCGUUUAGCAAUAAAGUAAAGUAAUUUACAUGGUGUUCUUCAAUGACACGCAGGUCAUACAAAAAAUAAAGACAACUCCUAUGGCUCCUGCCGGUUGUCAUACUCAUCGACAUGCAAGUCGUGAUUCCUAUUACAAGAACAUGAUCUCAUACAUCACAAUAUAUCAUUCAUCAUUCAUCACAACUUCUGGCCAUAUCACAUCACAUGACAAUUGCUGCAAAAACAAGUUAGACGUCCUCUAAUUGUUGUUGCAUCUUUUACGUGGCUGCAAUUGGGUUCUAGCAAGAACGUUUUCUUACCUACGAAUAACCACAACGUGAUCUUGUCAACUUCUAUUUACCCUUCAUAAGGACCCUUUUCAUCGAAUCCGCUCCAACUAAAGUGGGAGAGACAGUCACCCGCCAGCCACCUUAUGCAACUAGUGCAUGUUAGUCGGUGGAACCAGUCUCACGUAAGCGUACGUGUAAGGUUGGUCCGGGCCACUUCAUCCCACAAUACCGUUGAAGCAAGAUAAGACUAGUAGCGGCAAGCAAGUUGAUAAGAUCUACGCCCACAAAAAAAUUGUGUUCUACUUGUGCAAUAGAGAACUAUGCAUAGACCUAGCUCAUGAUGCCACUGUUGGGGAACGUUGUAGAAAAUUAAAAUUUUUCCUACGGUUUCACCAAGAUCCAUCUAUGAGUUCAUCUAAGCAACGAGUCAUGGGAGAGAGAUUGCAUCUACAUACCACUUUGUAGAUCGAGCGGAAGCGUUCAAAAGAACGGGGUUGAAGUAGUCGUUCUUGUCGUGAUCCUAUCACCGAAGAUCCUAGCGCCGAACAGACGGCACCUCCGCGUUCAACACACGUACGGUCAGCGUAACGUCUCCUCCGUCUUGAUCCAGCAAGGGGGAAGGAGAGGUUGAUGAUGAUGGCUCCAGCAGCAGCACAACGACGUGGUGGUGGUGGAACAGCAGCACUCCGGCAGGGCUUCGCCAAGCACGUGACGGAGGAGGAAGAGGUGUAGCAGGGGAAGAGGGCGCCAGGACUUCAGGGUGCGGCUGCCCCCUUCCCCCCUCCCUUUAUAUAGGCCCCCAGGGGGGGCGCCGGACCUGGGAGAUCUAAUCUCCCAAGGGGGUGGCGGCCAAGGGGGGUGGAGUGCCCCCCAAGGCAAGUGGGGCGCCCCCCCCACCCUAGGGUUUCAACACUAGGCGCAGGGGGUGGGCCUAGGGGGGCGCACCAGCCCACUAAGGGCUGGUUCCCCUCCCCACUUUGGCCCUUGGGGCCCUCCGGGAUGGGUGGCCCCACCCGGUGGACCCCCGGACCCUUCCGGUGGUCCCGGUACAAUACCGGGUGACCCCGAAACUUUCCCGAUGGCCGAAAUACCACUUCCUAUAUAGUUUUCUUUACCUCCGGACCAUUCCGGAACUCCUCGUGACGUCCGGGAUCUCAUCCGGGACUCUGAACAACAUUCGGUAUGCUGCAUACUCAUAUUCAUACAACCCUAGCGUCAGCGAACCUUAAGUGUGUAGACCCUACGGGUUCGAGAGACACGUAGACAUGACCGAGACGGCUCUCGGGAAAUAACCAACAGCAGGAUCUGGAUACCCAUGUUGGUUCCCACAUGCUCCUCGAUGAUCUCAUCGGAUGAACCACAAUGUCGAGGAUUCGAACAACCCCGUAUACAAUUCCCUUUGUCAAUCGGUACGUUACAUGCCCGAGACUCGAUCGUCGGUAUCCCAAUACCUCGUUCAGUCUCAUUACCGGCAAGUCACUUUACUCGUACCAUAAUGCAUGAUCCCGUGACCAAACACUUGGUCACUUUGAGCUCAUUAUGAUGAUGCAUUACCGAGUGGGCCCAGAGAUACCUCUCCGUCAUACGGAGUGACAAAUCCCAGUCUCGAUCCGUGUCAACCCAACAGACACUUUCGGAGAUACCUGUAGUGCACCUUCAUAGUCACCCAGUUACGUUGUGACGUUUGGUACACCCAAAACACUCUUACGGUAUCUGGGAGUUACACGAUCUCAUGGUCUAAGGAAGAGAUACUUGACAUUGAAAAAGCUCUAGCAAAAUGAACUACACGAUCUUGUGCUAUGCUUAGGAUUGGGUCUUGUCCAUCACAUCAUUCUCCUAAUGAUGUGAUCCCGUUGUCAAUGACAUCUAAUGUCCAUAGUCAGAAAACCAUGACUAUCUGUUGACCAACGAGCUAGUCAACUAGAGGCUCACUAGGGACAUGUUAUGGUCUAUGUAUUCACACGUGUAUUACGAUUUCCGGAUAAUACAGUUAUAGCGUGAAUAAAAGACAAUUAUCAUGAAUAAGGAAAUAUAAUAAUAACCCUUUUAUUAUUGCCUCUAGGGCAUAUUUCCAACAUAAACCACUUCUCCUUAGGGAGAUCAACGUGAGUAUCAAAAGAUUCACAAAAGGAAGCUACUAUCUCAGAGUCAAGUUCAUAUUUAGUGCUAAACUUUUGAAAAGCAUGAUGCUUCAUAAAAGAUUUAAUAGAAUCAAACUUAGGUUCAAUACCUGACUCUUUACCUUCGUCAAGUUCUCAAUCUUCAGAGUUGCAUUUAAUUCUUUCUAAAAGAUCCCAUCGGAAUUCAAUAGUCUUCUUCAUAAAAGAACCAGUACAAGAAGUAGCGAGCAUGGAUUGAUCAUUACGUAUGUAGUAAUCUGUAUCAAACGUAUACUUCUGGAACCCCAAAUUUUUUGAAAUAAAUUGCUGGACCUGAGCAAUUUGUCUAUUAAUCAUCUGCAAAAGGAAUCAACCUAAAAUCACUCACCAGUAAAAAAUGGCAGCUAAUCUCGUGAGCGCUAAAGUUUCUGUUUUUCACAGCAAGAUCACAUAAACUUCACUCAAGUCUUCCCAAAGGUUCUACUUGGCACUUUAUUGAAACAAAAUAUAUAAAACAUGAUUACUACAGUAGCAUAAUCAUGUGAACACACAAAAAUAGUAAUGAUAAAUAUUGGGUUGUCUCCCAACAAGCGCUUUUCUUUAAUGCCUUUUUAGCCAGGCAUGAUGAUGACAAUGAUGCUCACAUAAAAGAUAAGAAUUGAAACAUAACGGGAGCAUCAUGAAGCAUAUGACUAGCACAUUUAAGUCUAACCCACUUCCUAUGCAUAGGGAUUUUGUGAGCAAACAACUUAUGGGAACAAUAAUCAACUAGCAUAGGAUGGCAAAACAAGCAUAGCUUCAAAAUUUUCAGCACAUAGAGAGGAAACUUGACUUUAUUGCAAUUCCUACAAGCAUAUGUUCCUCUCUCAUAAUAAUUUUCAGUAGCACCAUGAAUGAAUUCAAUAAUAUAACCAGCACCUAAAGAAUUCUUUUCAUGAUCUACAAGCAUAGAAAAUUUACUAUUCUCCACAUAAGCAAAAUUCUUCUCGUGAAUAGUAGUGGGAGCAAACUCAACAAAAUAACUAUCAUGAGAUUGAAAAUUAAGAUCAAGAUGACACGUUUCAUGGUUAUCAUUAUUCUUUAAAGCAUACGUGUCAUCACAAUAAUCAUCAUAGAUAGGAGGCAUGCUUUCAUCAUAGUAAAUUUGCUCAUCAAAGCUUGGGGGACAAAAAAUAUCAUCUCCAUCAAAUGUAGCUUCCCCAAGUUUGUGGCUUUGCAUAUCAUUAACAUCAUGGAUAUUCAAGGAAUUCAUACUAACUACAUUGUAAUCAUGCUCAUCAUUCAAAGAUUUAGUGCCAAACAUUUUAGAGAUUUCUUCUUCUAGCACUUGAGCACAAUUAUCCUUUCCAUCAUACUCACGAAAGAUAUUAAAAAGAUGAAGCGUAUGAGACAAACUCAAUUCCAUUUUUUUGUAGUUUUCUUUUAUAAACUAGACUAGUGCUAAAACAAGAAACAAAAAGAUUUGAUUGCAAUAUCUAAAGAUAUACUUUCAAGCGCUAACCUCCCCGGCAACGGCGCCAGAAAAGAGCUUGAUGUCUACUACACAACCUUCUUCUUGUAGACGUUGUUGGGCCUGCAAGUGCACAUGUUCGUAGGACAGUAGCAAAUUUUCCUCAAGUGGAUGACCUAAGGUUUAUCAAUCCGUAGGAGGCGUAGGAUGAAGAUGGUCUCUCUCAAACAACCCUGCAACCAAAUAACAAAAAGUCUCUUGUGUCCCCAACACACCCAAUACAAUGAUAAAUUGUAUAGGUGCACUAGUUCGGCUAAGAGAUGGUGAUAGAAGUGCAAAAUAGAUAGUAGAUAUAGGUUUUUGUAAUCUGAAAUAAUAAAAACAGCAAGGUAACAAGCGGUAAAAGUGAGCGUAAACGGUAUUGCAAUGAUAGGAAACAAGGCCUAGGGUUCAUACUUUCACUAGUGCAAAUUCUCUCAACAAUAAUAACAUAGAUAGAACAUAUGACAAGCCCUCAACAUGCAACAAAAAGUCACUCCAAAGCCACUAAUAGCGGAGAACAAACGUAGAGAUUAUGGUAGGGUACGAAACCACCUCAAAGUUAUUCUUUCGGAUCGAUCUAUAAAAGAGUUCGUACUAGAAUAACACCUUAAGACACAAAUCAACCAAAGCCCUAAUGUCACCUAGAUACUCCAUUGUCACCUCAAGUAUCCGUGGGCAUGAUUAUACGAUAUGCAUCACACAAUCUCAGAUUCAUCCAACCAACAUAAACGUACUUCAAAGAGUGCCCCAAAGCUACUACCGGAGAGUCAAGAACGUGUGCCAACCCUUAUGCAUAGGUUCAUGGGUGGAACCCGCAAGUUGGUCACCAAAACAUACAUCAAGUGGCACAUGAUAUCCCAUUGUCACCACAGAUAAUCACGGCAAGACAUACAUCAAGUGUUCUCAUAAAGACUCAAUCCGAUAAGAUAACUUCAAAGAGGAAACUCAAUUCAUCACAAGAGAGUAGAGGGGGAGAAACAUCAUAAGAUCCAACUACAAUACCAAAGCUCGGGAUACAUCAAGAUCGUGCCAUAGAGGAACACGAGAGAGAGAUCAAACACAUAGCUACUGGUACAUACCCUCAGCCCCGAGGGUGAACUACUCCCUCCUCGUCAUGGAUAGCGCUGGGAUGAUGAAGAUGGCCUCCGGUGAUGGGAUCCCCCUCCGGCAGGGUGCCAGAAUAGGGUCCCGAUUGGUUUUUGGUGGCUACAGAGGCUUGCGGCGGCGGAACUCCCGAUCUAUUUUCUGUUCUGGAAGUUUUAGGGUACGUAGGUAUAUAUGGGUGCAGGGGGUACGUCGGUGGACCUCCGGGGUGCUCACGAGGUAGGGGGGCGCGCCCAGGGGGCGCCCCCACCCUCGUGGGCAGCCCGGGACUCCCCUGACGUCCACUCCAAGUCCAUCAGGUUGCUUUCCUUCCAAAAAUAACUUCUCCAGUUGAUUUCGUUCCGUUUUGACUCCGUCUGAUAUUCCUUUUCCUCGAAACACUAAAAUAGGCAUAAAACAGCAAAUCUGGGCUGGGCCUCCGGUUAAUAGGUUAGUCCCAAAAAUAAUAUAAAAGUGGAUAAUAAAGCCCAAUAUUGCCUAAAACAGUAGAUAAAGUAGCAUGGAGCAAUCAAAAAUUAUAGAUACGCUGGAGACGUAUCAAUUACUUGCAACAUGAUUUCUCCCGUGACCUCAAGAAUGAAAGUAACUACUCACAAAUGAUAAUCAUGCUCAAGAUCAGAGGGGUAUUAAGUAGCAUAAUGGAUAUGAACAUAUAAUCUUCCACCAAAUAAACCAUAUAGUAAUCAACUACAAGAUGUAAUCAACACUACUAGUCACCCACAAGCACCAAUCUAUAGUUUUGGUACAAAGAUUGAACACAAGAGAUGAACCAGGGUUUGAGAGGAGUUGGUGAUGUUGAAGAUGUUGAUGAAGAUAUCCCUCCCCAAGAUGGGAGAGUUGUUGGUGAUGAUGAUGACGAUGAUUUCCCCUCCGAGAGGGAAGUCCCCCCGGCGGAAUCGCUCCACCGAAGGGCAAAAGUGCUCCUGCCCAAGUUUCGCCUCGAGGCAGCGGGGCUUCAUCCCGAAAGUCCUUUCCUUCUUUUUUCUAGGUCAAAAUGACUUAUAUACCAGAAGAGGGGCACCGGAGGUGGGCCGAGGAGGGCAGCACCCACCAAGGCGCGCUUGGGCCUCCUGGCACGCCCAGGUGGGUUGUGCCCAUCUGGUGGCCCCCCUCUGGUACUUAUUUGCUCCAAUAAUUCUUAAAUAUUCCAUAAAAAAUCCUCGGGAAGUUUUAGCUCAUUUGGAGUUGUGCAUAAUAGGUAGCUUGAUGUAGCUUUUUUAGGUCCAGAUUUCCAGCUGCUAGAAUUCUUCCCCUUUGUGCAUACCUUGCAUACUAUGAGAGAAAAGGCAUUAUAAUUACUCCAAAAGGCAUUAUUAUACAAUAAAACGACAUAAAUAAUAGUAGGAAAAACAUGAUGCAAAAUGGACGUAUCACUAAUCAACCCGGCAAAAUGCUCAAUACUGUUUGGACACUCGUGUCCGUCUAAUGUACAUGAAAAUGUGAAACAGCAGCUAAAAAUCAUGAAGGAUCAGUUUGAGGAGAAAUACUUAGGAGUCCUGACUCCUGAAGGCCGCAUGCAUAAAGGGAAGUUCCAAAAUUUGCAAGUAAAAUUGUUGAAGCGUAUAUGUAUUUGGGGCGAUGGAUAUAUGGCUCAAGCCGGUAGAGAAGUGUUAAUCAAGGCGGUGGCACAAUCAAUCCCCAUGUAUAUCAUGGGUGUCUUCAAGCUCCCAUUCUCUGUGUGCGACGAUCUUACACGGAUGGUCCGGAACUACUGGUGGGGCUCAGAGAAAGGGAAACGGAAAACUCACUGGAUGGCCGGGCAUCAAAUCAUCAAACCCAAAGCGAUGGGCGACCUUGGGUUUCAGGAUUACAGAUUCUUCAAUCAAGCACUCCUCGCUCGGCAGGCAUGGCGUUUGUUGAUCAACCCGGAGAGCUUGUGUGCUCGGGUCUUGAAAGCGAAAUGUUAUCCUAAUGGGCGACUAGAGGAUGCUGUUUUUGCAGGUAAAGCUUCAUCGACGUGGCAUGUCAUUACGUAUGGACUGGAGCUCCUAAAAAAGGUCUCCUAUGGAGGAUCGAUGACGGACAAUCUGUUCGUAUAUGGCGCGAUAUGUGGCUGGAGCGUCCAGUGUCAUACCGGCCGAUAUCACAUGUCGGAAGGUGCAGGCUUCGGCGUGUGGCCGAACUGAUGGAUGAUCGUGGCAUGUGGAGAAGGGAGUUGGUGCAGCAGUACUUUACACAGCCAGACGUCUACGAGAUUAUCAAGCUGCGGCCCUCACCCAGGAUGCAUGAUGUCCUAGCCUGGGGGCCGGAUCCGAGAAGAAUCUUCUACGUCAAAUCAACCUAUAAACUGGGACUGGAGGACAAACUGUGCGCAUCUUCAUGCGCGGCGAGCAGGGCACCGGACGACAAUCGUGCCAUCUGGACGACAUUGUGGAGGUGCCCUGCUCCACCCAAGGUACGGGUCUUUGGUUGGCGGAUAGCAACUAAUUCUUUGGCAACUAUAAAAAAAGCAUAAGAGAAAUCGGGAACAUUCUGAUGUUUGUGUCAUGUGUGGCAUCGAGCGGGAGGAUACCUUUCACGCCGUGUGCAGGUUCCCUAUGGCGUGCGCCCUAUGGGAUGCUAUGAAGGAGUCAUGGCCUCUUCCGGACCUGCGGAUGGUGUCCAACACCGGCGAAGAAUGGCUUCUACAUCUCCUGAAUAACAACACGAAAUUGCAACGCUUGGUCAUUCUAAUGACCUUUCGGCAAGCUUGGCACUAUCGGAACGAAGUCAUACAUCACAAACCGGCACCACCAAUCGAGAGUUCGAGGAGAUUUCUGAACAGCUACAUCAAAUCCCUAUUAUGCAUCAAACAACAACCACAAGGAGACUUGGUGAAAGGGAAGAUGGUGGUUCAGAAGGUGCCACAAGUGGUGAGGCAAUCAGAGGAUAAGUCUAGUGUUACGCUUGAAUCUACCUGGGUAAAACCACCACCUGGCUGGGUGAAACUGAAUGUUGAUGGGUCAAAUAUCCCUGGCGAGUGUACUGGAGGUGCGGGCAUGGUCUUGAGGGACGACACGGGAGCCAUCAUCUUCUCGUCGUGUCGGUUUCUUCGAUCAUGCCACACACAAAUGGAGGCAGAAAUAGCAGCGUGUCUCGAGGGUACGUCCCUGGUGCUGCAGCGUACAUAGAAACCCAUCAUUGUGGAACUAGACUGUAAAGAAGGAGUGGUAGCUUUGACGGACAGAGGAGUUAACAGGUCUUCGUUGGCCGGGUUUAUCGAGGAGACGAAGAGUCUCUUGCAUGGAGUACGGCGGCAUGUUUUCGCCCACGUCCGACGCACGGCCAACAUGGCCGCGCAUUGCAUGGCUCAAAGAGGACGUACUAGCCAACGUACGAUGUUUUGGCUGCAAGCUGGGCUGAUGAUUUAUGUUCUAUUUAUGAAAACUAGUGUACAAACAUUACUUAUUUAAUGAAUGCUCGUUUCACCCGCAAAAAAAAGUGAACUCACUUGUUUUUUCAUAGCUGCACCGCGCUAAAUAGGAGCUCCUUGUAUUAGCCCCCAAAACAGCCCAAACUCAGACGGGCCUGAUGGGCCGGCCUGUUUGCUUAUUAUGCCGUGCCUCGGCCGGGCAGUGCGGCACGAGUGCCGCCGGCUCGGCACGGUGAGGGCCGUACCAUGCCUGCCAGGCCGUGCCGUGGUGGCCCAUCUGGCCAGGUCUGGCCCCCAAGCUCGAAUGUAAUUGUUCCAAAAUGAAUUUCCCCAAAGUCGGCCGCACGCGACACCGUCCUUUUUUUCUUCUUUUUCUUUGGAAAAAAUCCAAAGGAGCAAGCCCUAGCUCGUCCGAAUCCAACCCCCUCGCCGAACAAAUGUCCGACCGCCGCCGGGACAAGGAGAGGCCCCGCGAGCGCGGCGGCUACGACCAGCCGCGGGAGCGCGACCACGACAGCCACCGCGACGCCGACCGCCACCGCGACCGGGACCGGGACGUCGACCGCCACCGCGACCGGGACCGGGACCGCGGCCAGGACAAGGAGCGGGAGCGGGACCGCGACCGGGACUGCCGCCGCGCCCGCAAGCGCUCGCGCUCCCGCUCCCCCUCGGCCGACAGGGACCGCGCCCGCCGCCGCCGCUCCCACUCCCACUCCCACCCCCACCGGUCCCGCUCCCCCGACGCCGCCCGCCACAAGCGCCGCCGCGAGGGGUCGCCCGUCGCCGACCGAAAGGAGGAGGACAGGAAGCCGGAUCCCCCCUCCGCCCCCAAGGCCGCCGAGGAGGCCGCCCCGGUGGGCGACGGGGACGUGGACGCCGAGGAGCUGGAGAUGAUGAAGAUGAUGGGGAUCCCCGUCGGGUUCGACUCCACCAAGGGCAAGUACGUCCCCGGCGCCGACGUCAGCGGCGUGCGCGCCGUCACCAAGCGCCAGCCGCGGCAGUACAUGAACCGCAGGGGCGGGUUCAACCGUCCCCUGCCGCCCGAGGUCAACCGCUGAGGAGGUAGGGUUUCAGAUUUCCUUGCACUUUUCUGUUUCUACUGUAAUUGAUUUCAGUUCUGCAUUUGCUUGCCUGGAGUUUAUGGCCCAAUCUGAAUAACAGCGAAAAAGCAUGUACUGCAGAUCUGUUGAAUAUGCGUGAAGUGUAACUAUGCUAAAUCUGUUCUGCUAUUUAUGAAUUUUGAGUUAUACUAUUGUGCUAGAGAUCUUUGCUUCACCGCCACAAAGACAAGGGAGCUCUUUAUCUAGAAAAGUUGUCGAGUAGCAUGUUAGAACUGAGCUAGAACAAGCGCACAGCGCAAAUUGACAGUGACGAGCACCGUAUAAUUAUCUAAUCCUGACUCUGUACUGAAUGGGGUUGCACCAUAUAAAUGCUUACUUUCUGACUCUUAUGUUAAAUGUCUGUUUACUGUCUUCUCUUUCGGGUACAUACAAAUGCGGCUAGUGGGGUUACAAAUUGUAGAGCCAUAGAAGGCAACAUCUUGGGCAUAUACUUUGAAGUUAACAUCAUAGUUCUUUCUUGUUCAUCUAUUUGAUUGAAUCCCCACGUUUCUAGUAGUUCAUCAUUUUCUGUUUGUAGGCUAUCUUCAUUACGGUAUUGCUUAUUGGUCUGACCUACUGUCUGCUUCACCUGUCAAAAAUUUACGGAACAUGUCUGCUUUCCAAAAUUCAACUUCGAAACCAUUUUGUUAUUUCUCUGUAGUCGAAAUCCUACUAAUCAGGUAUGUUGUUGGUAAAUCUAUUCAAGUAAAGUCCUUCAGAUCCUGGGGAUGAUGGUGCUCUUUAGUCCUUUCACCUAUUUGUCACUGACAAGGUUAUGCUUAAUUGCUAUACAGGAUUACUGAUUAUAGGAAAUGAGAUGUUUUAAGUUUUAUCUAGUUCCGAGCAAUAGCGUGACAGCAUAUCUGAUAUUAGUAAACCCUUCGAUUGCCUUGAAGCUUAUUAUCAUAAAUCUAUUCCUGAACAAAACUCUUCUCUUUUUACAAUUGUUCCUUGACACAACUCAGUGUUUGCUGUACAGGGCUCUGUACUUCUAGCCUGUUAUUACAUUGAUUGAGUUUUUUAUAUUCUGUUGAGAUCGUACAACAUGAUUUCAGAUAUAAACCGUGUAAAAAAAGUCUGAUAAGAAUUCCAAUCGGACUAGGAAUCCCCAAGGCUUGUGAGCAAUACCUCUCCAGACAGAUUUAGCAUGAGACUGAAAAUAAUUUUCUAUGAGCCACCAGUUUGGGCUUGUGAAAUUAUUAUCAGUAGACACCAAAAUAGGGGUAUGAUCACUGAUGAUGAUAGAACCUUAUAAACAGUAGACACCAAAAUAGGGGAAGAAGCCUCAUCAUUCAGCAUUAACCAAGCACCUCUCUAGAUUUUCAUAAAUAGGUUCUGAAGAGUAAUGCCUGUUAGUCCAAGUAUAAGCAGGACCACUAAAAACUAAAUCAAUUAGGCCACAUUGCUUAACAAGGUCACAGAAUGCACGCAUAUGGUAUAUAUUAAGAUUAGGAGAGCUUUUGUCUACAUCAUAGAGUGUUGUUGAGAUCUCCCAUAGAUAAGCUGGCCUAAGUUAUCAUACACAACAGAGGCAAUUUGAUCCCAGAUCUGACUAGUCUGACGGUGGGGGAGCACCAUAGAUGCAAACUAGCGCAAACUCUACCCUAGUAACUAUUCUUACAACCGAGGCUAAUACUUAUAAAAGCUAUAAGUAUGAACAUUAACUUGGACAUCGUCAUUCCACAUGGGCCAUAGACCUCCUGAGCCACCCUGAUGGAACUACUACACUAUCAACAUUCAACAACAUCGAAACAGUUAACAAGAUUAGCCGAAUUAACAUUAGAAGAUUUUAUUCCUGAAACGUAGGUUACCUGAGCAUUAGUGGAGCUGGUAGGACUAGGGUCCCUACCAGGCCUCCGGCGUAGGUUGUAUGGACAGGGAGGAGGGGGACGGAGUCUGGAGCGGGCGCGCCGGCGGUCGGGCGCCGUCGCGGCUAGGGUUGGGAGAGGCGGCUAGGGUUCCGGCUCCUUGGGGAGCCGGGCAACAGAAGAUUAUAAUAUCUUUAUUGCUUGAUCUCCAACGGUGUCUUACAACUACUCCCUCCGUCCGAAAAUACUUGUCAUCAAAAUGGACAAAAAUGAAUGUAUGUAGAACUAAAAUACAUCUAGAUACAUUCCCUUUUAUUCAUUUUGAUGACAAGUAUUUUCGGACGGAGGGAGUAGUAUUUAUAACUUUAGCCUAAGAUAACUUGCCUAAGAUAACUUGCGGGACAAGCCCCUAAUACUAAUGCCCGGUGGGCCUCUUCCUGGUAUAGACCUGUCCGGUCAUAACAUCUCUCCCCGCCUGCGCAAACAACUCGUCCUCGAGCUGAAAGUCUGGAUAGUGUUGGCGGAAUUCGUCACGCUGCUCCCAAGUAGCCUCCUCCUCCGGAAGGCCCGCCCACUGAAUGAGGACGAACCAGACGCCACGACGGAGCUGCGCCUGCAACACCUUUGCUAGCUCGGGAAGAAUGCGACCAUCGGCGAUUGGAGGAAGCGCCGGAGGAGCCGCCGGUGGCUCGCCGCGGAAAGGCUUGAGCAGCCCAACAUGGAAGACGUCGUGGAUGCGAGCGCGGGCCGGAAGCUGAAGACGAUAGGCCACCUUCCCAAUGCGCUCCAAGAUAGGGAAGGGCCCGGCGUAGCGAGGGCCGAGCUUGCGCUUCGCACGCGGAUCGAGUGACUGCGUAGAGCGGUGGAGAAGACGCAGCCACACCCAAUCACCCACCGCAAACUCCGCCUCGCGAUGAUGAUCGUCGUAGUAGUGCUUGGCCAGCUGCUGUGCCUGAAGGAGACGCUGACGAACCUCAGCAAGCAUCUCGUCACGACUGCGGAUAAGGUCACUUGCAACCUCCGUUCGAGCCGUCUCCGGGUCCACCGGAAGUAUAGGCGGGGGUGGGCGACCAUAGACCACCUCAAACGGCGUCGCGCGCAGGGCGGAGUGAUAAGAGGUGUUGUAGCAGUACUCCGCCCAAGAGAGCCAAUCGACCCAAGCGCGAGGCCGAUCACCUGUCACACAACGCAAAUACAUGGCAAUGACCUUGUUAACCACCUCAAACUGACCAUCUGUCUGAGGAUGAAACGCCGUACUCAGGCGAAGCUGGACACCCGCCAUCCUGAAAAGGUCGCGCCAGACAUGGCCCGUGAACAUUGGGUCCCGAUCACUGACGAUCGAAGCAGGGAACCCGUGGAGACGGACGAUGCCGUCGAAGAAGGCCCUGGCCACUGACGCCGCCGUGUAUGGAUGGCCGAGCGCGAUGAAGUGGGCGUACUUGGAGAAGCGGUCGACCACUGUGAGAAUGACCGACUUGCCGCCCACCUUGGGAAGGCCCUCGAUGAAGUCCAUGGAUAUAUCCGUCCAAACCUAAGACGGCACCUCCAAAGGCUGAAGUAAACCAGCCGGCCUCAGGGUCUCCGUCUUGUUGCGCUGGCAAGUCUGACAAGACCGAACCCAGUCGCGGACCAGGGCGCGAUCGCCAGGGAUGUAGAAGUCGGCGCGAAGACGAUGGAGGGUUUUCUGCACACCCUCAUGACCCGCCGAGUGAGCGAGCUGUAACACCUGGUGACGGAGAUCAUCAUGCGCCGGAACAAAGAUCCGGCGCCCAUGGAGAAGCAGUCCGUCAGAGAAGCGCCAAGGCUCCUCCAGGUCGCCGGCCGUGAGCUGCUGCUGAAGAAGGACGACAUCGUCAGCCGUCGCAGUGGCGCGGUGAAUGUCGGCGAAGAGACCGAACGUCGGCCCGGAGCGGAUGCACAGGGCCGCCCCGGUGGACUCGUCGGUGGAGGGAGCGAGGUCGGAGUCGCGAUGGGACAGCGCGUCGGCCACAAUGUUAAGACGGCCCGGCUGAUACUCGACGGAGAAGUCGAAGCCGAAGAGCUUGCUGAUCCACUGGUGCUGCGGCACGGUCGAUAGUCGUUGGUCCAGCAAGAACUUCAGGCUGUAGUGGUCCGUGCGAAUGUGGAAGGAUCGUCCCCACAAGUACGGCCGCCAAUGACGAACGGCCUGUACGAGGCCAAUGAGCUCCCGCUUGUAUGCCGCCAGCUUAAGAUGGCGCGGAGCGAAGGGCCGGCUGAAGAAAGCGAGGGGCCCAUCGCCUUGAUGAAGCACGGCGCCGAACCCGGCGCCCGAGGCGUCACAGUCCACCACAAACGGGCGGUCGAAGUCGGGCAUCUGGAGGACGGGGCCUGUCGUGAGGGCCCCUUUGAGGGCCUCGAACGCCGUCGUCGCCUCGUCGUCCUAGGCGAAAGCGUCGCGGCGAAGCAACCGCGUGAGGGGCGCCGCGAUGAGCCCGAACUCCCGGAUAAAUUUCCGGUAGUAGCCGGCAAGGCCGAGGAACCAGCGGAGAGCCCGCGGCGAGUGAGGCGUCGGCCAUGCAGAGACGGCCGCCACCUUGUCGGCGUCCAUAGCCACCCCGUCGGCCGAGAUGACAUGGCCGAGGUAGGCGACGGUAGGUGUCCCGAACGAGCACUUCGAGCGCUUAAGGUGGAGGUGGUGCGCCCGAAGCUCGUUGAAGACAAUGGCGACGUGCUGGAGGUGCUCGGCCCAGGUGGCGCUGUAGAUAAGAAUGUCAUCAAAGAAAACAAGCACAAACCGCCGUAAGUAGGGUCGAAGGACAUCGUUCAUCAGGGCCUGGAAAGUCGCCGGGGCGUUGGCGAGGCCGAAGGGCAUCACCAAGAACUCGAAGUGGCCAUGGUGGGUGCGAAACGACGUCUUGGCGAUGUCGUCUGGAUGCAUGCGCACCUGAUGAUAGCCCGAGCGGAGAUCGAGCUUGGUGAAGAAGCGCGCCCCAUGGAGCUCAUCCAAGAGCUCGUCGACCACCGGUAUAGGGAACUUGUCCUUGAGCGUGAGCGCGUUCAGGGCGUGGUAGUCGAUGCAGAAACGCCACGUGCCGUCCGUCUUGCGGACGAGAAGCACCGGUGCGGAGAAGGGCGACGUGGAGAUCCGGAUGAUGCCUGGUGCGAGCAUAAGGGCACACUGUCGCUCCAACUCAUCCUUCUGCAGCUGCGGGUAGCGGUAGGGCCGAACCGCCACGGGGGUGGAACCCGGUACAAGGUGAAUAUGGUGGUCGUACACCCGGGCGGGCGGAAGACCCCGAGGCUCGUCGAAGAGAUCGCUGUGCUGCUGCAGAAGGGGAUCCAGCAGGGGGUGCUCGGCCUCCUGGGACGCGGCGGCCAGCUGGAGGUGUGGCACGGCCGGCGCGGCGCCCCCAAGGCCGUCCCACCGGAGAACGUCAUCGUGAGCACGUCGAAGUCCCACAGGAUGGGCCCGAGGGUCCGGAGGAAGUCCACCCCGAGGAUGAAGUCGAAGCAGCCGAGGUCGAUCCCUGCACAGGUAAUGGAGAAGUGCUCGCCACAGAUGGAGAUGGGAACGUCGCGGGCGAGCCCAUGACACUGGAGGCGAUCACCGUUUGCCACCGUGAUCCGCAGGCGCUCCCCGCUCGUGGUCGGCAGUGCUAGCUGACGCAUGGUCGCCGCGGGUAGGAAAUUAUGGGUGGAGCCAGUAUCCAGCAGGGCCACCAGCCGCUCGCCAUGGACCGUCACCGGUAACAGCAUGGUCCGCUCGCCACGGAUGCCGGCAAGAGCGUGGAGGGAGACGACGCACGCCGUUGCCGUAGAAUCCGCGGGCGCGUCCGCGGCCGCCGCGGGUGGUGGCUCGUCGGUCGAGUUGUCCGCCUCGGUGUAGUCGACCGUCUCCAAGUAAAAUAGGCGGGGGCAGACAUGGGUCGGCGAGUAGGGCUCAUCGCAGUUGAAGCAGAGGCCCUGACGGCGGCGCUCCUGCUGCUCGGCCGGGGACAACCGACGGAAGGUUCGGGUGGUGGCCGAAGAGGUGGUCGCCGAGGCUGGAGGGGGCCGGCCAGGUGAUGGUGCGGGUCGACUGGGAAGGCGGCCGCCCCGGCCGGCCGGUUGCUGUAGCGCCUGAGCCCGCUGCUCGAAGGCCCGGGCGUAGUACAUGGCCGUCUGGAGGUCGGGGGGAUCCCGGAGCUCGACGUCCACGCGGAUAUGGUCUGGUAAUCCGCCCACAAAUAACUCGGCGCGCUGAGUCGCGGAGACGCCCGGCGCAUGGCAUGCCAGGGCCUGGAAGCGGUCGGCGUAGUCCUGCACCGUGGAUGUGAAAGGCAAACGACCGAGGGCCACCAAUCGGCUCCCGCGAAUAGGAGGCCUGAACCGGAGGAGACAAAGCUCCCGGAAGCGCUCCCAUGGUGGCAUGCCGCCCUCGUCCUGCUCGAGGGCGUAGUACCAAGUCUGCGCCGCGCCUCGGAGAUGAUAGGACGCGAGCCAGGUGCGAUCCGAAGCGAGCGUCCGCUGCCCUCGAAAAAACUGCUCGCACUGGUUGAGCCAGUUGAGGGGGUCCUCCGUGCCGUCGUAAGUGGCGAAAUCCAGUUUGGCGAAACGAGGGGGUGUCGGACCACCGUGCCCGGGGGCUGUAGUAAACGGCAGCGCAUGUGCUGGGUCGGGUAUCUCUGGGGCGUAGUUCGCCGAGCUGGAGGGACGAUCAAAUCGGAGAGAGGGCAUCGGGUGUUCCGGCGCCGUAGUAUACACCGGGUCCGGAGACGAGCCGGUCGCCCACGCGGGAAUCGGCGAAGGCGAGGACGGAAACUGCACCUGGUGCAGGGGCCGACCAGUAGGCCGGGACGCGGGUGGUGGUGCUGGCGAUGGCGGCGGCGCCUGGUGGUGCGGCUGCACCGGCGCCUGCGUCGUGGGGGCCGGCGGUGGCGCCGGGAGGGACUGCUGAGGCGGGNNNNNNNNNNNNNNNNNNNNNNNNNNNNNNNNNNNNNNNNNNNNNNNNNNNNNNNNNNNNNNNNNNNNNNNNNNNNNNNNNNNNNNNNNNNNNNNNNNNNNNNNNNNNNNNNNNNNNNNNNNNNNNNNNNNNNNNNNNNNNNNNNNNNNNNNNNNNNNNNNNNNNNNNNNNNNNNNNNNNNNNNNNNNNNNNNNNNNNNNNNNNNNNNNNNNNNNNNNNNNNNNNNNNNNNNNNNNNNNNNNNNNNNNNNNNNNNNNNNNNNNNNNNNNNNNNNNNNNNNNNNNNNNNNNNNNNNNNNNNNNNNNNNNNNNNNNNNNNNNNNNNNNNNNNNNNNNNNNNNNNNNNNNNNNNNNNNNNNNNNNNNNNNNNNNNNNNNNNNNNNNNNNNNNNNNNNNNNNNNNNNNNNNNNNNNNNNNNNNNNNNNNNNNNNNNNNNNNNNNNNNNNNNNNNNNNNNNNNNNNNNNNNNNNNNNNNNNNNNNNNNNNNNNNNNNNNNNNNNNNNNNNNNNNNNNNNNNNNNNNNNNNNNGUUCCCGCGGCCGGGUAGUGCGGCAGCAGGAGCGGCGGCGGGGGCGCCCCUCCGUAGGGCGCCUGGAAGGCCGGGGCGGGCCACUGUAGCGGCGGCGGCCCAUAGGCGGUGGUGGCGGCGUUCGGUGGCGGGGACUGGUGCCCGGCGAGGUAGAGGCUGAUGCCUCGGACGGCGUGGACGAGCUCCCGCAGGGUGCCCGACAUCUCCUCGGGCGUGAGGAGCGGGGGCGGAUCCGCCGUGGUGGUGACCGGCGCCGGCGCGGUGGUGGUGACGGUCCCGGACGUGAUCGCCGUCAUCGGCGCGGAGGUGGCCGGCGGCAGCAGUGGUGGGGCGGAGGUAGAUGGCAGCGGUGGCGGUGAUGGAGGAAGCGACAUGAUCGGCCUGGUGUCUUUGGAUACCAAAUUGGUAGGACUAGGGUCCCUAGCCGCGACAGGGAAGAGGGGGACGGAGGCUGGAGCGGGCGCGCCGGCGGUCGGGCGCCGUCGCGGCUAGGGUUGGGAGAGGCGGCUAGGGUUCCGGCUCCUUGGGGAGCCGGGCAACAGAAGAUUAUAAUAUCUUUAUUGCUUGAUCUCCAACGGUGUCUUACAGCUAGUAUUUAUAACUUUAGCCUAAGAUAACUUGCCUAAGAUAACUUGCGGGACAAGCCCUAAUACUAAUGCCCGGUGGGCCUCUUACUGGUAUAGACCUGUCCGGUCAUAACAGGAGCACAUCAGAUUGUCAAGAUAUUCCCAAUUUUUCACUGCCGAGAUCCCUAUCCAAGCCCCGGCAGUUCCAAGCGAUUAGCCUCAUGGCGCCUUAAGGGCUGGCGCCACUUCCCCAUCCACAUCCACAUCUUCAUCGUAAGGAUCUCAAAUGAAUUUAAUGUCUGUAAGUAGAUUUUUUAAGUUGCUUUGUUGAUUAUACAUUUAUUUUAUCAAGAACUGAUUGGUGCAUGGGAAAUUCAAAAAAAAAAAAGGAACUGGUUGAUGCUGUGAGUGGAUUUUGCCCUGAUGCUUUUGCCAUGGGGAUAAGCUUGUUUCAGAUUGUUAGGAUCUCCCUAGUAAUAUGUGGACUAUUUAUUAGUUGCACUCCUACAAAUUAGCCCACUCUCAGAAAAUUGUUGAACUCAUGGAUAUGUACUACAACUACACGCACAUUGUUAACGAGUACUGUUCAUUUUAUGGUUAGCUAAUGGAAACAUAUGUCUUUUUGCAGGAUCAUGUAUCAAAACAUAUGUCUUUCUAUGUUAGUAUGUUUUUCAGGCAUGCACCACAUGGAACGGAACUUCUUGUGAUGAUUGCAUAUGUGGCUGCAGCAUUAUGACAGUUAUGAAGAUCACAAUGCUGUUCUAUGUAUCUGCGAUAUCAUUGUUUUCAUAGGACAACCGUGUCAUUUUACCUGUUUCUGUGCGCUAAAUUGGAUUGAUCUAUGUCGGCGAAUCAUCGAUGCAACAUGACAAAAAAAAAGUCAUUAUUCCUUACAGCUGGUUAAUUUACAGGAACAGUUAGAUUUCCACUAGGUAAAUAAAUGUUUGCCCCUGGAGAGUCAUUCUCCUCUGAAGUAGCAAACGAUGUCCCACCUCCUCAUGGCUCUCCCCAGCUGGAACUUCACAGGGAGGCACCCUUCAAACCCACCUUGAUCCGCCCGGCGCUUGAGACUCCGUCGUCGUCGCCGCCUGUCUUUAUCAUCAGUGAGUCGUGCGCUCUGCAUCGCAGGCGAUGGGCACAGCGGCGGGAGGGCGCCCUCCCUCGGCGGGCUCUUGGGCUUCCCCGGCUCGUCCUCCCACCCAAACGGCACCUUCCCGGUCGCAGCGGAGUACACCCUCAUAGACCGUCCCAGUUCAUCGCUGCCGGAGCAAUGCUGCAGGAGAUGGGUCGGCGAGGUGGUGGCCUCCAUGGAUUUCGCCUUCGGUUUCUUCUGCUUUCGCCUCUGGUCGCGCACUCUCCUGUGAUUUUGCCUGUGGUCUCAACUGUGAUUUCGCCUCUGGUCCGACUCUCUUUGGUGCAACGGCACGGCGGAGGAAGACCAGUUUAUAUAGGGCUGGGAAGGGGUCGCCGUCUCCAUGUUGUGCUUGCUAGUGAAGGUUUGCUUUUCGCAAAGUCAAUCGCUUGGGUUUAAGGCUGCUAAACGCAGCAAGGCAGCUUUUCUUGUGCUUUGGUUUGAAGACCACGGCGAGGAAAAUGAGUGGCAUGGCCGGCGGUAACGGUGGCCAUUACGGUUGUGUAAAGCAUGGCAGGAGCGGCGGCCACGGAUGGGUGGCUUGCUCCAGGUAAUCUGUAAACUGGUGCACGUUAAUGGGUACUCAGGAGACAACAUAGCCCUACUCUAGAGAUUUUCAAUAGGUUACUAUGGACAGGUGUGGUAGUCAGCUCAUGAAUUUACCUGCAAAAGAAGGAAACUAAUGCUCUGUUCGGAAGACCUCCACUCCACAGGUCCGCUCCCGGAGCAGGUGGAGUUCCAGUUGGAAAACGUGGAGCGACUGUUUCCUGGUCCUCAGCUCCCGGUAUUUCGCGGAGCCAGUGAGGAUUCCGAACAGGGCCUAAGUACCGUAAUGCCACAAAACGUCUUACAUUAUGGAACGAAGAAAGUAGUCGCAGAGUUGGGGACAUGACUAUUCUUAGCUCGAGCUCAAAUGAGCUCGGAUGGACAGUAAAAUGAUAAAAAAAAAUUAAAACAAAAUAUUUUUUUUUGUGCGGAACAUUGACAAAUGUUCUCAGUGCUUACAAAAUUUCAUCAUGAAAUCAGAUUUAUGGAAAUCGUGGCAAAAAAAAUAAUAAAUCGAUGCUGUGCUGAUUUUAUUUUUAUUGCUGCGGCUUUUCUGAAUGUCAUUUCAAAAUGAAACUUUGCAAGCUCUCAAAAACAUCUGUUAAAGUUUGCCAAAAAAAUUCGUUUUUUAAAAACGAAUUUACUGUUCAUGGCGAGCUCAUUUGAGCUUUCAAGCAGUUGGGGGCUUUGCCGUCUGUACUGUACUAUACUGAGAUAUAAGUCGGUACAGAGAGUUACAUAAAAUGUUGCAAUGCAUUGAGGUGCAUCCCAGAAAACUCUAGUUCAGACACCAAGUUUUUCUCUGGCCAUUUGCUUACUGAUUGUGUAAAGAACAAUCUUACUACUGUGGCUAUUGAAUGUCCUAGAUGGGGUAGGAGGAAGAGCUCGCCUCAUGCAAGGUUGUCAUCUCGCUGAAGCACACUUACAAGCUCCGGCCGUAGCCACACCUGUCCUGCAGCGCCGGUAAUGGAAAGGCCCUUCCCAAAUUCUGACACCUCGAUCUCAAUCUGUCUACAUACCACCAGGUAAUAGAUGAUGUUCCCAAACAAAUGGAAGAUGUGCAUGGGAAACAAAUGGGUAAUUACAGAGUUGAUGGCUUGGCACCUGAGGUGAGCCUCCUAUUGUACACUCAUGGUACUACUCCCUCUGUUCCUAAAUAUUUGUCUUUCUAGAGAUUCCAACAAGUGACUACAUACGGAGCAAAAUGAGUGAAUGCACACUCUAAAAUCCGUAUGUGAUAGUCCAUUUGAAAUCUCUAAAAAGGCAAAUAUUUAGGAACGGAGGGAGUACUUAUCAUUGUACCAGACCUAUCAAUCUUGUUUAUGAGGCAACAAAUCUAGCUAUCGAUGGUAAUAACAUACAUACAAGCUUUCAUAUCAAUGCCUCACUAGCGUAAAUCAUAUAUAAGUAAGUACUCUGAGCACCAUCAAACAUAGUGCUCAUCUUCCUCCUGAACUGCUUGAUACUGUGCCUGCACUCGUUGAAGAAGGAUAUGACAUGAUGUAUGAAUCAAACCCUUCAUUUUGCAUCAAGGCCAGUGCUUGGAAGCUCUGGUGUGCUGGUAGCUCAGGUGGUUCAAUAUGCCCAUCUAGCUUCAGUGCCAGAUAUGCCUCUUCGACAUUGUAGUCCCCUUUAAGCCUCACAUCUAUUGCAUCAGCGAGUGAUCCUUGUUGCGCAUGCUCAAGCACCCAAUCAACCAACAUGACCUGCUUAUCUUGUGUGCUUUGCAUGAUAGGUCUUUGGCCACAAGUGACCUCUAGGACAAAUAUACCAAAGGCAAAUACAUCGGUAAGAGGAGUACCCUUCCCCGUGCGCCGUGAGGCGGCUAGCUAUUAGUUAGUGCGAUGUGCAGUGAAGUGAGAGAUCUCUCUACUCUAGUAGACCAGAUGAAAUAGCUGCAAUGACUAAUGUUUGAUUGGGAAGACAGAAUACAUACGUUGACGUGCCCAGUCGAGCUACCGUAAGGUAGUCUAGUUAAGGAAAGGAAACCGGCUAUUCCCCUCACGCUAAGGGUGCGAUUCCUUACUCUCCCACAAGAUCACACUAAAUACAAUAGGUGCGUGAUCUACUAGAUUCUUAUAGAAUCAAUUUACCAAUGGUGCCAACAACACGAGUAGUUUCUUGCUCAACACCAUGGUCAUACAAUCUUGCUAGACCAAAAUCACCCAACCGAGCAUUCAACUCAUCAUCAAGGAGCACAUUGCUUGCCUUGAUGUCUCGGUGGACAACUACUUUCUCCCACUCCUCGUGGAGAUAAAUCAGUGCAGAUGCGAUGCCCCUGAUGAUCCAAAACCUUUGAUCCCAACUUAAUGUGUUGUUGUCCACUUCACCAUACAAGUACUUAUCGAGGCUUCCUUUGGGCAUGUACUCAUACACUAACAGGAGCUCACCAUGACGCCUGCAAUAGCCAAGUAAGUGUGCGAGGUUUGGAUUCUGAAGGCGGCCAAUGCUAACAAUUUCUGCGAUGAAUUCCUUCAUUCCUUGCCUGGAGUCAUGUGACACCCUCUUCACAGCUAUCCUUAGUUUGGACCUUGGCAGCUCUCCUCUGUAUACUCUUCCAAAUCCUCCCGUCCCUAGGAGAUUUUUGUUAUCAAAUCCUUCUGUUGCGCGGAACAAGUCCUUAUACGAGAAUCGGUGCGGGCCAAAUUCGACCUCCCAGUCAUCACGUAACUCUGCAUACCUGAAAUGCCUCCGCGAGUGCUGCCGUUGCGAGUGGUAGAAUGAUCUGCAAUACUGGUAGACCACGUCAAUCCUUGGUAUGAGGACCAGGAGGUAGUUUUGGCAGCAUGGUGAGAUUGAUGGCUGGAGCAGGACUGUUCAAGCCAAAACUCCAACCGAGCACAUAGUGCUUCGUGUUUAUCUUGCCUAGUGCAGCUGAGAAGCCGAUGUACGCCACAUCUGUGAGCACACUUGAGAGGUUGUAGUUGGCUGAUACUGUUGGCUUUGUAGGUUUGGCCAUGCCGAGAGGAGCCAUGGUGGCGUUGAUCUGUAUCUUCUCUCUGUGGUAGUCCACCCACAGCUGCAUCGGCUUUUGGUCAUCGAGACCCAAGCUCUGGAAGGUGCCAUUCUCGUCGUGGUAGAAGCCAGCAUCGUGGGACUGUACGGAGCGGAGGCUGUUGAUGUCGAUUCCGAUAUGGUUGUCGUUGAUGUCCUGGAACUCCAGGUGUCGAGCUCGACUGCGAAGAUGUGGUUUGUUUCGUUGCCAUUGUUCUGGUGGUUGACAAGACCCAAGAACUGUAUCGGCAUCGCCGCUGAUAGAUUCUUGCUCGGUGCAAUGAACAUGGCCAUGCCGUUGCUGCUCAAGUAGUCGUUGUAGAUGGAGGCAAUGGCGAAGACGAAGGACACAGAGAAGGACUGUACAGUCCCAUCGGACGAAUUGUGGAAGCGCAGCGGAGUCGGAUAGAAGGCGUGGCCCGUACUCAGGGCGGUGCCAUUGGUGAGCACAAGUAACCCGUCGGGCGUGACCGAGGCCAUACCGUCGAGGGUGAGAUUAGCUUUGGAGAAGCCGGAGAAGCUGAAGUGGUGCUCAUCGCCGGCGACGGGCGGUGCCACGGCAAGGCCAAGAGAGAGCAGUAGUUUGAGCAGCAGAAAGGAGACAGCCACAGGCUUCAUGCCGGGAAUGGGUGUAGGCACGAAAGAAAAAUGGUUGUGCGUGCAUGUAUGGAUGUAAUUUUACUUGGGCAGCACCACACCUUUAACUCGUCUUGCGUUAGAGAAACUUGAUGCAAAAUUCCAUGCUUGGAUGUAGUGUACUUCCUCCGUUCCAAAAUAGAUGACACAACUUUGUACUAACUUUAUCCGUGACAGUUUGUGGUAAUACUCUCUGACUGACUUUUAGCCACUAAGUUGGGAUGAUGGGAAACUGGCAGCUCACACUUGAGUCUUCAGAGUGCCAACUCUUCAGAAUUGACACGAUCCCCACCAACCUUUCCUAGUCGUCUGAUGCUUGUGUUGAAAUUUAUUGUGCCGUUACAGCAACGGCGCAUGAUCUCAGUCAACCUUUUUUACUAUUCUGUGCAGUAAGUGUGGAUCACCCGACUUAAAAGUAAGCAGGUACACCCAAUGAUAGACCGUUGGACGCAUGGUUUUCAACGUUCUACACCAACUCAAAUUUGGUCUAGGAAACCCCACGGAACAGUAUUACUGUAUUACCUGAAGUCACAUUUUCCACAUACACCAUCUUGUUAGAAACUGUCAAACUGACGGUUUAUCAAGGUCCAUUUGUUGUAUUUCCAUUACGAAAAAUUGUGAACACGACAUCAUGAAAAGUAAGCAAAUAAGGUCCAAUGCCGAAACUUGCAUCUCAUCUUCUCGCUGAUAGCAUUUCUAUACACACUAACUAAAGAAGAAAACUGUGGCUAGGAUGACUUUGGCAACCUGAAGUGUGAAAUUGUGAAUUGCCACGUUUCCUACAUCCCUAUGUAAUCUUCCACAAGUCCAAGCCUCUUCUACAAGUCCAAGCCAGAGGGCAGCACUACCUAGAAUAAUAUCGAGAUUAUACGGCAGAUUCAAGUUUGAAAUUCAUAAAAAAAAUAAUUUUAAGUUAUUGUCAAUGUCAAGAUGCCACUGUUUACCUCUAGUCUGACAAUUCAGAAUUAGUUGACUGAAGACUACAAAGUUUAUUAAGAUCCUCAGUGGUUACUGCCACGGAAUUGUGGUGGAAACAGGUGUUGGAUAAGGUCGUCUGCCAUUGCUUUUCAACAAAAGAAAAAAAAAUCGACAAACCCCUGCCGACUGCCGUUGCUGUAACGGCAUAACAAUUCAACACAAGAAGGUAGGAAGAUUGGUGGCGAUCCUCUGGACUUGGAACUAUGAAGUGUGAGCUGCCAAUUUCCUGUCAUCACAUGGUAAUCGUCAGCAGUCACACUUAGAGUGCAUUAUGCAAUUAUUAUGCAUCAAAUUCCCCUUUCAGUUCUUGUCUAUCUUUAAAAUUCAAGUAUACUCUCGGUUCACUUGUCCCAGUUUACAUGACAAAUGACUAUAAAAGUUUGUCAGAGAUGCCCCGCUGUUACUGCAUUAGCACACUAAUUUUUAAAGGCAGCUAGUAAGCAAAAACAUGGGAACAACCCGAGAAGCAGGAAUGUGUGUUGUUGGAUCACUCAAAAGGUAUCCCGAAUUCCCAAUAUGUCCAGAAAAACUAAGAGAAAUUGUCACCCGCUUGCCCAACGAUCACUCUCCAUCUUGCAGAACUAGGAUAGUCGCAGCCGCUGUCGAUGGGCAUCCCAUCGGCAUCGCCGCUUCCCACCGAGGAUCCUACCGCCAUCGUUACUUCCUGCCGAGUCGCUCUCGUGAGAGCGGCACAGGGCCUUGUCUUGCGGUUGUCUUUCUGUUUAACUCCACACGCUAAUUUCCAAGUUAAUCCAAAUCAAUAUUUUUGUCUGUGACGCAAGCAAACUACCACACGCGCUCUUACCUUACAUUGGUAAAUAUGGACCAAAUCUCUGCUCUUUUUAAAAAUAAAAUUCCAUGAUGUUCUUCUACAAAAGCAUCGAUAGAUAAUGAUUACCUCAUGUAUGUUGAAAAAUAGUGCAUAGAAUGGGCGUAGGAUGUUGAAAGUUAGCAGCAUGGACUUCGAAGGGAGCUUGAUGUAAUUAUAAAGCACGCUGCUGUGUAUAACCUUAAACAAACUUGCAGAGUUGCAAUGGGCACUGAAAAUCUCAUUCGAUCGAGCAUACCUCAUUGAGUAGUUGGAACUUCGGAGCCACAAACAGCUUCCGUCGAUGACAAAUAGGAACCGUGCACCGUUCCUUCCGUCCCUCCUCCUCCUCCUCUUAUUUGGUCUCACCGUCGCAGCCUUUGCCGCGGGCGAUGACCAAUUCAUCUUCUCCGGCUUCACACAAUCCAGCCUAGCCCUCGACGGCGGCGCCGUGGUCACACAAGGCGGCCUCCUCGACAUGUCCAACGGCACAAACAAUGUCAAGAGCCAUGCUCUUUACCCCACUCCAUUGCGCUUCCGCAAUUCAUCCACUGGUGGUAAAGUGCAAUCAUUCUCGUCCGCCAUCGUUUUCUGCAUCAUCGGCGCAUUCCCUGGCGUGAGUGCCAAUGGCUUGGCCUUCUUCAUCGCCCCAAGCAGGAAUCUCUCGGACGCGUUGCCGACGCAGUACUUUGGUAUCCUGAAGCAGCAAAACAAUGCCAACCUCUUUGUUAUCGAGGUUGACACCUUCCAGAACCCUGACAUGCAAGACAUCAACGACAACCACAUCGGCAUCGACAUCAACAGUGUUUUCUCCUUGCCAUCUCACGCGGCUGGCUUCUAUGAUGACUCUAGUGGCGCCUUCAAGAACUUGACGCUCAACACCCAGAUAGAACUGCAGUUGUGGGUGGACUACGAGGAGGAGGAAACAAGGAUCAAUGUGACCUUGGCUCCACUUCAUGUGGGAAAACCCUCCAAGCCACUGUUGUCCGCAACCUAUGACCUCUCAACCGUGCUCACGGAGACGGCAUACAUAGGUUUCUCAUCCACGGCUGAAAUUAUGAACACCCGUCAUUAUGUUCUUGGAUGGAGCUUUGGCAUGAACGGGCAAGCAGCCCCGUCCAUUGACAUCUCCAAGCUUCCAAAGGUUCCUCGUCUACGACAAAAGGCCCAGUCCAUGCUCUUGGCGAUCAUCCUCCCAAUAGCCACUGCGGCACUGAUAAUCUCUAUCGGCACCAUUGUCACUCUGAUGGUGCGAAGAAAGAGGAGGUACACGGAGGUGCGUGAGGAUUGGGAGAGCGAGUUCGGUCCACACCGGUUCUCGUACAAGGAUUUGUUCAAGGCUACUCAGGGAUUUAAGAGCAAGAACCUAGUUGGAGCAGGAGGGUUUGGGGAGGUAUACAGAGGGGUGCUUAAACUGUCCAAGAAGGAGAUUGCCGUGAAGAGGAUGUCCCAUGAGUCGAGACAAGGGAUGAAGGAGUUCAUCACCGAGGUUGUUAGCAUUGGCCGGUUGCGACAUCGCAACCUAGUGCAGCUACUUGGUUAUUGCAGGCGGAAAGGUGAACUGAUGUUGGUGUACGAUUACAUGUCAAAUGGCAGCCUUGACAAGUAUAUACAUUGUCAAGAGGACGACAAGCCCACCUUAAAUUGGGCUCAGAGGUUUCAAGUCAUCAAGGGUAUCGCUACCGGCUUGCUCUACCUCCACGAGAAGUGGGAGAAAGUCGUGAUCCACCGGGACAUCAAGGCAAGCAACGUCCUCCUCGACGACGAAAUGAACGGGCGGCUCGGCGACUUCGGCCUCGCACGGUUAUAUGAUCAUGGCACCGAUCCACAGAGCACACACAUGGUGGGCACAAUGGGAUACCUUGCCCCCGAGCUAGUACGCACAGGCAAGGCAUCUCCUCUUACCGAUGUGUACGCCUUCGGCAUGUUUCUUCUCGAAGUUACAUGUGGGCAAAAGCCCAUGAAGCAAGAUGCAGAGGGAAAUCAGGUUUUCCUGGUGGACUGGGUCCUAGAGCACUGGCACAACCGACUGCUUACCAGAACGGUGGACACAAGGCUCCAAGGCGAUUACGGCGUUGACAAAGCAUGCCUCGUGCUGAAGAUAGGACUUUUGUGCCUGCACCCGUUUCCUGGUUCGAGGCCUAGCAUGCGAGAAGUCAUGCAAUACCUCGACGGUGAGACCCCGCUGCCUGAGCUGAAGCCGACGCAGCUGAGCGUGGAAAUGCAGGGGUUGAUGCAGGACAGCGGGUUCAACACUUCUGUCAUGUCUUAUCCCCAGCUGAUGUCAAGCUUCGGCACAGUGUCCGACCUCUCGGGAGGACGAUGAUGUCCACGGUGUUAGUAAUUCUGGCAACUAGUUGCCUGUGCACCCCAUGUUUCCUUUUCCCUAUUUUUGGACUUUCAAGUUCUCAGAAAUUGUAAAAUAAUUCAUGGAUGUAAGUUAUGCUAUAUGAUUUGCUUCUGCUAAAACUCAUAACAAAAUAUAACAUCCUGUAACCUUUACAGAAAAAGACAAAUUUAUAUCAUGUGCAUGUCAUUAAACAGAAGUACUGAACACUAUUCAUUUGAAUCUUGUCGCUUUUUUCUAGGUUAUAUUUUUUAGGAAUCGAAAAAGUAAAAAAGAGCACGGAUGAUAUUCUAGCUUGACAUAUGAGUAUGAUGAUCAAUUAGAUGCUCACAUCUCUUCAUUAUGCUCAUAACUCGUAUAGCUAGAAAUAAAUUUCAAUCUAUUGGAUGGGUUAUUGAGAAAAACUAUCUCUUUUCGAGGAGUUUGAGAGGAAUCCAUCCUUAUGGAAAAUACAUGGGUAAUCAUGGUUGUAUGUGAUCCCAAUUACAAAAAAGUUUUUAUCGAAAAAAGAAAAAAAAACUGUACAUGUACAUUGAUCAGUGUUACCUAAAUUUAGUCAUUUGUUGUUGUACAAAGGAAGAUAGACACUCAACACUAUUCUAGUAAUUAGCAAGGUGCCCUCACAAAUGCGAGGAUCUCAUUUAUUAGUACGUCAAAUGUGUUAAUAGUUUUAAAGAUGAAUCUUAAAGAUGGACAAGAGCUGAAAAACAACUGAAAGUAUACCGUUGAAUUUCAAAGAUGGACAAUAACUGGAAUAUCAACUUGACGCAUAAUUCCACGCGUGGAUGAACAGUGUGCUCUAAAUGUGACUUUUGACGAUUACCUUGGGAUGACAUGAAAUUGGCAGCUCACGCUUCAGAGUUCCAUCAAUAAUAUUCUGAUGCUGAAAUUUGUUAUGCCGUUACAGCAACGGCAGAGGAUCUCAAUCGACCUUUUUCGAGUAUUAUGUGUAGUAAAUUUGGAUGUUUGUGGAAAAUUUGUUUGACGCAAUACUGUUCUGCGGGAUUUUUCAACAACAAAUUUCCAAGAUAUAUUUUAAAAACAAGUGCCUAUAGGUAAGUCAACAAUAGGUGUGGAAUGUUGAAAAAAUUGCAUCUAGCAGUCCAUCUUUAGGUGUACCUAUUUACUUUAAGUCUGAAUUGUUGGAUAAGUGAGCAACUAGUGUUUCCUGAGGGCCAAAGGCCAUUACAUAUACAUGUGUGUGAAAGUGCAAAAAAGCCCCUUAUACAAUGGGGAUGUACACAAUGAACUAUACACAUCUAACACCCCCCCUCAAACUCAUGGUGGAUCAACAACACUGAGUUUGGAGAGGAAAACCCCAUGUUGCGCGCGAGUCUGUGCCUUCGUGAAGAAGUCAGCCAACUGUAACUCAGAGGGCACAUAGUGAAGAGCGAGAGUCUGAUCCUGCACAGCAGCACGUACAAAGUGGGCAUCCACACCGAUGUGCUUGGUGAGCUCAUGCUUCACCGGGUCACGCGCAAUACUGAUAGCACCGGUACUGUCGGACAGUAGAGGAGUUGAGGUAGUAGCAGACACACCAAAGUCCUCAAGUAACCACCGUAACCAGAUCACCUCAGCCAUCAACAUAGCCAUGGCUCGCAACUCAGCCUCUGUACUCGAGCGAGAAACUGCUGUCUGCUUCUUUGUCUUCCAGGCAAUAAGAGAGCCACCAAGAAAGACACAAUAAGCAGACAACGAGCGUCGAUCCGAGGGGUCACUAGCCCAGGUAGCAUCAGAGUAGGCUUGGAGCUCAAGAAAGCUGGAGCGGGGAAAGAAAAGGUGCUGAGAGAUCAUGUCACGAAGAUAUCGUAGAACACGGAGGAGAUGACUGUAGUGGACAGAGGUGGGGGCUGAAACAAACUGACUCAGGAUGUGAACAGGAUAGGAGAUGUCAGGACGCGUAACAGCAAGAUAGACAAGACUGCCAACAAGAUGACGAUAGCGAGUGGGAUUAGGAAGAGGGUCACCAUCGGUGGCACGAAGCUGAACGUUGAGCUCCAUGGGAGUCACAACCGUAUGCUCAUCACCGAGAGCAGCGCGAGCAAGGAGAUCCUGAAUAUAUUUUUCUUGGGAGAUGUAGAAGCCAUCAGAGGUCGAGGAGAUCUCAAUCCCAAGAAAGUAGCGAAGUGGACCAAGAUCAGUCAUAAGAAACUGGUCGCGAAGGCGAGCCUUAACAAAGGCAAUGUAAUCAGUGUCAUCACCAGUGAUGAUCAUGUCAUCAACAUAGAGAAGGAGAAGAGUCCGACCACGAGGAGACGUGUGAACAAACAGUGCGGGAUCAUGGUCACUGGGCAAGAAACCAGCGGCAGUCACCACAGAUGCGAAGCGCUCAAACCAGGCACGAGGGGCCUGUUUGAGACCAUAUAGGGAGCGGCGAAGUCUACAGACCAUACCAUCAGGAGCAUAGUAUCCCUGUGGUGGCUGCAUAUAAACCUCCUCACGCAACUCGCUAUUGAGAAAAGCGUUCUGAACAUCAAGUUGAGAGAUAGACCACUGACGGACAGAAGCCACAGCAAGAAGAGUGCGGACAGUGGUCAUGUGAGCCACAGGAGCGAAUGUCUCAUCAUAAUCACGCCCCUGCUCCUGCUGAAAUCCACGGGCCACUAGACGAGCUUUGUAGCGCUCAAGAGAACCAUCGGAGCGAGUCUUAACCUUGUAGACCCACUUGCAGGUGAUGGGACGGACAUCGGAAGGAAGGGGAACCAGAUCCCAUGUGCCAGAGCGCACAAGAGCAGUAAGCUCUUCGGCCAUCGCAAGUUGCCAUUCAGGCUGAGUCAUGGCAGUUCGGUAGGAAGUGGGCUCAGCAAUAGCAGAGAGACCAUACCGAGUAGGGGAGUAGCAAUCAGGCGGGGGGCGAGGCCGAGCACGAAGGUUGUGAACCGGGGGAGGCGUGAGAGGAGGUGCACCAGAGGUGGAAGACUCGUUAGAGGAGACAUCCUCAGUACGAGAUCGGCGAGUAUAGUGGAGAGGGAACGAUGAGAGAGAGCGACGAACUGGAGAUGCUGGUGGAGAGGUGGAGGAGGAGGAUGAAGUAGACGGUGUCGGUGGGGAAUGAGAAGGAAUGAGAGGUGCCGGAGGAAGAGGUGACACAUGAGGCACAUAGCCGGGUGUGUCAGGAAGGAGCAGAAAAGAAAUGUCAUCCACAGAGAAACUCGAGGAAGGAGAACGUGGGUAGUAAGAACGAGACUCGUCAAAUGUCACAUCACGCGAGAUGCGCAAGCGACAACCCACAGGAUCCCAACAUCGAUAGCCCUUGUGCUCAUCACUGUAGCCAAGAAAGACACACUCAACCGACUGAGCAGUCAGUUUGGUGCGUUCUCGAGGGGCAAGAAGGACAUAACACACACAUCCAAACAUCCGAAGAGCGGAAUAAUAGUCAGGGGAACGCCCAGUGAGACACUCCAUAGGAAUACCACCCUACAAAGCAGUCGAGGGCUGAAUGCUGAUGAGAUAAGUGGAUGCAGAAACAACCUCAGCCCAAAAGUGAGGCGGAAGGGAAGCGGCAAUCAUCAACGCAUGAGCCGUUUCAAGUAGAUGAUGAUGCUUACGUUCGGCAACGCCGUUCUGAGCAUGAGCACCGGGACAUGAGAACUGGGCAAGAGUACCCUGUUCCGCAAGAAAACCAUGCAACAGCUGAGAGAUAAACUCACCAGCGGAGUCCGCACGAAAAGUACGAAUGGGCGUGGAAAACUGGGUGCGAAUCAUGGCAGCAAAACGUUUGUAUAUAGAGAGAACCUCGCUACGAGAUUUCAUGAAGUAGAGCCAGGUGUAGCGAGAGAAAUCAUCAAUAAAAAGGAUAUAAUAGCGAUGACCACCUUUCGAAUCAAAGGGGGCAGGACCCCAAACAUCAGAAUGAACUAAGUCAAAAGGACGCUGAGAUACCGACUCACUGAUAGGAUAAGGCAACUGAGUCUGUUUGCCAAGUCUGCAACCAGUACAAUGUAAAGAAACAUCUCCAGAUACAGACCCCAAGAGGCCCUGACGAACUAAGGAAGACAAGCGAGAGCCACAGAUAUGACCAAGGCGAUGAUGCCACUGCUGGAAGGACACAGACGAAGAGGCAAUAAGGGCAUGGGAGCUGGCAAGAGUGGUGAGAGCGGAAGGAACACGAAGCCAGUCAACCUCCCAAAGGCCCUCCGACUCACGGCGCCGGGGCCAGCACCAACCAAAGCCUUGGUGCGUCGAUCCUGAAUGGAGCAAGAGUCGGUAUCAAGGAUGACACGACAACCAGAAUCAGUAAGUUGGGCAGCGGAAAACAGAUUCAUGGUAAGACGAGGAACAUGCGAGACACUAGGAACAGAAAAGGAGGGAGUGGAAAGAAGGCCACGACUAGCAACAGAAAAAGGGGUGCCAUCAGCGGUAAGAACAUUAACAGGCGAAUCAAGAGGUCGGAGAGAAGACAACACAGAAGAAUCAGAAGACAUGUGGAAGGAGGCUCCAGAAUCCAAAACCCACGAAGAUGUACCUGACCGUGUAGAUGCCUGCGGUGGUGGAGAAGUGGCUGCAGUCACAGCAGCAGCUGAACCAGUCGAGGAAGAGCCUGAGGAAGCCAGGAGGCGUUUGAGCCUCACAAUGUCCUGGUCAGUGAGUGACGGAGUCGAGGAAGAUCCAGGAGUCCCACUGGAAGAGGAGCGCCGCUGGUCGCGCUUCUUCUCACGACAAUCAGACUCUGGGUGACCGGGCCGAGAGCAGUAGCCACAGUAGGUGUCACGGCGCGACCGGCCCCUCUCAGUAUAAGUGGGGCGACUCACCCCCCCUGAAGGUGUGGGGAGGAGCGGUGGAGCGGUGAUCCGAGCAAACGACAUAGGAGCUCGAGCAGCCAACACAGACGGGACCACCAGCAAACCAGCUGAGCCGAGGCGGGUCUCCUCAGCACGAAGCUCAGCAAGCACCUCCGAGAUUGGAACACGACCUCGAGCAAGCAAGUGAGCACGUCUGGGCUCAAACUCAGAGCGGAGACGAGAUAAGAACUCAUGGACCCGCUGAAACUCCAGAUCAGACCGAGUAGUCUGACAGCAACGAUAGGUGCCACAAACAACUGUCCGAAGAGAGUCAAGCUGACGCCAGAUGGCAGAGCACUGUGAAUAGAACUCAUCAACAGAGGAAUCACCUUGCUGGAGGGCGUGCUCCUGACGCACUACAGAGAGAUAGAGAGCAUCACCAGAGGGCUGAUAGCGCUGACAAAUAUAAGACCACAUCGUUGCAACUGUGCCAAGUCCCAUGAACUCCGAAGCAAACUGAGGGAGGACACUGGCAGUAAGAACAGCAGCAGCACGAGCAUCAUCAUUGCACCACUGAGUGUAAGCAAAGAGAUCAUCCCGGUACGCCGAAAGAGCAUCGGAGUAAGCAGAUAUCUGCUGAUCAUAGGCAUCAACUGCAGCAUCAUCAAGGGUCUUGGCGGCAUCCCGGUCGGCCUAGGAAGCCUCAGGAGCAAGUACCGGCGGCACCGGUGGGAUUGGGGCCACAGGCGCAACAGGGCAUGGAAAGCAGGGAGCCUCGCCAGAAAGAACACCCCAGAGAAGAAGACCACGCAUAUGGAUGCGCAUGAAUCCCACAAAUUCAGCAUAGUUGGUGCCAUCGAAGAUCACUGAGCACCUAGGAACAACAACAUAGCCCGAAGAAGACAUGAGGGAACUUUGUGUGUCUCUUUUUUUUUGGUCAACAGACUCAGCAGCCCGAUCUAGAUCGAGCAACGAAGUCGAUCGAGACAGGGGGCUCAGACGGCUUCGAGCGGGAUCGAGCAGAGGCCCGAGGCCCGGUCGAGGCAGAGGGCUGGGCGACUCGAGGCAGGGGGCUCAGCUGCCCGAGCUGGCCGAUCGAGUCAGGCUGCCCGAUCUGGAGCAGAGGACGGGCGACCGGGAAGCCAGAGGCGCGGCUUGGGGCGCGCGGAAGAAGUUGCGGCGCGGCCGGGGACGGCCUGACAGGGAGGAGGCAGCCGGGGCGCGGCCGGGGCGCAGCCGGGCAGGGCGGCGCGACCAGGGCGCGGCCUGGGCGCGACCGGGCAGGAAGGGCGCGGCCGGGACGCCGCUGAGCACGCGAGCGCGGUCGCGGGCAGGGACUGCCGGGCGCGGAGAAGGUGGCCGGCGACGGAGGAGGAGAUGGCCGGCGACGAGGAAGCUAGGCACGGAGAGGAAGAGGAACCUGGCAACUGAUACCAUGUUGGUUAAGUGAGCAACUAGUGGGCCAAAGGCCAUUACGUACACAUGUGUGUGAAAGUGCAGAAACGCCCCUUGUACAAUGGGGAUGUACACAAUGAACUAUACACAUCUAACAUGAAUGAUCCAAAAUGUAUUACACAGAUACUUAGAAAAGGUUGAUUGAGAUCCUCCGCCGUUGCUGUGACGGCAUAACAAAUUUCAAGAUGAACAACAGAGGAUUAGGAAGGAUGGUGGAGAUAGUCUGGACCUGGCACUCUGAAGUGUGAGCUGGCCGUUUCCCAUCAUCACAAGUUAGUCGCCAAAAGUCACAGCCAGAGAGUAUUAAUACACACCGUCUUAGAUCAUGCACUGCAUCCACACAUGGAAUUAUAUAUACGUUUCCUUUUCAGUUCUUGUCCAUCUUUAAAUUCAACGGUAUACUUUCGGUACGGUUGACCAAAUUUACAUGACAAAAGAUUACAAAAAGGUCGCUUGCGCAUCGAUGUUCAAGCUAAGAUAAAUCAAUGUUUUUGUCUGUGAUGCAAGCAAAACUGCGACGCAUUAGCUUGGACAGAUAAAUAUGGAUCAAAACUGUGUUCCAGAGCUGAGAGUCAUCUGACUGAUAAAAGGCCGAGUAGAGCAAAAGGCCGGCGUUACCCAAGCAUAAUUAACAUCCAUACACGCAUCUGCCUAUGCAAGCCAUUCUUCAUGCCCAGCAUGAAGCUAGCCUCCUUUCUGCUACUCAAGCUACUACUACUCUCCCUUGGCCUUAGCAUGGCACCACCCUUCCUUGCCGGCGAUGAGCACCAGUUCAGUUACUCUGGCUUUUCCAACACUAACCUCACCCUCGACGGUGCGGCCUCGAUCACACCCAAUGGGUUGCUUAUGCUUACCAAUGGCACAUCCCGGAGCAUGGGCCGCGCUUUCUAUCCUGAUCCACUGCGCUUCCGCAAUUUGUCCGAUGGGGCUGUGCAGUCCUUCUCCGCCUCAUUUGUCUUCGCCAUGGUCUCCAUCUACAAGGACUUGAGCAGCAAUGGCAUCGCCAUGUUCAUUGCGCCGAGCAAGAAUUUGUCUGCGGCGAUGCGGAUGCAGUACUUGGGUCUUCUCAGCAAUCAGAAUGAUGGCAAUCAAACAAACCACAUCUUCGCGGUCGAGCUAGACACCUUCCAGAACUGGGAGCUCCAAGACAUGAAUGACAACCAUGUUGGUAUUGACGUCAACAGUCUCCGCUCCAUACAAUCCCAUGAUGCCGGUUUCUACCAUGACAAGAAUGGGACCUUCCAGAGUUUGAGUCUCGAUAGCCAAGAGGUGAUGCAGGUGUGGGUGGACUACCAUGGAGAGAAGAUGCAGAUCGAUGCCACCAUGGCUCCUCUCGGCAUGGACAAGCCUACAAGACCGAUAGUAUCAGCCAACUACAACCUCUCAAGCGUGCUCACAGAUGUGGCAUACAUCGGCUUCUCAUCUGCAGAAGGCAAGAUAACGAAGCAUUAUGUGCUUGGUUGGAGUUUUGGCAUGAACAGUCCAGCUCCAGCUAUCAAUCUCAGCAUGCUGCCAAAACUACCCCCUGGUCCUCGUACCAAGGGUGGUCGACGUCGUCUCCAGGUAUUGGAGAUCAUUCUGCCACUAGCAACGGCGGCACUCAUCCUGUCUGUGGCUGCCGUUGUUUCCCUACUUGUGCGAAGGCAUUUGAGGUAUGCAGAAGUACGUGACGACUGGGAGGUCGAAUACGGCCCGCACCGCUUCUCGUACAAGGAUUUGUUCCGUGCAACAGAAGGAUUUGACAACAAAAACCUCCUAGGGACCGGAGGAUUUGGAAGAGUAUACAGAGGAGAGCUGUCAAGGUCCAAACUAAUGAUAGCUGUGAAGAGGGUGUCGCACCACUCCAGGCAAGGCAUGAAGGAAUUCAUUGCAGAAAUUGUCAGCAUUGGCCGCCUUCAGAAUCCAAAUCUCGUACACUUACUUGGCUAUUGUAGGCGUCGUGGUGAGCUCCUGUUAGUGUAUGAGUACAUGCCCAAAGGAAGCCUCGAUAAGUACUUGUAUGGUGAAGUGGACAACUCCACAUUAAGUUGGGACCAAAGGAUUUGGAUCAUCAGGGGCAUUGCAUCUGCACUGAUUUAUCUCCACGAGGAGUGGGAGAAAGUGGUCGUUCACCGAGACAUCAAGGCAAGCAAUGUGCUACUCGAUGAUGAGUUGAAUGCACGGUUGGGUGAUUUCGGUCUCGCAAGGUUGUAUGAUCAUGGCGUUGAGCAAGAAACUACUCGUGUUGUUGGCACCAUUGGAUACAUUGCUCCGGAGCUAGCACGCACGGGCAAGGGUACUCCCCUUACCGACGUAUUUGCCUUUGGUGUAUUUAUUCUGGAGCUCACUUGUGGACAAAGACCUAUCAUGCAGAGCACACAAGAUGAGCAGGUCAUGUUGGUUGAUUGGGCGCUUGAGCAUGUACAACAAGGGUCACUAGAUGAUGCAAUAGAUAUAAGGCUUAAAGGGCAGUACAAUGUCAGUGAGGCACAUCUGGCACUGAAGCUAGGACUACUGUGCUCACACCCAUUUGCAUGUGCAAGGCCUAGCAUGCGGCAAGUGAUCCAAUACCUAGAUGGGCAUAUUGAACCACCAGAGCUACCAGCACACCAGAGCUUCCAAGCACUAGCCUUGAUGCAAAAUGAAGGGUUCGAUUCAUACAUCAUGUCAUAUCGUUCAUCAACGAGCGUUGGCACAAUAUCGAGCAUUUCAGGAGGAAGAUAAGCACUAUGUUUGAUGGUGCUGGGAAGUGGGAGUGCUUAUUUAUCUAUGAUGUACCCUAAAGAAUACUCCCUCCGUUCCUAAAUAUAAGUCUUUGUAGAGAUUCCAUUAGGUGGACUACAUACGGAGCAAAAUGAAUGAAUCUAGACUUAAAAUGCAUGUAUAUACAUCCGUAUGCGGUUUAUAGUGGAAUCUCUAUAAAGACUUACAUUUAGGAACGGAGGGAGUAGAAUAUAUUGGACGUGUAAUGAGACAUGGAUAUGAAAGCUUGUACAUAUGUUCUUACCUUUCAGUAGCUAGAUUUGUUGCCUCAUGAACAAGAUUGAUAGGUCUGGUAGAAUGAUUAGUACCAUCUGAAUAAAGAGUUUAUAGUAGGAGGCUCAGCUCAGCUUCAGAGCUAUCAACUCUGUAAUAUAAAUUUCAUAGUUUCGUGGUUUCUUCAAUAAAAGUUUUGUGAUUGUUUAUUCUUUGUGAAUCUGAAUAUUUACUCAUUUGUUUCUGAUGGACAUGUUCUUGCAUUUGUUUGGGACAUCCUCUAUUACCUGGUGAUAUGUAGACAGAUCGAAAUUGAGUUGUCAAAAUUUGGGAAGGGCUUUCAGAAUAUGUGUGGCCACGGCCAGGGCUUGGAAGUGUGCUUCAGUGAGACGGCCAACGGCCCUUUCAAUUGCGUGUGCAUUUUAUAAGAGUUUGUCUGCAGCGCAGUCCGUGCUUCUAGACCAUUAGAUCCAAAUCCAAUGGCACCUGUAUCUCCUUCCUUCUCUGGACAUUUAACCAGUGAUAAGAGCAUGGAAGACGAAAUGAAAUGUACAUUAGCAUUCCAUAAAGUAGAUGCACUUAAUUAACAGGCGCUGGAACAUAUUGUAGUCUUGUGAGAAAUAAACUGUCAUUGAACUAAAGUGCAACAGCAGCAUCAAACCUUAAUAGUUAGAGAAUCAUUUGUAGCAUCACAAGCUAAUCUGACGACUUCCCCUGGCACGACUAAUACCAGAUUGAAGGCUCAAUUUUUCGAUCCAACCAGCUUCAGUGCUCAAAACAGUAAAAUUAUCACUUCACACUUAUAGCACAAUCCUGUCAAAAAGGAAAAUGAAUCCUCCGGCAUUUAACCUCUGAGUCCCAAGAAAGGUUUGUUCUGAUCUAUGGCCCACAAAGUAAUCAAUACAUCCAAAUUACAACAACAAGCAUUACCUUAAUUGGAGACUCGAUGCCUGAAGAUGGUGUAAGAAUAUGUUCACCAAUAACAAAGUUCUGAAGACGACAUAUGCCUUUGGUUUAUUCACAACGUUACAGCAAUCACGUGCAAGUAUGUGAGCUGAAAACAUAGGGUUUCAUCAAUUUAAAGGUUAUAUAUUUUUGUAAAAGCAAACAUGUAGAUAGAAAAGGGCAUGCCGAUCAACGAAAUAGCUAAUGAGUAUGUCGUGCUGCCACAUGUCAUCUACAGAUUAAAGCAACCCAUUUACGCACUGGUUGGGAUUGUGGUGUGAAACUGCGACGCGGGCUGCGACAGUUAUGAUAUACCGUAGCGACAUUAGUAAGACUGUUCUUUACACAAUCAGUAACGAAAUGGCCAGAGGAAACUCGGUAUGUGAAACAGAGUUUUCUGGGAUCCAAUCCACCAGUAUUGCACUAUUCUACUUGUAACUCCAUGAAGAGCAUGAGAGUCAAUAACAGAAGACUCCAAUUGAAAAUUCAUCAAACAGGUCCUUAGAUGGCAACAUACAUGGUCAGAACAAUUACAUGGAUCAUAAACAGUUGUGAUAUCUGGAGAAGGCACUGGGUCGAUGACAAAACAAAGGUCGACAAGCAACUCACGGACAGCGCCAUGAGAAUACUGAUAUGUGGUUUCAAAUCCUCUGUGAGAAGCUACACAGUGUGAUUCAUUGCAUCACACCAAAUGCUACAGAGGGACAUAUACUCCCAAGUUCCAAAAAUCAGGAGCACCGAUGUACUUAUGAAGAAAACGAUCCCCCACUGCGGAUCAAUAGCAUUCCAGGAAUCUUCUUAUGUUACUUGGUGAUGCCAAUACGGAGGCAAAUUUUUAUAUAGCAGUGGAAAUCGCUGAAAUCGGCGAUGUGGGACUGAAUAUAUCUCGGUGUAGUACAGACUGUGCUACAGUCGAGGUCGUUCUUACCCGAGCCCGAGCGACCGGCGGCGCCUGCCCCAGCCCGCUCCGUCGCGCCCGCGCUGUCCACCACAGCGCCUGUUCCUCCUCCUCCACCUCCAUCACUCCGGUUGCCGGCGCCGGUGCUCGCCGGCCACCAUCGCCCCCCCCUCGACCCUAUCUCCAGCUGGUCCCAGUUCACUCCGGCGCACCAGAGGUUGGGGAGUGCAGACAAAGAAGCAAAAACGAGCUUGGAGAGACGGAGGAAGGACGGCGGCGGGGAGGACGACGGGACGGGAGCGCCGACCGCCGAUGGGAGCUACAGCGCUCGCAGUCGUGUUGAGCGGGCCGUGGCCCAACAGCCAUUGAUUUCGUUCGCUCGCCGUCCUCGCUCAACCGCAUCGCUAGCAUUUCUCCAAAAAAAAAAACCGCAAUUGGUCUAAAAAAAAACCCCCGCUGAGAGAUGGGGAACCUCGGAUCUUCAAGACAUCUAUGUCCUUCGUCAAUGUUAAGUGAUCAUCAUAGUUUUGUAAGAAUAUUUUUUGGGUUUUUUUAUCAGUAAUGCACGUUUUGUAAGAAUAUUUUUUUCUCGUUCUUUUGGCGAUGCAGGCUGUGCUUUUCCCCUUUUUGAGAAGCAUAACUAUAUUUUUUUAUUUUUAGAAAAGCACAAUUGUGUUGUUCCCUUUUAGAGAGGCACAAUUUGUGCUUCUCGCGAAAGCACAAUUUUAAUAUAGAGAUCACCUGCUAAUGCCAAUGCCUUGCAACGCACCAGCGCUAAGAGUGUCACUGGAUCCAAGUUACAUGGAAGCUCCCAUCUCAGAUAUAACACCAUGCACAUUGGUCUUCAUGACACCACACCUGCUUUGAAACUACCCUCGUGUCCCAUCUCUACCUGCUUAAUGUCCUUUUAGCUCGUCCAAAAAUUGGUUACGAAGUAAUGCAUCGGUAAAGAACUCUGAAGAGCUCCCUCGUAGAUGUCCUUGCACCAUCCAGAUCGCCCCAUAUAGCAUUUAUGAACUUUUCUAAUCUUAGUGUGCUCCAUGAUCACAUGAAUUGGUUGUCUUGUAUCAGUUUCUGAGCUCAUGCUCAUAUCUCGAGUGAGCUCUGCAUCAACAAUAGCCUGGAACGUCCUGCAUGCUUCCAUGGUGUGUAGCACUGUAUCACUCCUAAGGCCUAGCGUGUGGAGGAGAAGGUGGCACUAGAACGAAGUCGACUGUUGCACUCAGUGGUGAAGACAAGUGUUUUUUUACACUUGACAACCUAAGUUUACAAGUUAUAGUGUUUUUUUCUUUCUUUUUUAUUGGACAAUCCUGGUAGGGAGUCGGUGGGAUUUCAUAUUCUAUGCAUGGGUCGCUGGAUAGCGACCACACACAUACCCUCCUAGGCAUUUGCAGACCGGCCCACUAUUCUUUCUCCCAUCAGUUUUGGGAAAGUUUGAUUCUAGAACCCGACGGGUGAAAAGUUCUUUUUUUGAUUUUUCUUUGAUGAUUUUACAAGUUUUAUCCCAUUUUUUUACUUUCCUUCCUUUUUAUUUUAAAAAUCAUAUUAAUUUUUGAAAAUCAUUCAUGAACAUUUUUUAAUUUGCGAUAUUUUUUGGAUUUAAAAUAUUUUUCAAAAUAUUGUUUUAAAAUCAUGUCUUAUUAAUUUCCGAAUAUUUUCCAAAUUUGGGAACAUUAUUUUGAAUUCAUAAACAUUUUUUUAUAUCCUAUUUUUUGUAUACAUGAACAUAUUUCAAAUUCAUGAGCCUUGAAAAUUUUAUGAACAUUUAUUGGAAACACAUGGAUUUUUUUAAAGUUCAGAAAACAACUAAUCCUAAAUAUUUUUAAAUCACAAAAACAUUCUAAAAAUCUAUUUUUUGGGAUUUAAACAUAUUUAAAAAUCACAAACAUUUGAAAAAAAGUCCAAUAUUGUUUUUCAGAAUUCAUGAUUUUUUUUUGAAACGCACAAUUUUGUUUUGCAACGUAUUUUAGCAGAAACCUUUGAGAAUGUUUCUGGUAUGAGGAUCAACUAUUCAAAGAGUGAGAUUAUCCCCCUUGGGCUCACUGACAGUGAAGUCGACUCUUACAAGAAUAUCCUAAAAUGUACUAUAGGUACAUUCCCUAUUAAAUAUCUAGGCGUCCCCCUUCAUUAUGACAAGCUAAGGAGAGAAGACAUCCAGCCCCUCAUUGACAAGAUCCUCAAAAGGAUGGCUGGGUGGAGAGGGAAACUUCUCUCUUAUGUUGCUAGGGUAGUUUUGAUUAAAGCCUGUCUUGCUAGCAUCCCAGUAUACCUACUCUCCUUCUUCAAAUUCCCCGAGUGGGCUCUUGACCUAAUCAACAGCCAACUCGCCCAGUCUUUGGAGUGACUUUGAGGGAUAUAGGAAGCUUCAUCUAGCAAACUGGCAUUUAGUUUGCAUGAGGAAGGAGUAUGGGGGGAUGGGUAUCCCUAACAUCAAGGAUGUUAACCUAUGCCUAUUAGGCAUCUGGGUUAAAAGAUAUAUCCAAGAUGAAGGCAAGAUCUGGAGACAAAUAGUAGACUCUAAGUACAUUAAGAAAAGCCCCAACAUUUUUGCAGCCAAUCCACAAAACACCUCCAAAUUCUGGCAGGGAGUGAUGUGGGCUGCAAAAGCCCUGAAGUUUGGGUAUAGAUGGAAAAUAGGUAAUGGUAAGAAAGUUAGAUUUUGGGAAGACAUAUGGUUUGGCACCUCCCCACUGUCAGUGCAGUUCUGGCCCCUGUACACUAUUUGUCACUAGCAGGGGGCUACUGUUGCAGACAUUUGGGAUGGGGUGAAUAUCAAACUGACUUUUAGAAGAGUUUUCUCAAAUACCAUGAUGGAGAACUGGUACUGCCUAGAGCAGAUCAUCAAGAGCUAUGAGCUGACUGGAGAUGAAGAUUCCCUAAUUUGGCAAUAUGAGAAUAAAGGGAUCUACUCUACUAGUUCUCUUUACAAUAGUAUCAAUUUUAGAGGGGUGCAACCUAUAUAUAUACCUGCUGUGUGGUCGAUAGUGGUUCCUCCUAGAGUACAAGUGUUUUUGUGGCUCCUGUCUCAUAACAAGUUGAUGACUAAGGAUAAUUUGUUAAAAAGAGGGAUCACUAAACAUCUUGAAUGCAUGUUUUGUACAGAGCACGAAUCCAUAGAUCACCUGUUCUUUGGAUGUGUAGUUGUUAAACAGAUUUGGGCUGAUGUGUCCAAAAUCCUUUCCUAUGAUUUAGGUAAUGACUACAUAUCUAUUGCUAGAUUUUGGCCAGCCCAUAAGAAUAAGAUGGUCUUGAACUCUGUCUGUGCCUGUGUUAUGUGGUGCAUCUGGAAGUUCAGAAAUUCCAUGGUUUUUAAUAGUGUAAUGUGGACUGACCUUAAACAGGUUUGGUGGCAGAUUCACUUGACUCUCAAGAAGUGGAUGAUCUUGUUCAAAGGAACAGGCCUAGAAGAAUUGAAGCUAGUUUCUCAGAAGGUAGCAAUGAUCCUCACCUCUUCCUUCCUGCUGACCAUGGGGUGAUCGAUGGCAAUGAUACUGUGGGUAUCUUAAACCUAGAUUCACUCUCCAAGAUGUCAUUGGGAACUGAGAGACUGGGUGCAGGUCUACCGCCUCCUGUCCGCUACACACCUCCAAACAGCCCUGGGAGGAACUGUAAGCAUGCAUCGCUGCUGAGCCCAGCCACUCCACUGGAACUGCCGCUGACUCCAGUCCAAACCUUCAAGAGGAUCAAAUGGGGGUGUGCACAAGCGAGUCAGAAGAAAGCUGGAGCUGUACUGGUGGGCGAAUGAAGAGAUGGAACUCUCUGUGGGAUCUCUGUCUAUUUUGGUGCCAGCACUUUAGUUUUUCAGUUUUAGAACUCUGUGUCUUGUAAUAAGUUCUGACUCUUUCAAGUUUAGUGAGCGGCCUGCUCCCUUUUCUGUUGGUAACAGUUAAGGGGAUGCAGUUUUUCUGUUUUAACCUUUUUGAACCUUGAUAGAAGGCUAUUUCUAUUCUGUACCUGGUUUCACGUUUUCAAUGAAAAUGGUGGAGCUGGGAGGGGUGUUUUUCGCCCUCCUGUCAGUCUAAAAAAAGAAUACUACCAACAAGCUAGUGGAAGGAAAGAAAGAAGAGAUGGGCCCCAGCCCAGCCUAGACUAGAACGGAAGAGGCCGGUCCGGAGACGGGACCCGAGUCCGACCCGAGGCGGCUCCUGGGCUUGGUUACGGUUCGCCUGCACAUAUACCACGCCAGCCGCCGCCACCUCUUUCCCACCUUCGUUUCAGAUCCCGCGAGAGAGAGACAGCGAAAUCCCCAAUCCACCAAACCCUAACCCACCAGGAGAGAUCGGCGAGAGAGAUCCAGCGAUGGCCGGCGAGAAGGUGCAGUUUGCCAUCCCCAUGGCCGUCGGCGAGAAGGAGCAGGCCAAGGUGGAGGAGGCGGCGCUCAAGGCCAAGGCAGGGUGCGGCUCCAAGAGGAAGGCGGAGGAGGACCGCGAGGAGGCGCCGGCGGCUGUUGGCGUGAAGGUGCAAUGGAACGGCGAGGAUGAGUCGGAGGACGAGCUCUACAAGGCGUGCAUGGCGGAGGACUCGUUCGACUACGAAUCGGACGAUAGCCUGGAUGUGUGCGCCGCCAAGUGCAAGGCGUCAUUUGAGCGCUUCAUAGAGGCCCGCGACGCUCGCCGCCCUUGGUUGGUGGGCAAGAGCAAGGUGGCGAAUGCUGAUGCUGAUGAGUCUCUUUUGGUGUGAGAAGCUGAUUUCAUUGCUCUUGUGAUUCUACCAGCAUAGAGAUGAAGGAGGUUCAGUUCAUGCUAUCUACCAACCAUGUAUCUACCUAUAUUUCUACUAGUUGUUCAUGUGGUAAUCGUCUGUGUUAUUGAUCCACCUACCCCUGUCAUGUUAUUGUUAUCAAGUUAGCCGCGGAUGAACCAGUGGCCUGCGUGCAACUGAUAAUCUAGUAACUCUGUGUUAUCUACUAGUAAUGUUAUUGUCAUCUCCUGAACCAAGUAUGCUAUUCGUCUGCGAUAUGUGAUUGUCUCUGAUGUAAUGUCUGGUUGUCUCUGCCUGCUCGUUGGAUUGUUUUAGCAACACAAUUCCAUUUUUCUCCUUUCAUUUCACUUGAUGCCACAACUAUUCUUCUUCAUGUGCUGAGAAAAGUUGGCCAUGGCAAAUGCCAAUUUGUCAGUUUGUUAUGACCUUGUUUGCUAUGUAAACUUCAUCGCAAGAGAAUUCAUCCAAAACUGCUUUAAGAUAUAAACACCACAUGCCUCUGUUUUUUGGCUUCUACUUUGGUUUGUUAAGUACUCCCUCUGUCCCAAUUUUUUUGUCUUAGAUUUGUUAGAUACGGAUGUAUCUAAUACUGAAACGCUAAGGCAAGAAUUUUGGGACGGAGGGAGUACAAAAUAUCAUGUAGUUCCACAUCUUCCGUGGGUUGCUAAUCACAAAGAUGAAAUUGGAAACUCCACCUGCAUCUUGUAGGUAAUUAUCUCAUAUUCUUAGGGUAGGCAUGAACUUGUCUCUCCAGCUCAUGAUAGGAGUAGGACUCGGAUGUGAAACACAGAUGAUGGAAAUGAGUUUUUUUUAAUCAUGUUUUAUUAUCUUUCACUUUAGUGCAUGAAAAAAAGUUGGGAUGCUAUUGCUAGGGAAGUCGUGGAAUAAGUUCGCCUCCUUCACUCUAUAUAUUGGUUUAUUCACUACAAACAUUGUGUAUUUUCCCUCGCCAUAACAGGCUCUACAAUUCCUUACCGUGGUUAAAUUGAGGUACAUUUAAUGUAAAAUUUGCAAGCUCAUUUAUAUCCAUGGUGUUCUAUCUUUUCUUUUCAUUGUCUAGAGCAACAAGCGAAUGUUUAGGUUUUGAUGCCUCCACUUUUUCUGUUACUCCAAUGGAAUAUUCAAUAACCAUAGUUAUAUUCCUCAUGUUUAUUUGGUUUCAGAUCUUUCAAACAUGUUAUUCUUUAUCUGCCGGGGCUUGCAUUCUUCACUACCUAUGCUAUGCAAUGUUGACACUUUCCGGGAUGACAGCUUAUCAAGCACAUGGUGUAGAGACUGAUGGCUUGUGAUCAGAUUUCUGCACUAUUAAUGGUGUUAUUUAUGCAAUACAGGUCAAGCAAGUUCUUUACAAGUUUAUUCAGCUUAGUUAGUUUGUUUAGAUUUUUUUGUUCAAAAAGUUUGUGUACUUCUAUUAUAAUUGGUUGUGACAGAUAAUAUAACACGUAGGGCUUAAUAAUAUCUUCCCUUUUGUUGGAAAGGUAUUCAAGGCGGGUCGCAACUGCAUUUUUUAAUUCGGGGUCACAAUUGCAUGUUUUCAAGAGGGGGCGCAACUGCAUGUUUUUAAGGUAGGGUCGCAACUGCAUAUUUUCAAGAGGGGAAAAACUGCAUGUUUUCCAAGGCGGGGCCUGAACUACAUGUUUUCAAAAAGGGACUGGAACUGCAUGUUUUCAAGGUGGGUCGCAAUUGCAUGUUGUUAAGGCGGGGCCGCAACUGUAUGUUACUAAGGCGGCUCACAACUGCAUAUUUUUAAGGCAGGGUUGCAAUUGCAUGUAUUUAAGGAGGGGUCGCAACUGCAUGUUUUAAACAAGGCGGGGCCUGAACUACAUGUUUUCAAAGAGGGACUAGAACUGCAUGUUUUCAAGGUGGGUCGCAAUUGCAUGUUGUUAAGGUUGGUCAUAGUGGGAGUAACAUAGCAAGUAACAUAACACAUCCCAAAAAAAGUUUGCUUACAUGGCAUGUAUUUAAUGAGGAGAGAGAUGGUUGGAGUAACAUAAUAUGUUACUGUAACAUAACACAUCCCAAGGCAAAAUGAGUCUACAUCUUAAUAAAUGAUGGCUUGUAUGUUACUACAUGCAUGUUACUCCCCACUAUGAAGGUGAUAACAUAGACUAGUAACAUAUGCAUGUUACUAGUCUAAGUUACUUCCCACUAUGACCAGCCUAAGGCGGGGCCGCAACUGCAUGUUUUUAAGGCAGGGUUGCAAUUGCAUGUAUUUAAGGAGGGGUCGCAACUGCAUAUUUUCAAGAGGGGGCGUAACUGCAUGUUUUCAAGGUGGUCGCACUUGCAUGUUUUUAAGGCAUGGUCAUAAUUGCAUGUUUCCAAGAGCGGCUGCAACUGCAUGUUUUGAAGGCACGGUCGCAACUGCAUGUUUUUAGGGCACGGUCGCAACUGUAUGUUUUCAAGAGGGUCCAAAACUGCACGUUUUCAAGAGGGUCCAAAACUUGGGGCGCAAGUGCAUGUUUUAAGGAGGGGCCGAAACUGCAUGUUUUCAAGGUGGGUCGCAACUGAAUGUUUUUAAGAGGGGCCGCAACUCCAUGUUUUCAAGGCGGGUGGCAAAUGUAUGUUUCUAAGAGGGGUCGCAAUUGCAUGUUUUUAAGAGGGGCUGCAACUACAUGUUUUCAAGAGGAGUUGCAACUGCAUGUUUUCAAGGCAAGUUGAAACUACAUGUUUUUGGGCGGGUCGCAACUGUAUGUCUUCAGGAGGGGGUCGCAACUACAUGUUUUUAAGUUGGAGUUGCAACUGCAUGUGUUUCAAGGUGGGUCGCAACUGCAUGUUUUCAAGAGGGCUGCAACUGCAUGUUUUCAAGGUAGGUUGAAACUGCAUGUUUUUAGGCGGGUCACAACUGCAUGCCUACAAGAGGAGGUCUCAAAUAAAUGUUUUUAAGUCGGAGUCGCAACUGCAUGUUUUCAAGAGGGGGCACAACCGCAUGUUUUCAAGGUGGGUCACAACUGCAUGGUUUUCAAGAGGGGUUGAAAUGUUAAGUUUUAAAUGGGGUCACAACUGCAUGUUUUCAAGGCAUGUCUCAACUGCAUGUGUUUCAAGGGUGUCGCGACUGCAUGCUUUCAUGGGAGGGUUGCGACUACAUGCUUCUCUACGGGUCGCCACUGGAUGCUUUCAUAUGAGGGUUGCGACUACAUGUUUCUCUAGGGGAUUGCCACUGCAUGAGGAUCGCAGCUGCAAGUUUUAAAAUCGGUCGUGACUGGAUGUUUUUGAAGGAGGUCGCAAUAUUUUGAGGGGGUGGGGUCGCAACCUUAAGUUAUUUUUUUAGCCAAUUGCGACUGUGAUAAACAUUUCUUAAAUUCAUGAAUGUUUUUUCAAACUCACAAUAUUUUCCCAAUUUUUUUUAAUUUCAUGAGCAUUUUUAAAAUUAUCCUUUUAAAAAACUCCAGUUUUUUUAGUUCAUGAAUAUAUUUUUGAUGAAUAAAUUAAUGGACAUUUUUCCCAAAAAAUCGUGAUUAAAAAAGAACACAAUUUGAACAUUUCAUUUUGAAAUUUUGAAUUUCUUGUUGUCAAUUUCAAUAUGAAUUUGCAAGUGCGCUCUAUGUGCUCUCCACACACACACACACACACACACACGACCCUACUCCAGUAUUUCCCCACAGAAAAACACCAUAUUGUUUUUUGCAUCAGUGUUAGUGAACGAAAGAAAGCUGGACCUAGUUACAAAAAAAAAAGAACUGCAACGAGGCCCAAACUAGAGAACCCACGAGACAAGACAAUGGACAUUGACCAACCAAAAAUAAAAGGCCAGAUCGAAGGAAACGAGCGGGUUGCCGAGCGGCCAAAAAAAAUCCUGUUUAAAUGAGAAAAUAUGUCAGGUGACGUCAGGUGACUGAGACGUAACUAUGUCUCAGCCGGCUGAGUUCCAGGCGAUCCCUUUUUUUUAUUCUAAUAGUAACAGACUUUUCAUGCCUACUUAGGUUUAAUCGGUAUUCUUAGUCAUGAUUCAGUUAUAUGAUGUCUUGCUUAUCUGAACUGUCAUAUCUAUUUAGAAGUAUUAGUAACUGCCUACUUAAGAUUUUUUUUCUUCAUAUUUUUUUNNNNNNNNNNNNNNNNNNNNNNNNNNNNNNNNNNNNNNNNNNNNNNNNNNNNNNNNNNNNNNNNNNNNNNNNNNNNNNNNNNNNNNNNNNNNNNNNNNNNNNNNNNNNNNNNNNNNNNNNNNNNNNNNNNNNNNNNNNNNNNNNNNNNNNNNNNNNNNNNNNNNNNNNNNNNNNNNNNNNNNNNNNNNNNNNNNNNNNNNNNNNNNNNNNNNNNNNNNNNNNNNNNNNNNNNNNNNNNNNNNNNNNNNNNNNNNNNNNNNNNNNNNNNNNNNNNNNNNNNNNNNNNNNNNNNNNNNNNNNNNNNNNNNNNNNNNNNNNNNNNNNNNNNNNNNNNNNNNNNNNNNNNNNNNNNNNNNNNNNNNNNNNNNNNNNNNNNNNNNNNNNNNNNNNNNNNNNNNNNNNNNNNNNNNNNNNNNNNNNNNNNNNNNNNNNNNNNNNNNNNNNNNNNNNNNNNNNNNNNNNNNNNNNNNNNNNNNNNNNNNNNNNNNNNNNNNNNNNNNNNNNNNNNNNNNNNNNNNNNGCAACUGCAUGUUUUCAAGAGGGGGCACAACCGCAUGUUUUCAAGGUGGGUCACAACUGCAUGGUUUUCAAGAGGGGUUGAAAUGUUAAGUUUUAAAUGGGGUCACAACUGCAUGUUUUCAAGGCAUGUCUCAACUGCAUGUGUUUCAAGGGUGUCGCGACUGCAUGCUUUCAUGGGAGGGUUGCGACUACAUGCUUCUCUACGGGUCGCCACUGGAUGCUUUCAUAUGAGGGUUGCGACUACAUGUUUCUCUAGGGGAUUGCCACUGCAUGAGGAUCGCAGCUGCAAGUUUUAAAAUCGGUCGUGACUGGAUGUUUUUGAAGGAGGUCGCAAUAUUUUGAGGGGGUGGGGUCGCAACCUUAAGUUAUUUUUUAGCCAAUUGCGACUGUGAUAAACAUUUCUUAAAUUCAUGAAUGUUUUUUCAAACUCACAAUAUUUUCCCAAUUUUUUUUAAUUUCAUGAGCAUUUUUAAAAUUAUCCUUUUAAAAAACUCCAGUUUUUUUAGUUCAUGAAUAUAUUUUUGAUGAAUAAAUUAAUGGACAUUUUUCCCAAAAAAUCGUGAUUAAAAAAGAACACAAUUUGAACAUUUCAUUUUGAAAUUUUGAAUUUCUUGUUGUCAAUUUCAAUAUGAAUUUGCAAGUGCGCUCUAUGUGCUCUCCACACACACACACACACACACACGACCCUACUCCAGUAUUUCCCCACAGAAAAACACCAUAUUGUUUUUUGCAUCAGUGUUAGUGAACGAAAGAAAGCUGGACCUAGUUACAAAAAAAAAAGAACUGCAACGAGGCCCAAACUAGAGAACCCACGAGACAAGACAAUGGACAUUGACCAACCAAAAAUAAAAGGCCAGAUCGAAGGAAACGAGCGGGUUGCCGAGCGGCCAAAAAAAAUCCUGUUUAAAUGAGAAAAUAUGUCAGGUGACGUCAGGUGACUGAGACGUAACUAUGUCUCAGCCGGCUGAGUUCCAGGCGAUCCCUUUUUUUUAUUCUAAUAGUAACAGACUUUUCAUGCCUACUUAGGUUUAAUCGGUAUUCUUAGUCAUGAUUCAGUUAUAUGAUGUCUUGCUUAUCUGAACUGUCAUAUCUAUUUAGAAGUAUUAGUAACUGCCUACUUAAGAUUUUUUUUCUUCAUAUUUUUUUGCCACAUGAUGACAACAACAAAAACAACAACAAAGCCUUUAGUCCCAAAUAAGUUGGAGUAGGCUAGAGGUAAAACCCAUAAGAUCUUGCGACUAAUUCAUGGCUCUGGCACAUGGAUAGCAAGCUUCCACGCAUCCCUGUCCAUAGCUAGUUCUUUGGUGAUACUUCAAUCCUUCAGGUCUCUCUUAACGGACUCCUCCUAUGAAAAACACAUGCUCUACAAAGCCUUAUUUUGCCGAAGAUAUUGUAAAAUUGUCUUGCAUGUGCAUUGUCAGUGUCCUUUGUGAAAAGGGACCAACCUUAGUUGUGUUCUGGAUUUUCUGGUGCCUCUUUUGUCAAAGUUUGCAGAUGUCCAGGGAUAGGUAGUAACAAGCUAUUCAGCUGGACAUGAAUUGAGCAUAUAAAUGAUGAAAGGGUGGCAGCCAUUCUUAGGCCAUCCACGUCGAUUAUGAAUAGUGACCGAGCGGGCAGUGGGAAGCUACGAGAGAAAAAGGUUAGCGACCACAGCGAGAAAACGCGGGCAGAGAGGCAAUGCCCCCUCCUCCUCCAUCCGCCGCCACCUCCCCCAAAUUCAUCCGCCGCCAAUCCCCUCCCCUCCCGUGCACCCGCGAUGGCGACCGAGGAUCCCGAGCCCCAGCCCCAAAACCCUAGCCGCCGGGGGGCUGGUCUGGGCCAAGACCAAGGGCCGCCACCAGUGGUGGCCCACUCGCCUCCNNNNNNNNNNCUCCCCUCCCCUGAAUCCUCCCUCGUCUCCUCCCCUCGCCGUCGCUGUCAAGCCCUUCCUCAUCGCCCCUAACGCCGACGCCCUCGCAAGGCCAACACCGGCCUCGCCGCUGUCACCCACGCCAGGGCCACAGCCGUCGGGAUCCUCUGCGACGCCCUCACCUGCCCCUGCGCGCGCGACCCCCACUCUCCUCCUCCGAUCGAUGAAUCCGCAGAGUCGGCCGCCGCCGCCAACAAAGUCAUCAUCACCGGCGUUGCCAGCCUAAAUCCCCACGAGUUCCUUGCUGCCCUCGACAGCGCGUCCGUCGACGCCCCUGCCGUCGGCCUACUAGACCGCGCCCGGCUCGAGAGCUAGGUCCGGGCGCUCGCCCAGGGAUGGGGCCCGCCCCGGCCGCUACCAGCGCUGACAAGAUUGACCUCGACAUGUUGGCCGACAACGGUGCAGCCUCGGAAGAGGAGGAGAAGAAGAAAGAGAGGGUGAGAAGAGAUCGAUCGACCCCUUCAUCAUGUGAAGCUCGCUGCUCUGGGAGGUACGUUCUUACUUGCUCCGCUUGUGUUUGACGAAAUGUGUGUGAGCUGACAUGCUUUUGUUUCUUGUUUUCUUCCUUCCUCGGCUAUAAGCUUGCCGGCCUAUUUAAUCACCCAACAGUAUGGUUGGCGUGGUUGGCAGCCUUGUCUGAGGUGAUGUGGAUCUCCUGAUUUUGAGUUGCUGAACAGGACAUUUACUAUCGUGUCAUCGGCUUCCCCGCUGUUGCGCCGACGCUUGUUCUUGUUGUGCCAUGAUUUCCCAUUUCCAUCCCAGACCUCUGAGGUGACGGGGUCGUCCGGAUGGUUGCUUCUAUGAGCUAACCAGCUGUCUUCGCCCACGCAAAAGCGGGGUCAUGAGAGAGGUGAGGGCCGACAUUGUUCUCGGCUUGUAAUGGCCGAGUUGGCGAGCGAGCCAUUCGUCCUGAAUGAUGUGCUUGAAAGAGGCUUAUUGCCUCAUCAUCCGGACAAUCGACGAUCUUGUUUUCUUGGUCAAGAACCGAUUCCAAAAUUGUCGGGCUGACUCCCAGGGCUGCUGAACAACAUGGCUCAAGUCAUUGGCAUCCAGAGGCCGAACAUAGGUGCCUUGAAAGUUAGCUCGGAAGGUGUCCGCGAGUUCUUCUCAGCUCCCAAUGGAGUUUUCGGGGAGGCUGUUUAACCACUGCCUUGCCGGUCCUUUAAGCUUUAGUGGCGAAUAUUUAAUGGCGUGGAGGUUGUCUCUUCAGGCCAUAUGAAUGUGGAGUAGGAAAUCUUCGAUCCACAUGGCCGGGUUUGUUGUCCUAUCGUACUGCUCGAUGUUUACGGGUUAAACCCCUCGGGGAACUGAUGUUGUAUCACCUUGUCUGUAAAACACAUUGGGUGUGUGGCGCCCCUGACCUGGGCCACGUCGUGCCAAAGAUCAGUUGUCAUCCUAGCACGGUGCUGCUCCCAGGCUAUACCAUUUCUAUCGCGUCAGGCUUGGUAUCCAUCCUGUCCAGCGGGCGUGUGUCCUCUAGAUCCGUAAAUGGAUCCUGUUUGUGCCGCCUUGGCGGUUAAGUUGAGUCGUAGGUCAUAUGGAUCCUCUGGCUGUAUUUGUUCCUUGCCCUUCCAGCGAGGGAGCGCGGGUGGGUUUUCAGCUUCUCUAGACGGCCUGUCCCGUCUUCGAGGGGGCGGUCGGGCUGGUUUGUCUGAGUGCGUCUAGGGAGUGUGGGCUCAAGGGCCUCUUCUUCGAAUUGCGGGAGUAGACACUGUUGUGGGUAGCUUUUGUUUUGAUCCUGCCCCUGAUAGUCAAAGCCCUCUUCGGCUGCUAAGACCCUUGUCCACCUAUCGUUGAGGGUAUCCUGUUCUGCUUUUAACUACUGCUUCUUCUUAUUCAGGCUUCAGACAGUGGCUAUGAGCUACCGCUUGAACCGCUCCUAAUCCAGAGGGUCCUCGGGGAUGAUGAAAUCCCUGGGUUCGAGGCUAUCCUCCUCUUCGGAAGGAGGGAUGUAGUUGAUGUCAUAGGAAUUGUUGGGGUUCUCGGGGUCGCCCUGAUCCUCAUGGCCUUUAGGAGCGACGCCAUGCUGUUUGGGGGUGGUGUUGUCGCUGAGCUCCUCCAUGUUGUCUGGAGUAGCAUCAUCUCUGGUGCCGAUUGUGUGUGUGUGUUCAAGUUGUCUUCCCUGCCCCUUCCAUGUCCUUUGGAUCACCUGCGUUAGCGUCGGUGUUAGGAUGACUCCUCACCGGGGUCAUCGCCAUCCUCCUUGGGGGUGUCAACCAUGUAGACGUUGUAAGUGGAAGAGGUAGUCUACUUUCCCUUGUUGGGAGUGGUCGGGGAGGGAGCCGUAUGGGUCAUGACGUCGAUAUCCUUGUCCAUGCUAUCAGCCUCCUCGGAGGUGUAGUCUACCAUGUCGGUUAAGUCGUCAACAGUGGCUACUAAGUGGGUGGUGGGUGGGACGUAAAAUUCCCUGUGUCUGGCCUCAAGUCUGACCUAAUCAUAGACCGAGGAUGGGCCUGAUGUCUACUACACAACCUUCUUCUUGUAGACGUUGUUGGGCCUGCAAGUGCACAGGUUUGUAGGACAGUAGAAAAUUUCCUUCAAGUGGAUGACCUAAGGUUUAUCAAUCAGUAGGAGGCGUAGGAUGAAGAUGGUCUCUCUCAAACAACCCUGCAACCAAAUAACAAAAAGUCUCUUGUGUCCCCAACACACCCAAUACAAUGGAAAAUUGUAUAGGUGCACUAGUUCGGCGAAGAGAUGGUGAUACAAGUGCAAAAUAGAUAGUAGAUAUAGGUUUUUGUAAUCUGAAAAUAUAAAAACAGCAAGGUAACAAGUGGUAAAAGUGAGCGUAAACGGUAUUGCAAUGAUAGAAACAAGGCCUAGGGUUCAUACUUUCACUAGUGCAAGUUCUCUCAACAAUAAUAACAUAGAUAGAUAAUAUGACAAGCCCUCAACAUGCAACAAAGAGUCACUCCAAAGCCACUAAUAGCGGAGAACAAACAUAGAGAUUAUGGUAGGGUACAAAACCACCUCAAAGUUAUUCUUUCGGAUCAAUCUAUAAAAGAGUUCGUACUAGAAUAACACCUUAAGAUACAAAUCAACCAAAACCCUAAUGUCACCUAGAUACUCCAUUGUCACCUCAAGUAUCCGUUGGCAUGAUUAUACGAUAUGCAUCACACAAUCUCAGAUUCAUCCAACCAACAUAAAAGUACUUCAAAGAAUGCCCCAAAGUUUCUACCGGAGAGUCAAGAACGUGUGCCAACCCCUAUGCAUAGGUUCCCAAUGUCACGAAACCCGCAAGUUGAUCACCAAAACAUACAUCAAGUGGCACAUGAUAUCCCAUUGUCACCACAGAUAAUCACGGCAAGACAUACAUCAAGUGUUCUCUUAAAAGACUCAAUCCGAUAAGAUAACUUCAAAGGGGAAACUCAAUUCAUCACAAGAGAGUAGUGGGGGAGAAACAUCAUAAGAUCCAACUACAAUAGCAAAGCUCGGGAUACAUCAAGAUCGUGCCAUAGAGGGAACACGAGAGAGAGAUCAAACACAUAGCUACUGGUACAUACCCUCAGCCCCGAGGAUGAACUACUCCCUCCUCGUCAUGGAUAGCACCGGGAUGAUGAAGAUGGCCACCGGUGAUGGGACCCCCUCCGGCAGGGUGCCGGAAUGGGCUCCCGAGAGGUUUUUGGUGGCUACAGAGGCUUGCGGCGGCGGAACUCCCGAUCUAUCUUCUGUUCUGGAAGUUUUAGGGUACGUAGGUAUAUAUGGGUGCAGGGGGUUCAUCGGUGGACCUCCGGGGUGCUCACGAGGUUGGGGGGGCGCGCCCAGGGGGGCGCUCCCCCACCCUCAUGGGCAGCCCGGGACUCCCCUGACGUGCCCUCCAAGCCCAUCAGGUUGGUUUCCUUCCAAAAUUAACUUCUCCAGUUGAUUUCGUUCCGUUUUGACUCCGUCUGAUAUUCCUUUUCCUCGAAACACUGAAAUAGGCAUAAAACAACAAAUCUGGGCUGGGCCUCCGGUUAAUAGGUUAGUCCCAAAAAUAAUAUAAAAGUGGAUAAUAAAGCCCAAUAUUGCCUAAAACAGUAGAUAAAGUAGCAUGGAGCAAUCAAAAAUUAUAGAUACGUUGGAGACGUAUCAAGCAUCCCCAAGCUUAAUUCCUGCUCAUCCUCGAGUAGGCAAAUGAUAAAAAGGAAUUUUUGAUGUGGAGUGAUACUUUGGCAUAAUUUCAAUGUAAAUCUUCUUAAUUGUGAUAUGAAUAUUCAGAUCCGAAAGAUUCAAGACAAAAGUUCAUAUUGACACAAAAAUAAUAAUACUUCAAGCAUACUAAUAAAGCAAUCAUGUCUUCUCAAAAUCACAUGGCAAAAUAAAGUUCAUCCCNNNNNNNNNNNNNNNNNNNNNNNNNNNNNNNNNNNNNNNNNNNNNNNNNNNNNNNNNNNNNNNNNNNNNNNNNNNNNNNNNNNNNNNNNNNNNNNNNNNNNNNNNNNNNNNNNNNNNNNNNNNNNNNNNNNNNNNNNNNNNNNNNNNNNNNNNNNNNNNNNNNNNNNNNNNNNNNNNNNNNNNNNNNNNNNNNNNNNNNNNNNNNNNNNNNNNNNNNNNNNNNNNNNNNNNNNNNNNNNNNNNNNNNNNNNNNNNNNNNNNNNNNNNNNNNNNNNNNNNNNNNNNNNNNNNNNNNNNNNNNNNNNNNNNNNNNNNNNNNNNNNNNNNNNNNNNNNNNNNNNNNNNNNNNNNNNNNNNNNNNNNNNNNNNNNNNNNNNNNNNNNNNNNNNNNNNNNNNNNNNNNNNNNNNNNNNNNNNNNNNNNNNNNNNNNNNNNNNNNNNNNNNNNNNNNNNNNNNNNNNNNNNNNNNNNNNNNNNNNNNNNNNNNNNNNNNNNNNNNNNNNNNNNNNNNNNNNNNNNNNNNNNNNNNNNNNNNNNNNNNNNNNNNNNNNNNNNNNNNNNNNNNNNNNNNNNNNNNNNNNNNNNNNNNNNNNNNNNNNNNNNNNNNNNNNNNNNNNNNNNNNNNNNNNNNNNNNNNNNNNNNNNNNNNNNNNNNNNNNNNNNNNNNNNNNNNNNNNNNNNNNNNNNNNNNNNNNNNNNNNNNNNNNNNNNNNNNNNNNNNNNNNNNNNNNNNNNNNNNNNNNNNNNNNNNNNNNNNNNNNNNNNNNNNNNNNNNNNNNNNNNNNNNNNNNNNNNNNNNNNNNNNNNNNNNNNNNNNNNNNNNNNNNNNNNNNNNNNNNNNNNNNNNNNNNNNNNNNNNNNNNNNNNNNNNNNNNNNNNNNNNNNNNNNNNNNNNNNNNNNNNNNNNNNNNNNNNNNNNNNNNNNNNNNNNNNNNNNNNNNNNNNNNNNNNNNNNNNNNNNNNNNNNNNNNNNNNNNNNNNNNNNNNNNNNNNNNNNNNNNNNNNNNNNNNNNNNNNNNNNNNNNNNNNNNNNNNNNNNNNNNNNNNNNNNNNNNNNNNNNNNNNNNNNNNNNNNNNNNNNNNNNNNNNNNNNNNNNNNNNNNNNNNNNNNNNNNNNNNNNNNNNNNNNNNNNNNNNNNNNNNNNNNNNNNNNNNNNNNNNNNNNNNNNNNNNNNNNNNNNNNNNNNNNNNNNNNNNNNNNNNNNNNNNNNNNNNNNNNNNNNNNNNNNNNNNNNNNNNNNNNNNNNNNNNNNNNNNNNNNNNNNNNNNNNNNNNNNNNNNNNNNNNNNNNNNNNNNNNNNNNNNNNNNNNNNNNNNNNNNNNNNNNNNNNNNNNNNNNNNNNNNNNNNNNNNNNNNNNNNNNNNNNNNNNNNNNNNNNNNNNNNNNNNNNNNNNNNNNNNNNNNNNNNNNNNNNNNNNNNNNNNNNNNNNNNNNNNNNNNNNNNNNNNNNNNNNNNNNNNNNNNNNNNNNNNNNNNNNNNNNNNNNNNNNNNNNNNNNNNNNNNNNNNNNNNNNNNNNNNNNNNNNNNNNNNNNNNNNNNNNNNNNNNNNNNNNNNNNNNNNNNNNNNNNNNNNNNNNNNNNNNNNNNNNNNNNNNNNNNNNNNNNNNNNNNNNNNNNNNNNNNNNNNNNNNNNNNNNNNNNNNNNNNNNNNNNNNNNNNNNNNNNNNNNNNNNNNNNNNNNNNNNNNNNNNNNNNNNNNNNNNNNNNNNNNNNNNNNNNNNNNNNNNNNNNNNNNNNNNNNNNNNNNNNNNNNNNNNNNNNNNNNNNNNNNNNNNNNNNNNNNNNNNNNNNNNNNNNNNNNNNNNNNNNNNNNNNNNNNNNNNNNNNNNNNNNNNNNNNNNNNNNNNNNNNNNNNNNNNNNNNNNNNNNNNNNNNNNNNNNNNNNNNNNNNNNNNNNNNNNNNNNNNNNNNNNNNNNNNNNNNNNNNNNNNNNNNNNNNNNNNNNNNNNNNNNNNNNNNNNNNNNNNNNNNNNNNNNNNNNNNNNNNNNNNNNNNNNNNNNNNNNNNNNNNNNNNNNNNNNNNNNNNNNNNNNNNNNNNNNNNNNNNNNNNNNNNNNNNNNNNNNNNNNNNNNNNNNNNNNNNNNNNNNNNNNNNNNNNNNNNNNNNNNNNNNNNNNNNNNNNNNNNNNNNNNNNNNNNNNNNNNNNNNNNNNNNNNNNNNNNNNNNNNNNNNNNNNNNNNNNNNNNNNNNNNNNNNNNNNNNNNNNNNNNNNNNNNNNNNNNNNNNNNNNNNNNNNNNNNNNNNNNNNNNNNNNNNNNNNNNNNNNNNNNNNNNNNNNNNNNNNNNNNNNNNNNNNNNNNNNNNNNNNNNNNNNNNNNNNNNNNNNNNNNNNNNNNNNNNNNNNNNNNNNNNNNNNNNNNNNNNNNNNNNNNNNNNNNNNNNNNNNNNNNNNNNNNNNNNNNNNNNNNNNNNNNNNNNNNNNNNNNNNNNNNNNNNNNNNNNNNNNNNNNNNNNNNNNNNNNNNNNNNNNNNNNNNNNNNNNNNNNNNNNNNNNNNNNNNNNNNNNNNNNNNNNNNNNNNNNNNNNNNNNNNNNNNNNNNNNNNNNNNNNNNNNNNNNNNNNNNNNNNNNNNNNNNNNNNNNNNNNNNNNNNNNNNNNNNUCUAUAUGAAUGCCUCCGGCAGUGUACCGGGAUGGUGCAAUGAAUCAAGAGUGACAUGUAUGAAAAAUAAUGCAUGGUGGCUUUGCCACAAAUACGAUGUCAACUACAUGAUCAUGCAAUGGCAAUAUGACAAAAGUAAUGUAUGUCAUGAUGAUUGUGGUGGAAGUUGCAUGGCAGUAUAUCUCAGAAUGGCUAUGGAAAUGCCAUGGUAGGUAGGUAUGGUGGCUGUUUUGAGAAAGAUAUAAGGAGGUUUAUGUGUGAUAGAGCGUAUCGUAUCACGGGGUUUGGAUGCACCGGCGAAGUUUGCACCAACUCUCAAGGUGAGAAAGGGCAAUGCACGGUACCGAAGAGGCUAGCAAAGGUGGAAAGGUAAAAGUGCGUAUAAUCCAUGGACUCAACAUUAGUCAAAAGAACUCAUAUACUUAUUGCAAAAAUUUAAAAGUCAUCAAAAACCAAGUACACCGCGCAUGCUCCUAGGGGGAUAGAUUGGUAGGAAAAGACCAUCGCUCGUCCCCGACCGCCACUCAUAAGGAUGCACAAGCCAGGUACACUUCAUGUUUCAAAUUUGUUACACAACUUUAACCAUACGUGCAUGCUACGGGACUUGCUGACUUCAACAAAAGCAUUUCUCAAAUUCACAAUUACUCAACUAGCACAACUUUGAUAUUAUCACCUCCAUAUCUCAAAACAAUUAUCAAGCAUCAAACUUAUCUUAGUAUUCAAUUCACUCAAAAGAAAGUUUCACAUAUCUUGAAUACCAAGUAUAUUAACAUUAAGCAAAUUACCAUGCUAUUUAAGACUCUCAAAAUAAUAUAAGUGAAGUAUGAGAGUUCAUCUAUUUCUUCAAAAUAAAACUACCACCAUGCUCUAAAAGAUAUAAGUGAAGCACUAGAGCAAAUGACAAACUACUCCGAAAGAUAUAAGUGAAGAUCAAUGAGCAACUAUGCGAAGACUCUCUCUCAUUAAAGAAUUUCAGAUCUUGAUACUUUAUUCAAACAGCAAGCAAAGCUAAAGAAAAUGACAUGACGCUCCAAGCAAAACACAUAUCAUGUGGUGAAUAAAAAUAUAGCUCCAAGUAAAGUUACCGAUGAACGAAGACGAAAGAGGGGAUGCCUUCCGGGGAAUCCCCAAGCUUAGGCUCUUGGUUGUCCUUGAAUAUUAUCUUGGGGUUCCUUGGGCAUCCCCAAGCUUAGGCUCUUGCCACUACUUAUUCCAUAGUCCAUCGAGUCUUUACCCAAAACUUGAAAACUCCACAACACAAAACUCAACAGAAAACUCGUAAGCUAUGUUAGUAUAAGAAAAUAAAACAACCACUUAGGUACUGUAAUGAACUCAUUCUAAAUUCAUAUUGGUGUAAUAUCUACUGUACUCCAACUUAUCUAGGGUUCAUACAAUACAAUACUACUCAUAGAUUCAUCAAAAUAAGCAAACAACACAUAGAAAACAGAAUCUGUCAAAAACAUAACAGUCUGUAGUAAUCUGUAUCAAACGUAUACUUAUGGAACUCCAAAAAUUAUAAUAAAUUAGGAAGUCCUAAGAAAUUCGUGUACCAAUCCAGAGCAAAAAGAAUCAGAUCAGAAGCACGUUCGUGUGAAUUAACAAAACUACUUUACUGGGUGCAAAAGUUUCUGAUUUUCAGCAGGAUCAACACAACUAUCACCGUAAGCUAUCCUAAAGGUCUUACUUGGCACUUUAUUGAAACAAAAGCUAUAAAACAUGAUUACUACAGUAGCAUAAUCAUGUGGACACACAAAAACAGGAAGGAUAAAUAUUGGGUUGUCUCCCAACAAGCGCUUUUCUUUAAUGCCUUUCUAGCUAGGCAUGAUGAUGACAAUGAUGCUCACAUAAAAGAUAAGAAUUGAAACAUAACGGGAGCAUCAUGAAGCAUAUGACUAGCACAUUUAAGUCUAACCCACUUCCUAUGCAUAGGGAUUUUGUGAGCAAACAACUUAUGGGAACAAUAAUCAACUUGCAUAGGAAGGUAAAACAAGCAUAACUUCAAGAUUUUAAGCACAUAGAGAGGAAACCUGAUAUUAUUGCAACUCCUACAAGCAUAUGUUCCUCCCUCAUAAUAAUGUUCAGUAGCAUCAUGAAUGAAUUCAACAAUAUAACCAGCACCUAAAGCAUUCUUUUCAUGAUCUACAAACAUAGAAAAUUUACUACUCUCCACAUAAGCAAAAUUCUUCUCAUUCGGAAUAGUGGGAGUAUCAUAAGAGACUUGAACACUAAAAAUUGUUUCUACAUUAAAAGAGUAAUGUUCAGAAAAAGGGUAAUCAUAAUCAUGACAAGAUUUGUAAAUAUAAUCAUCACUACUUUUUAUAGCAUAAGUUUCAUCACAAUAAUCAUCAUAAGUAGCAACUUCGUUCUCAUCAUAAUCGAUUGAAACCUCUCCCAAGAUAGUGGAAUCACUAAAUAAAGUUGACACUCUUCCAAAUCCACUUUCAUAUUCAUCACAAUAAAAUUCAACAUCCUCCAAAAUAGUGGGAUCACUACUUCCUAAAGUUGACUCUCUUCCGAACCCACUUUCAUCGAUAUAAUCAUCAUAGGUAGGAGGCAUGCUAUCAUCAUAACAACUUUGCAUAUCAAAACUUGGGAUGCUAAAAAUAUCAUCUUCAUUAAACAUAGCACCCCCAAGCUUGGGACAAACAUUAAUUCCAGCAAAUAUAUUCUCAAAUAUUUCAUCCCAAUCAAACAUAGCUUCCCCAAGCUUGGGCCCUUUCAUAUCAUAAGCAUAAUCACUCUCAUCAUUAAAAAUAUUGAUAGCACCAAUAGUAUAGCAAUUAUCAUCAUCACAAUGAGUAGUAGGAGCAACAUCAUUUGGGAGGGAUACCUUUUUACCUUUGUUGCUCCUUGUUUUCUUUUUCUUCUUCACAUUAUGUGUAGGUUCAACCUUCCUCUUUGAGCUCCUUAUUGAUGAGAUUGGUUGAAUAGAAAGCUCCUCCUCGUUACCUGAUUCAUCAUAAGAAAUAAUAGGAGGAGAUUGGGAAGUCUCUUCCCUUUCAUUAGUAUUCUCAUCAUCCUCUAUUUGUUUUCUUUUCUUUAUGUAAUUGGCAAUAUAAGGAUUUUCAAUGCAAUUCUCCGCACAAUACAUAUAAAUUUUCUCUAGAUCAAAAUGAAGAACUUUAUCAAGAUUAAAUUUUGGAAUACCCUCAGUUAUACGUUUCAUUUCUUCAUAACCCAAAAGAAGGCUAAGAUCUUUAUGAUGCUCAAGGGUAAUCAAAUUAUCACAAUAUUUGGAAAUGACUUGAUCAUGAAACAAAUAGCAUUGGAGCUUUAAAUGACCAUGUUCAUUGCAAAGUUCACAAGGGGCGCGAAAAAUAUUGAAUCUUUCAGCACAUUCAUCUAGCUCUUCUUGCAACAAUUUGGUUUCUAAGUACUUAUGCCUCUUGCAAUAAAUAUCUUCUCUAUUUGGUGUGUUCAUGCAAACAUGCACUCCACAAAAGUUGACAUGCUCAUAAGAGAUAUUUUCAUCAUAACUAGUGCAAUCAUCAUUAGCAUCAUGGAUAUUCAAAGAAUUCGUACUAAGAACAUUGCAAUCAUGCUCAUCAUUCAAAGAUUUAGUGCCAAACAAUUUAUAGAUUUCUUCUUCUAGCACUUGAGCACAAUUAUCCUUUCCAUCAUACUCACCAAAGAUAUUAAAAAGGUGAAGCGUAUGAGACAAACUUAACUCCAUUUUUUUGUAGUUUUCUUUUAUAAACUAAACUAGUGAUAAAACAAGAAACAAAAAGAUUCGAUUGCAAGAUCUAAAGAUAUACCUUCAAGCACUCACCUCCCCGGCAACGACGCCAGAAAAGAGCUUAGUUGACGGGGUGUGAGUGAGUGCCCUUUACCUAGCCUCCCCGACAAUGGCGCCAGAAAAGAGCUUGAUGUCUACUACACAACCUUCUUCUUGUAGACGUUGUUGGGCCUGCAAGUGCACAGGUUUGUAGGAUAGUAGCAAAUUUCCCUCAAGUGGAUGACCUAAGGUUUAUCAAUCCGUGGGAGGUGUAGGAUGAAGAUGGUCUCUCUCAAACAACCCUGCAACCAAAUAACAAAAAGUCUCUUGUGUCCCCAACACACCCAAUACAAUGGAAAAUUGUAUAGGUGCACUAGUUCGGCGAAGAGAUGGUGAUACAAGUGCAAAAUAGAUAGUAGAUAUAGGUUUUUGUAAUCUGAAAAUAUAAAAACAGGAAGGUAACAAGUGGUAAAAGUGAGCGUAAACGGUAUUGCAAUGAUAGGAAACAAGGCCUAGGGUUCAUACUUUCACUAGUGCAAGUUCUCUCAACAAUAAUAACAUAGAUAGAUAAUAUGACAAGCCCUCAACAUGCAACAAAGAGUCACUCCAAAGCCACUAAUAGCGGAGAACAAAUGUAGAGAUUAUGGUAGGGUACGAAACCACCUCAAAGUUAUUCUUUCGGAUCAAUCUAUAAAAGAGUUCGUACUAGAAUAACACCUUAAGAUACAAAUCAACCAAAACCCUAAUGUCACCUAGAUACUCUAUUGUCACCUCAAGUAUCCGUGGGCAUGAUUAUACGAUAUGCAUCACACAAUCUCAGAUUCAUCAACCAACAUAAAAGUACUUCAAAGAAUGCCCCAAAGUUUCUACCGGAGAGUCAAGAAUGUGUGCCAACCCCUAUGCAUAGGUUCCCAAUGUCACGAAACCCGCAAGUUGAUCACCAAAACAUACAUCAAGUGGCACAUGAUAUCCCAUUGUCACCACAGAUAAUCACGGCAAGACAUACAUCAAGUGUUCUCAUAAAAGACUCAAUCCGAUAAGAUAACUUCAAAGGGGAAACUCAAUUCAUCACAAGAGGGUAGAGGGGGAGAAACAUCAUACGAUCCAACUACAAUAGCAAUGCUCGAGAUACAUCAAGAUCGUGCCAUAGAGGGAACACGAGAGAGAACACGAGAGAGAGAGAGAUCAAACACAUAGCUACUGGUACAUACCCUCAGCCCCGAGGGUGAACUACUCCCUCCUCGUCAUGGAUAGCGCCGGGAUGAUGAAGAUGGCCACCGGUGAUGGGAUCCCCCUCCGGCAGGGUGCCGGAACGGGCUCCUGAGAGGUUUUUGGUGGCUACAGAGGCUUGCGGCGGCGGAACUCCCGAUCUAUCUUCUAUUCUAGAAGUUUUAGGGUACGUAGGUAUAUAUGGGUGUAGGGGGUAUGUCGGUGGAACUCCGGGGUGCUCACGAGGUAGGGGGCACGCCCAGGGGGGCGCGCCCCACACCCUCAUGGGCAGCCCGGGACUCCCCUGACGUGCACUCCAAGCCCAUCAGGUUGGUUUCCUUCCAAAAUUAACUUCUCCAGUUGAUUUUGUUCUGUUUUGACUUCGUCUGAUAUUCCUUUUCCUCGAAACACUAAAAUAGGCAUAAAACAGCAAAUCUGGGCUGGGCCUCUGGUUAAUAGGUUAGUCCCAAAAAUAAUAUAAAAGUGGAUAAUAAAGCCCAAUAUUGCCUAAAACAGUAGAUAAAGUAGCAUGGAGCAAUCAAAAAUUAUAGAUACGUUGGAGACGUAUCAGGGCCAUCCAUGAUGCUUAUCAUCUGGAUCUGAUCUAACGUCUCAUACAACAGCGAGAAGUCAGUCGGAUUCAUCUUCUGACGUCUUUUGGAGUUAACCCCUGCUAUGCCAGCAUAGGGGGUGCAUUCGGCCAGGGCUGACUCCUGGUCCUCGGAUGCUGAAACUGGAUCCGAGCUCAAAGCUAGAUCCGGGAUUGAGGCCGACCCAGAGAUGGGGUCGGGAAGAAGGUCCAAAGUUGAGGCUUCGGAAUUUCUAGGCCCUUUAGGUAAAGUUGAGAACCCAGUAAAGAUUAGAUCGCCCGAGAGUCGGCGACGUACUCCAGGUUGCCAAACCCGAUUUCCUGCUCAGGGGCAAAGCUGUCGACCUGGUCAAGAUGACCAGUCGGGUCGGCGUGUAGAACGAUGCUGCCAAACGUGAAGAGCCCUGGUGCGGAUGCCAUCGCCGAUGACUAAGUGGGCCAUUGAUCCUUUGGCGAUCCUACAAUGGAACCCUCAAUGAAAGCAUUAAUGUUGGUGUCAAAACCGGCAAAUCUCGGUAGGGGUCCCGAGCUGUAGAUCUUGGAUCGAUGGGUAACAAGGAGCGUAGAGACGACGUUUACCCAGGUUUGGGCCCUCUCAAAGAAGUAAAACCAUACGUCCUGCUUAAUUGUAUUGAUGUGUUUGUAUGACAAUUACAUAGUUGAUCUAGCAUGAGAUCAGAUGAACUAAACCCUAGGUGGGUAUGAUGAUGAUGGUUCUCUCCUCUACUGGCUAAACCCUCUAGCUUAUAUAGACACCAGGGGUACCUAGGUUUACAUAUGUUGGUCACCAUCAAGGGAUAAACAUGCCGAUCACGCUAAACCAGGAUUGGAGAAUACGCCAAGUCUCCAGUGGUUUCCUUCUAGAGCAUGGAGUCGCCUAUAGUCCGACCUUCCAAUGAUGGAUCAAGAGCGGCCCACCUGUCCGACCCAUGAGAGAUAGGCUGACAGCCCAAGGACCCCUUAGUCCGGGACACCCUCAAUCAUAGUGAUUGAUCUACACCAACCGUACAUGGAUGACAAAUGUGCAUGGAGAUGGGGAUGGUGUGAUGAAGAUGCUCCCAGUGAUGCCUUGAUGUUGGUGGUGGUGGUGGUGAUGAUGAUGGCGGCGAAUUCCCUCGGCCCAAGGUGCCGAAUAAGAACAAUAAGCUCUUCUGGAGAGAAACCAGGGCUCCAUGGUGGCGUCUGCCUCAAAAAAUAAUGUAAAAACAUGGCAUGUCUUUGAAGGAUGAAAGGGUGCUUCCCUCAAAAAUAGAACAUGAUGCGGAUUUGGUGGCCCCCCAUGUCCUUGCGACAUGAUCCCUUCUUAGGCCAUGCGGGUCCCCUGGGCCUCCCCUACGCGAGUCCCUCAGACUCCCGAUUCAUUUUCCUUCAUCUAUCAAUGAUGUAUUUUCACUGGAUUUCUCCUCGAGCCUAGGAGCGUCAUUUUCUACCUGUUUUCUCCAUUUUCGGCAAUCGGUGUUUUGGUAUCCUCCAGAUGGAAAUAUGAAAAUGCAAUGCAAAUAAUGAUAAAUUGUAGCAAAGAUGAUUGAUGUGCAUAAUAAAUUAGCAAUUCAUCUUAUGAAAAUUAUGAUGCAAAAAGAACAUAUCUUGAGCAUUCGGAUCCUUCUCCCUUGAUAGAAUAUCAUAUCUUUGCAAACUAUGAACCGCCUCAAGACACCUCAUGGCAAUUUUGAUAUAGAGAUGACCUGCUAAUGCCAAUGCCUUGCAACGUGCCAGGGCUAUGAGUGUCACCGGAUCCAAGUUACCCGGGAGCUCCCAUCUCAAAUAUGACACCAUGCACAUUGGUCUUCAUGACACCACCCCUGCUUUGAAACUACCCUCGCAUCCCGACUCUACCUGCUUAAUCUCCUUUUAGCUCGUCCAAAAAUUGGUUACAGAGUAAUGGAUCGGUAUAGAACUCUGAAGAGCCCCCUCGUAGAUGUCCUUGCGCCAUCCAGAUCACCCCAUGUAGCGUUUAUGAACUUCUCUAAUCUUAGUGUGCUCCAUCAUCACAUGAAUUCGUUGUCUCGUAUCAGGUUAUGAGCUCAAGCUCAUAUCUCAAGUGAGCUCCACAUCAGCAAUAGCCUAGAACGUCCUGCAUGCAUCCAUGGUGUGUAGCACUGUAUCGAUGAAUCACCAUCAUGGAUCAACCACACCAUCCUAAGUGACUCAUAAGGCCUAGCAUGUGGAGAAGGUGGCACUAGAACGAAGUCGAUAUUUGCACUCAGCGGUGAGGACCAAGUGUUCUUUUACACUUUCACAACCUAAGUUUGAAAGUUGUAUUGUUUCUUUUCUUUUUUAUUGGCCUCGACAUGUUGGCCGACAACGGUGCAGCCUCGGAAGAGGAGGAGAAGAAGACAGAGAGGGUGAGAAGAGAUCGAUCGACCCCUUCAUCAUGUGAAGCUCGCUGCUCUAGGAGUUACGUUCUUACUUGCUCCACUUGUGUUUGACGAAAUGUGUGUGAGCUGACAUGAUUUUGUUUCUUGUUUUCUUCCUUCCUGGGCUGUAAGCUUGCCAGCCUAUUUGAUAACCCAACAGUAUGGUUGGUGUGGUUGGUGAUACGUCUCUGCUACGUCUUGAGCUUGCGUUGGUUUUCCUUGAAGAGGAUAGGGUGAUGCAACAAGUGUAGAGUAAGUAUUUCCCUCAGUUUUGAGAACCAAGGUAUCAAUCCAGUAGGAGGCUCCUCAAAAGUCCCACGCACCUACACAAACAAACUGAGAACUCGCAACCAACGCAAUAAAGGGGUUGUCAAUCCCUUCACGACCACUUGCAAAAGUGAGAUCUAAUAAAGAUAGUAUAAUAAGAUAAAUAUAUUUUUGGUAUUUUAUAAUAUAGAUGCAAAAAGUAAAGAUGCAAAUAAAAGUAGAAAGUAGAUUGAAAGCAAAUAUGAUAAGAGAUAGACCCGGGGCCAUAGGUUUCACUAGAGGCUUCUCUCAAGAUAGCAUAAGUAUUACGGUGGGUGAACAAAUUACUGUCGAGCAAUUGAUAGAAAAGCACAUAGUUAUGAGAUUAUCUAGGCAUUAUCAUGUAUAUAGGCAUCACGUCCAUAACAAGUAGACCGACUCCUGCCUGCAUCUACUACUAUUACUCCACACAUCGACCGACUCCUGCCUGCAUCUAGAGUAUUAAGUUCAUAAGAACAGAGUAACACAUUAAGCAAGAUGACAUGAUGUAGAGGGAUAAACUCAUGCAAUAUGAUGUAAACCCCAUCUUGUUAUCCUCGAUGGCAACAAUACAAUACGUGCCUUGCAACCCUUUCUGUCACUGGGUAAGGACACCGCAAGAUUGAACCCAAAGCUAAGCACUUCUCCCAUGGCAAGAAAGACCAAUCUAGUAGGCCAAACCAAACUGAUAAUUCGAAGAGGCUUGCAAAGAUAACUCAAUCAUACAUAAAAGAAUUAAGAGAAGAUUCAAAUAUUGUUCAUAGAUAAACUUGAUCAUAAACCCACAAUUCAUCGGAUCUCGACAAACACACCAGAAAAAGAGUUUACAUCGAAUAGAUCUUCACAAGAGAGGGGGAGAACAUUGUAUUGAGAUCCAAAAAGAGAGAAGAAGCCAUCUAGCUAAUAACUAUGGACCCGUAGGUCUGUGGUAAACUACUCACAACUCAUCGGAGGGGCAAGGAUGUUGAUGUAGAAGCCCUCCGUGGUCGAUUCCCCCUCCGGCAGAGUGCCGGCGAAGGCUCCAAGAUGAGAUCUCGCGGAUACAGAAGGUUACGGCGGUGGAAAUUGUGUUUCUUGGUGCCCCUGGAUGUUUUUGGGGUUCGUAGGUAUAUAUAGGAGGAAGAAGUACGUCAGUGGCCGCCCGAGGGGCCCACGAGACAGGGGGCGCGCCCUACAGGGGGGGCCUAUCUCGUGGGGCCCUCGGAAGCUUCUUGACUUGCACUCCAAGCUCUACGGAUCAUGUUUGUUCCAAAAACCACGCUCCCGAAGGUUUCAUUCCGUUUGGACUCCGUUUGAUAUUCCUUUUCUUCGAAAUACUGAAAUAGGCAAAAAAAAAACAGCAAUAUGGGCUGGGCCUCCGGUUAAUAGG